AUGGCAAACAGGAGGGAUUGUUAACGCCACAAUUGGCAAAAAGAGCCUUGAGUUUUGCUGGGUCAAUCCCGGACCGGGAGAGGAACGGGCAGAGACAUUCAAGGUUCGCGGUUUUGGCCACUGUGCAGCAGGCGGGAGUCGGAGGUGGCGGGUAGUUUCCAGUGACCGCUGGACGACAUUUCUGCAAGUCAUUUGUGUUGACUUUACAUAGGGGAAUGCUCUUACCUUCUUGGAUCAUCAUUGCUGCGGUUAAAACCAUCGCAAGAACUGUGAUGAGGAUUCUGGCAUUGUUCUUACCCAUUUCUGUCUUUUUUUUAACAAUAUCUUCACUGUCUCUUCUCUCUCUCUCUCUCAGCUAUAUCGUGAAACUUAAAGAUAGUGAGCUUCUUAUAUAGCAGUGUUAAUGAUAAGUGAAAGUUAGUAAAACAGUAAAGAAUGUCACGGGUCUUUUACGUCAACAAUUUGCAAGCAAACAGACAAAUGUGGGAGACCUUAGUUUCAUGUAUAAGUCUUUGGGUUGGUGUGGAUGAAAGAACUUUUUCCUUCACGUGACCCGAUGGGUUUUGGCCUUUGUAUUUUGUUCUGCCCUUGUCAUUAUCAAGUCAUAAACAUUUGUUUACAACUAAAAAAAUUGUCUACUGUCAUGUAACACCAGGUGACCGACCAGGUCUCUGGUUUUGUGAACGCACUCAGCUAUUCUGCUUCCUCAUGAUUCAAGUCACAACCCCAUGUUAUAUAUUGAGGUAAAGAAAGCCCGUCUUAAAUGAGGUAAAGAAAGCCCAGCUUUUUUUUUUUUUUGAACAACUAAAUCUCGUCUUAUAAGAGUUAUUUUUGGGUUCAGGGUGAACCUCUAACCAAUUUCAUUAUUUCAAAUUCAAUAUCUUUUAAAAAAAUGAAAUAAAAUAUUGUCAAGUUAUAUUAUGUUUAAAAAAAAAAAUAUUAGUUAUAGAAAAAAAAAUUUUUAAAAAAAUAUUUUUAACAUUGCUAUCAAAACACUAAACCCUAAAUCCUAAUCCCUAAACCCUAAUCCUAAACCCUAAACCUUUGGGUAAAUCCUAAACCCUUGGAUAAAUCCUAAACUCUAAAUAAAAAACACUAAACACUAAACCCUAAACCCUUGAGUGUUUUAGGACUUGAUUGGUUACGGCUGUAAUUUUAAAAAAAUUGCUGUAGAAUUGAAGCUGUAAGAUUUUAUGUUGUAGCUUUAAAAAAAUUGCUGUAGAAUUAAAGCUGUAAGAUUUUAUGUUGUAGCUGUAGAAUUUUUGCCGUGAGUUUUUUUAGAGAAAAUAUGAUUACCAGAUAUUAUCUAAUAUUUAUUAUAAUAUGUUCACUAUAAUUAAAUGAAAAUCAAAAUCAAAUUGAGAAAUAUUUACUCCGUUUCAAAAUGAUCGAGGUUUUAGAUUACGCAUGUUAAAAAAAAAACCAAAUCUGAUUUAAAUAUAUUAUUUUGUGAUUAAAUAUUUUACAUAACGUUUAACCAAUAAAAAAUAAAAAAUAUAAAUAUUUGUAAAGUUUACAGUUUACCGUGAUUACUUAAUAAAAAUUAGUAAAAAUAGAAAAAAAUAUUUUUUGAAACAAAACUUUUUUAAAACAUAGAUCAUUUUAAAAUGGAGAGAAUAGUAAUUAAUCACAUUUUAUGAACUGAUUAAUUAUUAUACAAUUAUCAAAUGCUUAGUUUAAGUAAAUGAAUAUAAUAGUCAAGUAUCAUAUAUAAUCAACAUAUGUGAGGUUUUAUUUAUAUUUAUGAAAUUUAUAGUUAUAUAACAUAUAAGUAUAUAUAUAUAUAUAUAUAUAUAUAUAUAUAUAUAUAUUCUCCACAUUAGUUGUCAUACUCUUGAGUUAUACGUGUAAAUAUAUAUUAAAUUAUAUAUAUAUAUUACGUAUCUAUCCUAUACUAAAAGGGAUAUAUGAGGAGUAGGGAGGCUGUCCACGUCCUCAAUUAAAAUCAGCCAAUAGGGUGAGUUUAUUUGUCCACGUCACAUUCGGUUUGGGCUUUGGUUUUUUUUAUCCGUAAUGUGAGGUAUUUGCCCAUAAGCCUGAUCCAAUAGAAGCCCUAAAAUAUGUGGGCUCCACGUUCUGUCCAGUUUAUUUUGGUCGUAAAAGUUUUGUGUUUGAUCUGAUUUGGGUUUUCCACAUUUGGUUCCAUAAUUAAGUCAAAAUCUGCGUUUUAUGCUUGAAUGAAUUAGGGCUUCAUCAUUAUCUUUCUUCUUCCUCAUUCAACCUCGCCGUCUACACUUAUCUUAAUCUGCAAACCUAAUGAUUGCAAACGUAAAGGUUGACAUCACUGUCUCCGUACCCAACAUCCAUUCCUCUCUUUACCACCUCUUCCGGUUCCUGAUGUCGUCCCUGAAUCCACCGCUCUGUUUCGGCCGGCGAGACCACAAAACGAUCCAUGGAGGAUGCCCCUGACAUAUCAUGGGGCUGCAAUAUAGAUUCAGUCGAAAACGCCACUUCUCUUCAGAGAUGGCUAACCAAUUCAGGCUUCCCGCCGAAGAAAAUGGCUGUCGACUCUGUCGACAUCAGAGAGAGGGAGGUGGGAGUCUCGGAAUGAAAUAUCAACGAACAAACACUUGCUUAAGUUAAAUUCAAAGGUAUUAGAGCCAAACUCAACAGAAUCGUUUUGAAACCCGUGUAGAAACUUCUUAUUGUUAUUGUUUUUUGUUACAGGAAUGUGCUCAACUUACUUCUCAGUGCGCUCAUCUACAAGACCGAACGAUGGCUCUUGCCAAGGAGCUGGCAUCGCUUAAAUUGUGAGAUUACUUUUUGUUAUUUGGUCUUUUGGCGUUCUCUAAAACUAAAUUUUCAAUCUUUCUGAGUCUAUCUAUUUUUUUUUAUCCAGGGUUUCCGACAUAAGCUUGGAGGAAGUUGAUGUGCUGAAAAAAAAAAAAAGUUGAUGUACUGAAGCUUGCCUUUUUUGAGAAUAACGCAAAAGACAAAAGAUACAAUAGACACACCGGGUUUGUUUCCUGUGAUAUUGUGGUUUCGGCCUAUAUUGGUUUGUGGUUUCGGCCUAUAUUGGUUUGUGGUUUCCUCAAGUCUCUGUUCUGUUCGUAUGGUCUCAGCCCGUGCUUAUUCAGGUUCUUUGGGAACUUGCGUUCGAUUGUCGUCUGUGUGGAGCUGGUUUUUUGGUUCUGAUAAGAAACACUUUCCCUCUUUUUAAUUAUUGUGCCUCAGUGUUGAUUUCUUUCUUUUGGUGAUUCAAAAGGUUGUCCGGUAGUGUGGAAAGGUUGUUUGUGUUUUUAUGGUCUGUAAUAAUCGUACUUCAAAUUACGUUAAUGCAAUUCAAAGAUGAACAAAAAAAACAAAAUAGACACACCUGUCAAGUCCUUGGUUACUCGAAACAGGUAGGCACAUAGCUUAUGUUUUGUUACAGCUUCCCUUCUCUCAUUUUAUCAUGUAGGUACUAUUGAUGAGGUCCCCACGACUACUACUGUGACCAACCUCCAGAAAUUCAUGCUUCUGAAGUUCAACCAUCUUCAAGCUCUUGCAAACUUUCUUUGAACUCCCCGGUAUUGUUUUAAAUUUCCUUUUGCAUAUUAGAAUUCAACCACCAUUGACUUAUGUUACCUAUUGAUUCAUCCACUUUCAGAUAUAGUUGGCCAAAUCCGUUCAAGACUCUUAACAUAAACAACUCUGUUCAAGGCUCUGACAUAAACAACUCUGCUGCAACAACCCGAUUAUGCAUGAAAGUUGGUGUCUCAAUCAUGCUGCCGCGCAACCUAAACCAAGAAGAAGGCUUGAGAAAGAGUUAUCGAAGCAGAAGUGUGUGUGCUGAUACCAAGAAACAAACUAUCACCGACAGAAAACAAACAUCUAUUCACUCUAAGAAGCCGCCAGUUUCCAGUACAUAUAUCCUGGGGAUUUUAACAUUACCAGGGUCACGUGACUAACGACAUUGCCAACAUCGUUUACAGAAAAGCCUUCAAUGGCCUCCCACAAUCACCGGUAUGUUAACUGCCUUCUUUAUUAAAAGUCAUAGCAUACACCAUCGCCAAUGUUCUUCUGUUGGACCUUAAAUACGACUGCAUACACCAUCACUGCCUCACUUCUCUAUCAACCAAAUUAAAUACGAUAAAACGGUCUCCUUUACAAAACAUACUUUUUCAGGUUUAGAAGAAGACUAUGAGAGUUUCGCCAACAUGGUUUCCUCUGUUUCUUUCUCUGUUCUGUCUGUAUCUGUCCAAAGAAUCAUCAAAUGGGAUCCACUGAACUACAAGACACAGAUUUCUUUAGCUCUUUUUCUGAGAACUUACACUCAACGUUCUUCACUCCAACCACAAGCUCGCUCUGAUCUGACUCGGACACGGAUUCACCAAAGCCAUAAAACGAGGAUGAAGAUCGUAGAGUUGACUCGGUAGAUGAGUAACUAUAUGAGCAUCAGAAGGUACAAACUUUUUAAAACCCAACACGAUUCGAUUCUUUUCUCUUUUAUUCAAUCUCAUAUUCCUUAUUAAUUUUUCUUUUUUUUUUUCUUUUUGAUUCAGUCUUGUGGUGGAGACAACCUAUUAUGAUUCCUUUUCAAUCAAAAGAAGCUUUAAUCGAUGAGCAGAUCCGAUAUGUUCAGGCAAACGUGAGUUCACGUUUUUUUAGUUGAUAAUUAUUUAGAAUCUUUCUUUUUAUUUGUCGGUUAUAAUACGAUCGUUUAUAAAAUAAAAAGUUUGAUUGUUCAUUUUGUGUCUAUAGUUCCAAAACUAGAAGGAGAAAGACGAGCAGCGAAAUGAUGAUGCAUUUAAACAUAAAGCAAGGAGCUACCACAACCAACAGAGAGACCAAAGUCCGCUGUGAAGGUGGAGUUCGUUGACGGGACAUUCGAGAACCAUGGUACUGCUGGGGAGUCACGCAAGAAAGUAGUUUCAUAUUAAUUUAGCAUUGUUACUUCUUCUUUUUUAAGUCACGCAAGAACUCCAUUAUAAGUUUUUGUUUUGUUUUCUAUUAACGAGAUGUGGUUUUAAAGAAGGCUACAUAUUAUAUAUAAUGGACAACAGAUAAAAGAAAGAGAGAAAUGACGUCGUCUAUAUACUUUGAGUUUCGUACUUUGUUUUAUAGAGGUUGACAUAUAGGAAUCUUGCGUCAAUAUUAGACUUAGUAAUUUCAUAAAAUUGUAAGUAAACAACACAAAUUAUCUCCUUAGUGUAACAAAUAAACCACUGAAAACAUAAUUAAAAAAAAAACAUUACAGAUUUUUAGCUUAAAUGUUAUCUUUAAAUUUACAGUGCUUAAUUCUUUUUUCAUGUGGUUUACUAUCUCUUGCUUAGAUCUCAAUGAUUUAAGACCUAGAUAUAAUAAGAAUCUUUAUCUUACGUUGUUAUAUUGUUUGACUUAAUAGAUUCCAAAGAUUCCUUCCCACCAUUAAUCUCACUAUCACUGCCUCUCUCUCUAUCAACCAACCUAAUCUAUAUACGAUAAAUCCGAUCUCUACAAAACAUAUUUUUGCAGGUUUAGAAGAAGACCAUGAGAGAUUCGCCAACAAUUCAUAAUCUCCGUCAAUACCAACCACCAAAGUCAGCAAUUCAUUGCAAUAUAAUUAUCACUUUUCUCAAUUGAUAAAUUACUCAGUAGACAAAUCAAAUUCUACAAUAGAAAUGGUGAUGAAAUCUCAGCUGGACAACUCAAAACUCGAAGAAAAGAACAACUAUUCAAUUUCCCUCAUCAACGAACAACGAACAUGGCCUAAUUCCAUAACUCCAAUUCAAUUUCAAACUCUGCAUUUAACUUUAACUUAUGUUUACCGUAAAACCUGUUACCGCCAAACAAUAUGUGAAACUUUAAUUUAUCCAUUAAAACCACUACGACUAAACAAAAAAAAAACAUCUUAAUCCACUAUCUAUUACAUUUUUAAGUAUUACAACACCUUUAAUUAUCAAUAACCCCGCGCUUGGGUGUUUACGACUCAACGCAAACACACAUUAAAAUGAGACAUCAUAUUUUAAUAUAUUUAAAUAUAUAAUUUUAAAUAUAUUAUAUUUUUAAUAAUUUUAAAAUUACUUAAAAAGAAACUAAAUUAUUAAAAAAUUAAUAUACAACUAAAACUAAAGCAAUAUUUUGUAACAUCAAAAUAAUAAAUGAAUAAAAAAUAUAUUAUGUUAAUAAAAUAGAUUUUAGAUUUUAAAGACUUCUAAUUCAUGUAAUAUUACAAAAUUCAAAAUUUGUUUAUUACAAUUAAUAUUUUACCAUUAGAUAUAUUAAAAUAAUAUUCUAGAUCAAUAUUCAGUUGUCAAUUUUUAACUAUUACACAUAAAAAAAUAUUAUUAAGUAUGCUUUUUUUUUGAAAAGGAGAUUUUAUAUUUUAAGUAGGUUAUUGGAGUACUUUUUCUUUUCGUGAAUAUAUUCGAGAUGAGAUUCCGAUCUUUUAAACAAAGAUAAUUUAUGUUCUAUACAUAAUUUUUUUUACAUAACUCUAAAAUCUCGGAUUUGAUUGUUCAUAUUUUAUUAGUUAAUUGUGUUACAUGUAAUAGAAAUACUUACUUCAAACUAAAAAUAUUUUUAAAAAAUCAAAUUUAAAAUUAGUUAUAUAUAAUUUAAUAUACAAAAAUGUACAUACAAAUAAAAAUGAUAAAUGUAACAAAUUUAAAUAUAUUAUCCGCGCGUAGCGCGGAAAAAGGAUCUAGUACUUUUGAAAGAAAGGAUAAGAGAAUGAGGAAAAUUAUUAUUCAAAGCACUUGAAGUAGUGUUCUAGAAAACUUGCUCUCUAAAGCAAUAAACUAAAAUAAAAGUUUGUUAUGCAUGGCAGUGCGUUUUAAAAUUGAAAUCUAAAGUUUGAUUGCUUUUAUUUUUUGACUGUAGAUAAAAUAUGUCUGUGUACAGCCUACAGCUGUUACCAAUCAUUACAUAAGUGUUUAGUAAUUUUGAUUUAGAGUUUAGGAUUUAUCCAAGGAUUUCAGGUUUAGGGAUUAUGUUUUAGGGUUUAGUGUUUUGCUGACGACGUUAAUUUUUUUUUUUAAUUACUACUUUUUUUAUUUCGUUUUUACCUUUUAAUUUUAAAAACAUAAUAUAAUUUGAUAAUAUUUUGUUUUCUUUUUAAAAAGAUAUCAAAUAUGAAAUAACACAAUUAUGUUUGUUUGUGAAUUUCUAGGUUCACCCUAAGGAGUGAACCCAAGAAUAAGUGUCUUAUAUAAGAAGCUCAUUAACUUUAACUUUUCACCAUAGCAAAGCUUUAAUGCUAACUGAAAGGUGCUAUACGUAAGAUAUGUAAUCAUUAGGAGUCUUUUGGGUUUAGAUGCGUGAAGAAACGGAGGAAUGUGUGAAGGCUAAGUUGCAUUUCAUGCCCUAGUAUCUGGGCUGUGAAUGACAAAAUGUUCAUUGCAACUAGUUGCCUGACCAAAUGUCAGUCUUUUGUUUUGGUUCUCUUUACUGAGUAAUAAAAAUAAUUAUGUACUUAAUGGAUUGCAUAAUUGCAUUAUUAUUUUAAUAUAUAUGGAUUCAAUUAUUGCAUUAUUGCAUUAUUAUUUUAAUAUAUAUAUGGAUUACAUAUGGAUUGCAUAGUUGCAUUAUUAUUUUAAUAUAUAUGGAUUGCAUAAUUGUUUUGGUUCUCUUAAAGUUGCAUUUUGUUACUUGAUAUGUGCUAGAUGAUAACCUACGCGUAUGCGCGGAAUGAGUUUUUUAUAUUAAUGUUUGUUCAUUAAAUAAUUUUAACAUUUUACAACAUUUCAAUCUUUAUCGAUUGUAAAAUGACGAAUACAAAUGUUGCUCUCUUAAAUGUAGCACUGAAAAGUUAACGUAUUACAACUAAUUUUAAUUAUUUUAAAAAAUUUAUAUGCACAAAAAAAUUAAGUUUUGCUGCUGACACAAAUCACCAAAACGGCAAAACCACAAGAUAGGCAACAUCGAUUGUAAAAUGACGAAAGAGGAUUAUGUUUUCGGCUCUCGAUUUGUUUGCUAUUGAUUCUCCAUUAGUUAUCAUCUAAUAUUAAGAUAACAAUAAUUUUUCAAUGCAAAAUUUUGAAGUUAACAUAUUUUAUAUUUUAUAUAGUAUAUAAUUUAAUUUAAAUGAUAUUAAUAUUAAUAUACAUAUAUAUAUAUAAUAUGAAUGUUUAUUAAUGAGACUUUAUAUUCAUACGAUUUAUGAUCAUUUGUGAGACUUUUACAACUUUUAGUGUGAGACUUUUACAACUUUUAGUAAUUUAUAGUUAUUUCAAAAAUUCAAAAUAUAACAUAUAAAAAAAAUCUUAAGUUUUUUAUUAUAUGCUUCAUUUGAUUGUUUAUUUCUUUUAAUAAUAUAAAAUUAAACAAAAAAAGAGAGGAUACAAAAAUUGAAAUAUGUAUUAUUCAUAAUCAUUAAUUGUCAUAUAUAUGUUAAUCAUAUUAGGUAAUUCCAUAACUUUUAUUUAAGGAAAGCAUUGAGAAUAUUCUUUUGUAUGCUACUAAUCCAUUUGAUAGUUAAUUUAAUAAAAAUAUCAAUUUGAUAGUUAGUUUAAUAAAAAUUAUAAAAAGUAGAAUAUUCUUUUAUAUGAAUCAACUUAUUUUUCUAAGGAUUCUAUGAAUCAUAUGACACGUAGUUACGAAAACACGUUGUAAUGUUUCAUAAUUAAUAUACAGGGGAUGAAUUGCAUAAUUGCAUUAUUAUUUUAAUAUUCUUCCGACUAUCGUUUUAUACGUACUUGGAACAAAAAGUGGCUUACAUGUUAAACUUUAUUUGAUCUCGUGUUUCAUUUAGAGGACUAACUCUCUUGUAAAUUGUAAUCGUUUUGUGUGUCUCUAGUUCGGGUAAAUUUGAAAUUAAUGGCGUUCAUCCACGAUGAUGAAGAGGAAAACUUUGUUCCUCAAUUAGCCACCAAUUACUAUUUCGAAGAUGACGACAAGGAACCUGUGUCAUUCUCGUGUCUGCGAAUUUAAUGGAGUGACAAGAGAAAGUAGACUGAAGUGUAGCUGGUUUGUACUUGAGAGCAGUGGCGGAUAUAGGUAGGCCAAGGAGAUAGCACUUGCACCCAUGAAAAAUUUAAAAUCUGUUUGAUGUUACUUAUUUUUUUACUCAUUUCCCUUUACUAAAAUCAUAUUAUAUCUUCAAUUCUGUGUUUAUAUGUAAUUUGCCUCCAUCCAAAAAAUUGUCUACAUCCGCCACUGCUUGAGAGGAACCUCUGAUGAUGGUCUUUUGCCUCUGCAUAACAGCAUAAGUUGGUUAAUGCUUGGAGGUUCGCAGAGCCGUGCCUGAGAUUUAUUGGCCCUCAAGCAAAAAAUAUUUGUUGGUCCACUAUAUGUAAUUAUUAAACAAAAUUAAAAGAAUCCAUGCCAAAGGUUCGAACUCACAACCUCUAUUUACACAAAUGAACUCAUAACCACCUGUGCUACUGAAUAUUUCACGUCACAAAUUGGCCCUCUAAAUAUAUAAACUCCAUCUGAACUAAAAGCACAUGCUUGAUGUGCUUAGUGUCAGGCACGGCCCUGGAGGUUCGACCUUUCCAACUUCAUACCGGAGAUCUGUUCUCACAAAGGAUAAUGUCUGGAUUAAGCUUGAGAAGCAAGGAAAAUAUAUGCGGAGUUGCUAAGAUCAUCUCCAACUCACCUCUAUAAUAGAAAUUUCUAAAAUAGAAAAAAAAAGUAGAGACUUAGGCCAUCAUUAUCGGAGUCUCUCGGCACCGUCUUUUAGUUUAUUUAGGAAUAAAAGAAAAUGGAAAACAGAAAUUAAAAUAAGAGACGUACCUUAAUUAGGCAACAUAAGAGACGCCUCUUGUGAGCCACGCGUCACGGUGAGAGGAGAGAGAGAGAGAGGUGAUGGAGGAAGAGGAGCACGAGGUAUACGGUGGAGAAAUCUCAGACGUCGGAGUUGGAUGGAUUGAUUGAUUUGGUGUUGGUAACAAUAGGAGUUGGAUGAGAUGAAGAGGAGAAGAAGACAUCACCUCUUGAGAAUUGUCGUUAAGCUCAUCGAUCCUCCAGAGGAACUGCGAAUCAUCAGCAUCUGAUCUCGACAUGGCGGAGAAUCGCGGUGGUGGUGGUUGCUGUCCGCCGAUGGAUCUGAUGCGCUCGGAGCCGAUGCAGCUCGUUCAGGUCAUUGUUCCGAUGGAAUCUGCUCAUCUUACCGUCUCUUACCUUGGUGAUCUCGGCCUCGUCCAGUUCAAAAACGUACACAUACUCUCUCUCUUUCUCUCUCCAGUUCAAUUGCGAUCUUUGAUCAUCGCAGCUUAAUUUCAACGGACUUACGCUGCUCAGGUAAACUUCAUGGAGGCUCUCUCUGAAAGAAACUUCGAUGAAGCAAUUGAGCACCGUUGCGAGUUUCUCCCUUGCCAUAGAUUUUCAUAUGUAAAGUCUGAAGGUUUUAGCUUGUUUUUGCUUAAAGCGUAUAACUUUCUUCUCUCUGUUCUUUGUUAAUGUUUUGAUGAAGAGAAUGUUGGAAUGGAUCUGAAGGUAAGAGCAGGGAUGGAGAUGGCUAUGAUUGAUGCAGCUCCUAAGAGCGUUGGAGUGCCUUUGUGGAGAUUAUUUGUUGUUUUGAAGAGAGACCAGCACUGAGGAGAAGUUUGGUUAUUGCAGGAAGAGUUUCAAUGAGGAGAAGUUUCUUGACCAGCACUUCGCCACUAGACAUUAUAAUCUCUUGAAUACGGUAUGGAGAUACAAUAGAGUUGAUAUGAGAGUUUACUUUAGUCCACUUGAGCUGAUACUAGAAAACUUUUACUUAAAUGUUUUUUUUAGACUGGUACAAAGUGUUUAGCGGAUCUUUGUGGUGCAUUGCAUUGCGAUUUUGUGUUGAGUUCCAAGAAGGCUAAGAGCAAGUGUAACCCUGCAGCUGCUGCCAAAAACAGUCAUCUCUGCGAGGUUUCUUUCUUUGUCAUGUUUAUUCUUCUACUUCGUUCUCCAAGAAAGCUUACUUUGAGUGCCUCUUGUUCAUUUCUUAGAAUGUUCUCUGUGUUUCUUUGCUCCCCUCCUCAUUGGUUUGUUAGUAAGAAAAUUAUUUCUUUUGAGUUUUACAUGAACUAUCGAAAUAAGAAGUGGUGAUUUUAUUUAACUCUGAAUCAGGUGAAUGAGCUGCUGAGACAUUCCUCCAUGCCAUUAGUUUUUCUUCCUUCACAAGUUCAACUUCUAAAGUUUUUUUUUUUUUAAGAACUCAUACUUAAGAAACUUGCAAUGUAGGAUAAAAAAUUAAGUAUCUCUUAAGUAAAGUUCUUAACACAUUUAUUACUAAAUAAUUGAUUAAGAGACCCUAAUGGUUUCUAGGGAUAAUGGUGCUCUUAGAUUUUGCUCUCUCUGUAAUAGAUGAAUGAUCCAUUUACUUUUACCUCUAUAAAUAGAUGAAUGUUUUUUCCUCUAUUGUAGUGGAAAACAUUGGAGCAAAAUUUCAUAAAAACAGAGGCAGGUUGGAGAUGUCCUAGGAAUUGUUCUGGUGACAUAGAUACACUCAAUGUUUUUUUCAUACAGAUGCUCUUAAUUAGGGAUGUUAUAUUGGGUUAUCCAGCCCAACCCAGCACUAAAAAAUAUAAACCCAACCCUAUUCUAGCCCUACUCAUACUUUAGCCCUAAUAUGCAUGAAGGGCUGGGUCAGGAUUGGAUCAGGGUUAGCCCAUUCUGUAAUGUCUUUCAAAACAUAGGCAAAUAAUAUUAACAUGUGAUUUAGAUAAUUAUAGUAAUAUCAUCAAAUAAUAUAUAAUAUAAUCAAACAAUGUUUUGCGGUUUUGGCGGGAAAACUCGAUUUUCCGGUUUUGACGGGAAAACUCGAUUUCCCUGUUUUGGCAGAAAAAACUCGAUUUCCCUGUUUUGGCGGGAAAACUCGAUUUCCCUGUUUUGGCGGGAAAACUCGAUUUUUCAGUUUUGGCGGGAAAACUAGAUUUCUCGGUUUUGGCGGAAAACACGAUUUCUCGGUUUUGGCGGGAAAACACGAUUUCUCAGUUUUGGCGGGAAAACUCGAUUUCUCAUUUUUGGCGGGAAAACUCGAUUUCCCGGUUUCGGCGGGAAAUCUAGAUUUCUCGGUUUUGGCGGGAAACCACGAUUUCUCGGUUUUGGCGGGAAAACACGAUUUCUCGGUUUCAGCGGGAAAACUCGAUUUCCCUGUUUUGGCGGAAAAAACUCGAUUUCCCGAUUUUGGCGGGAAAACUCGAUUUCCUCGGUUUGGCGGGAAAACUAGAUUUUUCGNNNNNNNNNNNNNNNNNNNNNNNNNNNNNNNNNNNNNNNNNNNNNNNNNNNNNNNNNNNNNNNNNNNNNNNNNNNNNNNNNNNNNNNNNNNNNNNNNNNNAUAUUAUAAAACGUGAUUUUGGUUGUCAUAUGGAGCUGAAGGAAUAUAAGUUACUAAGAAAUAUUUGUCUCGUAAAAUAAAAAUUCAGUGAUAGCAAUAAGUUAAUCUAAAAGUACAGUGUUGAACAUUUUGUGGCAAAUUUGACAAAAGAAAAUGGGGAUGACUGCAUAAAACCCCCUUUAAACACCACAACCCUAUCUAUUCCCACCUAUACUACCCAACUGAUGACCAAACCACCCACAGAUAUAAAAUCUCUUUACAACUCUUCCAUUCUUUUUUGUUCUGCUCAAAUCCCCCUUUCUAAUCCAAUUUCGAAAAUGUGAUUGUAGAUUUUUAAAUCGCGUUUUGUGAACUGUGAUUCUCCAUUAUCCAAAACCCGACCCAACCCAUAAUCAUCCGACCCGACUACAUAAAAAAAAUCAAGUUGGAUAGGGUUCGUUUCUUUCUCACGAUACGACAACGACGAGAACAUACAGAGAGACAGAGAGCAGAUAGAGGGAGAGAUGAGAGCAGAGAGGGAGAGGGAGAGACGAGAAUGAUAAAUGAUAACAUGAUUUAAAUGAUUGGAAUCUAUUUCGAGAUGUGAGAUUUCAAGGUUUAAUGAGAAAAUAGUAAGAAAAACACAAGAUUUCAUUGAAUCGUGACUGAUUUGUACUGAAUAUGAUGAUGAAUUGCAGAAACUCUGGCCGAUAACUAAAGGAAGAAGAUCAUAUAUUUACGGUUUUUCCAUUACUUUACAAAAAAACAAAAUGCAUAACUGACCUUCGAACCCAAGAUAGAAUGGUUAUAGGGCAGCUACCCUUCCACUAGGCUACGAUGUAAACUUAACAUUAAAGCGUAAAAUAAACGAUAUAUAUAUAUAUAAAUGUAUACAAUAAAGCAGAGAAAGGUGCCUCCGCCAUUGGAAUCUGCAAAUGCUUCAAGGAGCAAAAACGGUGACAUCAAACUUGGUUGUGUUCAUAAUUUUUUUUUUUAAUUUUCUUUUAUCAUGAGAAUUAUGACAAGAGUCACCAGCUGUUACGUAUUGUACAAGUAUAUACAUACAUUUAUGCAAGCACAAUGUGGCCAUUAUAGUUGAUUACCGAUGAAAGGACUGAAAGAGUAUAUUAGGAUUUAAAUUGAUUUUAUUUGACAGAGAUGAAAGAACUGAAAUCACAGAAGCUCAUCGUUCUCUUGAAAGCUUUUUUCUUCUCUCUCACGUCGUUACUCUCUCUCUCUCAUCUCUCCCUCUAUGCUCUCGUUUCACUCUAUCUGCUCUCUAUCUCUCUGUAUGUGCUCGGCGUUGUCGUAUUGUGAGAAAGAAACGAACCCAAUCCAAAUUGAUUUUUUUUAUGUAGUCGGGUCGGAUGAUUAUGGGUUGGGUCGGGUUUUGGAUAAUGGGGAAUCGCAGCUCACAAAACGCGAUUUAAAAAUCUAUAAUUACGUUUUCGAAAUUGGAUUAGAAAGGGGGAUUUGAGCAGAACAAAAAAGAAUUGGGGGAGUUUUAAAGAGAUUUUAUAUCUGUGGAUGAUUUGGUCAUGAGUUGGAUAGUAUAGAUGAGAAUAGAUAGGAUUGUGGUGUUUACGGGAGGUUUUAGGCAGUCAUCCCAAGAAAAUGACAUUGCACACCAAAUUAAAUCACUAUGAGAUCAAACACUGGUAUAAAUGGGUAAAGUGACUAUACAAUAUCAGGCGUACGAGAUAUCAGCCCAUUAAAAUAACUGAGGUAUUCUAGAAAUCAGCCCAUCUAGAUUAAUGCGGUUUUCCGUAGCAACUGGUGCGUUAUUCUAUAUCGGACCAUCCAAUUUCUACGUGGAAUGACGGUUGUACCCUCCCGCUUUCGACGCAUGUUAUCUGGACUUAUAGAGCCAUAUGGGCCUAUGGUGAGUUGGAUGACAAAGUAAAAAACCAUGUAAACCCAAGGGAGGCAGGCACUGAAGCAAGAGCACGAACAACACGGAACACUGAAGAGUCUGUUGAACUAUGUUUUGACUGAACGUAGUUUUUUGGACGGUCCCAAAGUACUUGCGUAUCCUGUUUAAAUGAUCUAUCUUUUGUGAAUUUCUUUGAUGUUCGGCUUCUACUGUUUUCAAUAGACUUUUUCCUACUUACAUCUCAAGAAUGCAUAUUAAAUAUACUACAUUAUUUAGAUAAAAAUUCUUGUGGGAUAUAUAAGUGAUGUAAUAAUUCUCCAUUCUUUAGCCAAUUUUUUUAUGUCGGUUAGAUCCAUUAUUAAUAUUUGUCUACUUCUUGUUUUUGGGAUAGGUUUCUUAUAAGGAAUCAUUGAAAUGAUAUUUUUUAACAACCACACAUUUACAUUAGGAGAGAUGCUAAGACAUUACAAUAAACGAUUUCAUUAACAAGUUCAAUAUGAAAUAACAAAGGUUGUAAGAUUUGCAUUUUUCUCACAAACAAAAAAAUAGAUAACAAUAGAAAGCAACAGAACAAAGCAUAACCAAGAGAUUUCUCUUUUUAAAAUCUCUUCAAGCACAUUGGAAGCCAUAAGGAAGUUUCUUCCCACAAUAGUUCAAUAACAAGCUCAGAUCAACAGGAACAUUGAGAUUAAUCCCCAAGACAUUGGCUUUAAGAGCGGUGCAAAGACAAACCGCAGCUUCAACGUUAGCAAGACCAUUAAGAAGUGCACAACAUGGAGUCUUUGGUGGAGAACCAACAAGAACGUUAAUUAAGCCCAACAGGUCUGCGCAAACGCCGAGCUUAAGUGUGUCGGUAGGACAAGUGGGUUUAACCGGAGGGAUCUUUUUUGGAGAUUUUGGGGUUUUAGGAGUAGUCGGUGGACAUUUUGUGGAAGUUACAAAACUGAAGAAAAGAAGAUUAAGUGUGAGAAGAAGAGCUGUAACUGCAAGAGCCUUAGGAGCCAUAGAAAAUUCUAGGAAUGUUUUUUGGGAUGAAUGUGAAGGAGAUAUAGGACAUGGUUUAUAUAGAAGAAGUUAGUGAUGUGUAACAGAAAUUUACAAAGUUAAAACGAACAUGUGAUGUGUGAAUGCAAAGAAAAUUCGAGUAAGAAACAAAAAUAUACAGCUAGUUGGCUUUUGCAACUUGAGACCAUGGUACUGAUUAGACUAAUUUUGAGAUAUUUUUUCAAUGGUGAUAAUGGAGGAGACAAGAUUCUUGUCUUGUUCGUUUGUUAAGAUAAUUAUGAACAGGGUUCCACGAUCUUUGUUUCGACAUGGUUGUGCCAGAGUGUCUCGCUGCUUGGUAUGUAUCAGUUUAAGCAUCGAGGUGGUAUCCAUUGCACGUUGUUGAUAAGAUAUAAAUCUUACAUUGCAUUGGUCCCUAUUCCUUUAGAUUCUAUUAUGGGCUCUCUUCUAUUAUUAGUGAUCAUUCCUUAUCAGUAAAGUUUGUUCUUCACAAAUGUAAUUCUAAAACAUAGGUUUCAAUUUGUCACCACAUUUUAGAAUUUUUUUUGAUAUAUUAAUUGUUUAUCAAAUUAGAUAGUAGAGUUUUUUUUGUUGAGCUAAUACAUGGAUCGUAUUUUAGUUUUUUUUUUCUUUUCCAUGUAUAAAAAUCUAUAAAAAUAUUUUUCUCCCCAGUUUCAAUUCUUAAGCUAAAAUUUUAUUUAUUAAUUUUCUAUUUAUAAAAACUCGGCAAAUCGAUAAAAUUCGAAAAGGUUUUUGUAAAACAUUUUUUUUUUCAAAAACCUCACAAAAGAGCUAAUUAUCAUAAAGAGUUCUUAUCAUAUAAAGAUUUCUUUUUUUCCACAAACGGCUAUUCGGUAACACAAACUUAAGGCGGUUCUCAGGAACCAAAACAGAACAGAACAACCAAAGUAAUACAGAUCCAUGUGGAAUGACUUUGCUAUCUUAGCUAAUGAGUCAGACGAUACAUUUUCAGAACGAGAAAUAAAAACAAUAGAAAAAUCGGAGAAUCUAUUAUGCAGUCUUGACAACUCCUUCAGUUCAAUGGAAAAGUUCGGUCAUGCUCCUAGAUCUUGAAUUAUUGAGAUUAAAUCUUUACAAUCGGUGCCAAAAGCCUGACACGCCGAUAGAUGUAACAUGCACUCUAUUGCUAAUGAGAAAGCCUCAAGUUCCGAGUGAGGGGUAAGAUCCUUCUGCGUUGGUUUUUUGUUCCCAAAAGUUGAAUUACUCUUCCAGAAUUUUUCUAUGUACAUCAACAACCACUGAACAAUGCAUCAUAUGUCUACUCCUGUCGCUCCACUAGUAUUUCUUCUUGUUUACUUUUAGCUUCAAACCAAACAUGACAUUUUGAUUCAGCGUGUAAGACAGUUUCCAAUGAAUCUUGUCUAUUCUCUAAAUAACAUCAUUUCUUGUUUUCUAGAUACAACGUAUUAUUCAAAAGUACGGGUCUUUAUCCAGUCGCAAGAACACCAAUGGUGAAGAUGGGAUUGCUAAAAGAGACCAUGUUUGUAACGUUGGUUAAUAGUUUCAUUCUCUACUCCAUAUAUAAAACAAUGGUUGUCGCAUGGCAUAAAACUUUCUUUAACAUUGUAAAAAACAACCAAAACCAUAUUUUCGAUGACAAACCUAUUAUAGCUAAAAUAAUAUUACCAUAAGAUAAUAAUAAUGCCAAUGUAGAGAAUAUUUCAUAUUAGUCUUAGUUUACAUUAUUAAACACAAAGUGAAGAAGAAGAAAAUCACAAAUCUUGAGAAGAUUAUGCUGAGAGAAUGUUACUUAUUAUAUACACAAAGUCGAAAGAUUGUGGGAAACAUCGAUUUCAUUGAAUCGUGACUGAUUUGUACUGAAUAUGAUGAUGAAUUGCAGAAACUCUGGCCGAUAACUAAAGGAAGAAGAUCAUAUAUUUACGGUUUUUCCAUUACUUUACAAAAAAACAAAAUGCAUAACUGACCUUCGAACCCAAGAUAGAAUGGUUAUAGGGCAGCUACCCUUCCACUAGGCUACGAUGUAAACUUAACAUUAAAGCGUAAAAUAAACGAUAUAUAUAUAUAUAAAUGUAUACAAUAAAGCAGAGAAAGGUGCCUCCGCCAUUGGAAUCUGCAAAUGCUUCAAGGAGCAAAAACGGUGACAUCAAACUUGGUUGUGUUCAUAAUUUUUUUUUUUAAUUUUCUUUUAUCAUGAGAAUUAUGACAAGAGUCACCAGCUGUUACGUAUUGUACAAGUAUAUACAUACAUUUAUGCAAGCACAAUGUGGCCAUUAUAGUUGAUUACCGAUGAAAGGACUGAAAGAGUAUAUUAGGAUUUAAAUUGAUUUUAUUUGACAGAGAUGAAAGAACUGAAAUCACAGAAGCUCAUCGUUCUCUUGAAAGCUUUUUUCUUCUCUCUCACGUCGUUACUCUCUCUCUCUCAUCUCUCCCUCUAUGCUCUCGUUUCACUCUAUCUGCUCUCUAUCUCUCUGUAUGUGCUCGGCGUUGUCGUAUUGUGAGAAAGAAACGAACCCAAUCCAAAUUGAUUUUUUUUAUGUAGUCGGGUCGGAUGAUUAUGGGUUGGGUCGGGUUUUGGAUAAUGGGGAAUCGCAGCUCACAAAACGCGAUUUAAAAAUCUAUAAUUACGUUUUCGAAAUUGGAUUAGAAAGGGGGAUUUGAGCAGAACAAAAAAGAAUUGGGGGAGUUUUAAAGAGAUUUUAUAUCUGUGGAUGAUUUGGUCAUGAGUUGGAUAGUAUAGAUGAGAAUAGAUAGGAUUGUGGUGUUUACGGGAGGUUUUAGGCAGUCAUCCCAAGAAAAUGACAUUGCACACCAAAUUAAAUCACUAUGAGAUCAAACACUGGUAUAAAUGGGUAAAGUGACUAUACAAUAUCAGGCGUACGAGAUAUCAGCCCAUUAAAAUAACUGAGGUAUUCUAGAAAUCAGCCCAUCUAGAUUAAUGCGGUUUUCCGUAGCAACUGGUGCGUUAUUCUAUAUCGGACCAUCCAAUUUCUACGUGGAAUGACGGUUGUACCCUCCCGCUUUCGACGCAUGUUAUCUGGACUUAUAGAGCCAUAUGGGCCUAUGGUGAGUUGGAUGACAAAGUAAAAAACCAUGUAAACCCAAGGGAGGCAGGCACUGAAGCAAGAGCACGAACAACACGGAACACUGAAGAGUCUGUUGAACUAUGUUUUGACUGAACGUAGUUUUUUGGACGGUCCCAAAGUACUUGCGUAUCCUGUUUAAAUGAUCUAUCUUUUGUGAAUUUCUUUGAUGUUCGGCUUCUACUGUUUUCAAUAGACUUUUUCCUACUUACAUCUCAAGAAUGCAUAUUAAAUAUACUACAUUAUUUAGAUAAAAAUUCUUGUGGGAUAUAUAAGUGAUGUAAUAAUUCUCCAUUCUUUAGCCAAUUUUUUUAUGUCGGUUAGAUCCAUUAUUAAUAUUUGUCUACUUCUUGUUUUUGGGAUAGGUUUCUUAUAAGGAAUCAUUGAAAUGAUAUUUUUUAACAACCACACAUUUACAUUAGGAGAGAUGCUAAGACAUUACAAUAAACGAUUUCAUUAACAAGUUCAAUAUGAAAUAACAAAGGUUGUAAGAUUUGCAUUUUUCUCACAAACAAAAAAAUAGAUAACAAUAGAAAGCAACAGAACAAAGCAUAACCAAGAGAUUUCUCUUUUUAAAAUCUCUUCAAGCACAUUGGAAGCCAUAAGGAAGUUUCUUCCCACAAUAGUUCAAUAACAAGCUCAGAUCAACAGGAACAUUGAGAUUAAUCCCCAAGACAUUGGCUUUAAGAGCGGUGCAAAGACAAACCGCAGCUUCAACGUUAGCAAGACCAUUAAGAAGUGCACAACAUGGAGUCUUUGGUGGAGAACCAACAAGAACGUUAAUUAAGCCCAACAGGUCUGCGCAAACGCCGAGCUUAAGUGUGUCGGUAGGACAAGUGGGUUUAACCGGAGGGAUCUUUUUUGGAGAUUUUGGGGUUUUAGGAGUAGUCGGUGGACAUUUUGUGGAAGUUACAAAACUGAAGAAAAGAAGAUUAAGUGUGAGAAGAAGAGCUGUAACUGCAAGAGCCUUAGGAGCCAUAGAAAAUUCUAGGAAUGUUUUUUGGGAUGAAUGUGAAGGAGAUAUAGGACAUGGUUUAUAUAGAAGAAGUUAGUGAUGUGUAACAGAAAUUUACAAAGUUAAAACGAACAUGUGAUGUGUGAAUGCAAAGAAAAUUCGAGUAAGAAACAAAAAUAUACAGCUAGUUGGCUUUUGCAACUUGAGACCAUGGUACUGAUUAGACUAAUUUUGAGAUAUUUUUUCAAUGGUGAUAAUGGAGGAGACAUGAUUCUUGUCUUGUUUGUUUGUUAAGAUAAUUAUGAACAGGGUUCCACGAUCUUUGUUUCGACAUGGUUGUGCCAGAGUGUCUCUCUGCUUGGUAUGUAUCAGUUUAAGCAUCGAGGUGGUAUCCAUUGCACGUUGUUGAUAAGAUAUAAAUCUUACAUUGCAUUGGUCCCUAUUCCUUUAGAUUCUAUUAUGGGCUCUCUUCUAUUAUUAGUGAUCAUUCCUUAUCAGUAAAGUUUGUUCUUCACAAAUGUAAUUCUAAAACAUAGGUUUCAAUUUGUCACCACAUUUUAGAAUUUUUUUUGAUAUAUUAAUUGUUUAUCAAAUUAGAUAGUAGAGUUUUUUUUGUUGAGCUAAUACAUGGAUCGUAUUUUAGUUUUUUUUUUCUUUUCCAUGUAUAAAAAUCUAUAAAAAUAUUUUUCUCCCCAGUUUCAAUUCUUAAGCUAAAAUUUUAUUUAUUAAUUUUCUAUUUAUAAAAACUCGGCAAAUCGAUAAAAUUCGAAAAGGUUUUUGUAAAACAUUUUUUUUUUCAAAAACCUCACAAAAGAGCUAAUUAUCAUAAAGAGUUCUUAUCAUAUAAAGAUUUCUUUUUUUCCACAAACGGCUAUUCGGUAACACAAACUUAAGGCGGUUCUCAGGAACCAAAACAGAACAGAACAACCAAAGUAAUACAGAUCCAUGUGGAAUGACUUUGCUAUCUUAGCUAAUGAGUCAGACGAUACAUUUUCAGAACGAGAAAUAAAAACAAUAGAAAAAUCGGAGAAUCUAUUAUGCAGUCUUGACAACUCCUUCAGUUCAAUGGAAAAGUUCGGUCAUGCUCCUAGAUCUUGAAUUAUUGAGAUUAAAUCUUUACAAUCGGUGCCAAAAGCCUGACACGCCGAUAGAUGUAACAUGCACUCUAUUGCUAAUGAGAAAGCCUCAAGUUCCGAGUGAGGGGUAAGAUCCUUCUGCGUUGGUUUUUUGUUCCCAAAAGUUGAAUUACUCUUCCAGAAUUUUUCUAUGUACAUCAACAACCACUGAACAAUGCAUCAUAUGUCUACUCCUGUCGCUCCACUAGUAUUUCUUCUUGUUUACUUUUAGCUUCAAACCAAACAUGACAUUUUGAUUCAGCGUGUAAGACAGUUUCCAAUGAAUCUUGUCUAUUCUCUAAAUAACAUCAUUUCUUGUUUUCUAGAUACAACGUAUUAUUCAAAAGUACGGGUCUUUAUCCAGUCGCAAGAACACCAAUGGUGAAGAUGGGAUUGCUAAAAGAGACCAUGUUUGUAACGUUGGUUAAUAGUUUCAUUCUCUACUCCAUAUAUAAAACAAUGGUUGUCGCAUGGCAUAAAACUUUCUUUAACAUUGUAAAAAACAACCAAAACCAUAUUUUCGAUGACAAACCUAUUAUAGCUAAAAUAAUAUUACCAUAAGAUAAUAAUAAUGCCAAUGUAGAGAAUAUUUCAUAUUAGUCUUAGUUUACAUUAUUAAACACAAAGUGAAGAAGAAGAAAAUCACAAAUCUUGAGAAGAUUAUGCUGAGAGAAUGUUACUUAUUAUAUACACAAAGUCGAAAGAUUGUGGGAAACAUCGGAAUAAAUGCGUUUCUCAGGUUAGGGGAUUCAGAUUGAAGAAGCACCAAACGUGUUCUCGCCACUGUAAGUGAUGUAAAGGAAACCAUCUUGGUCUUUCUUCUCCUCAUAGACGCUUGACAUGAUCUCUCCUGUAGGAGGAAGAACAUUGUCUACGAAUAUAAAGAUAGCUUUUUCUGCACUCAGUUUGAUCCUCUUCCGAAUCACAUACACGAAUUGUCCAACUGUUAAAUCUGAUGGCACAAGGUAUCUGCAUAGAUACAGAUUCCAAAACAUUUAGAAAAAUCACAUCUAAAUUUUACAAAAUCUUGAAGUUAAAGAUAGGAACAAAGGUUAUUACUUUUUCUUGUCAAUGUUUGGGAUAUCACUUUUCUCAGCCUUUUCCACAAUCACCUGCAACAACCCACACAAAAAAAAAAACAUUUCUUGAAUGAUCAAUACAAUGCAAGAAAGUGAUCAAAAUCUUGAAACAGUAUUGUAUGUAUCUCAAACAAACAAAGAUUCUUGAUCUAAGAAAAACAUCUGAUCAAACACAAGAAUCCAAACAUUCCCCCUAAAGGGUCUAAUGAGAUCAUGUUCUUGUUCGUGGAAUCAAGAAACAAGCAUAAAGAUAAAACCUAUACAAGAAGCAGAGUAUAAAGAUAAAACCUUUAACAAGAAACAGAGCAUACCGGGAUUCUAUCAGCGUACUUCUCCCUGAUCCUUCCAGCUUCAGCUUUCCUCUUUUCUGCACACAAAAACCCAUCUCGAAGACUCAGAUAUAAACACAUGUGUGUGCUCUUAUAAACCUAAGAUCACAAGAAAGAAAAACUAACCGUAAUCGUUGUCAAGCUUGAAGCUGCUGCCUUUGUUCAUCUUUACUCCUGAGAAUUUACACAACCAGAAGGAUCCCAAAUCUAAAAUCGAAGGUAAGAAUUUAAGAAGAUCUAAUCAACUGAAAGGUAACAGAGAGAGAGAGAGAAAUUGAUGGAAUGGAUAAGGAUGAAACUCUUUAAAACAGAGAGAAGAAGAUGUCAACAAAGGCUAUUUCUUUUUCUUGUAUGAUUGGAUAACGAUUAACUUAUACCUAUUUGUAUAGUAUAUUCCCUUACGUGUCUAGAUCACCUUACCUUGUUCUCCAAACAUAAUCAUUCACUUUUUUUUGCUUAGGUCAAUUAUUAUAUAUAAUGUUCGUCUUUCACAAGCCAAUAAUACUACGUAAUUAUAUAUAAUUUAAUAUCACAGUAGUCAGUUACAUCGCAACGGAUCUUGUUUAAUGUUUUAAUUUAAUAAAAACCAUAAAAUAACAAUAAAUCAUUUUAUUAUAGUAUUAUAAUUGUUUUUUGCAUAUAUUGUUUGAAAUUUAUUUUAUAAUUAAAAAAAAUUUCACGUUCAAAUUAAUAUUUGUAUUUUAUAAUCACGGUGCAUAGAUGAGUUGUUAUAAACUUUAUACUAAGGAUUAGAGAAAAUACUAUACAUAAACAUUUAAAUUAAACACAAACCGAAAUAAGAAAUGAAAAGUAAAAUGAAAUGAAAGUUGAAUACAUCAAUCGAAUCAAUGACAACAUUAUACAUGUUCUUAUGUACUAAUUUAAUGUUUUAUUAAAUCAGUUUUGAAAAUUUUAUUUUGUUAGGAUUUUCUAAAAAAUGAAAGCACUAUAUUUUAUAAAUCUCAUUUUUAUUUACAAUUAAAAAAUAAAAAAUAAUAUUAAAUACUCUUUAGAAUCUUGUUUAAGAUUUUAGAAAAGGUAAAUUACUGUCAUAUAACCUAUUACAAUUAUCUUCUCUUUAGAAUUUCAGAAAAAAUAUAUUGCUAUUAAAUAGUUAUUUUUAUUUAUUAAUAAAUAUUUUUAAAAUUGCUAUUUUACAAUUCGUAUUAAUGAUAAUUUUUACACUUUUUUGCUAAUUAAAUAAUUUUUAGUAUCAUGUUCAUUAUCAAACACUUUCUUAAAAAUAAUAUCAAGUAAUUUUUACAAUUCUCUUUUGGUUAUGAUUUAAAAAUAUUAUACAAUUUUUUUGUUUGGGAUUUUUUUUAUAAAAAAAGAAAAAAAACUAUCAAAUAUUCUUAAACAGUUUUGUAGAAUUUUAGAAAAAAAAAAUUAAUAUUACGUAAUCUUUUACAAUUAUAUUUUGUCUAGGAUUUAAAAAAAUAAAAUUGCUGUCAAAUAACUAUUUACAGCUACCUUCUUCCUCUUGGACUUUCUUUUUGCUGGAUCCUUUUUGGAUUUCUGUUUUUAGGCCUGGUUGGGCCUCAUCUUUUGCCGAUGGUUGGGCCUUGUUGUAAAUGUUGGUUUCUAGCAAUUGGCCUUAGGAUGACAAAAAUACCAAAUCUAGGGGGUGAUUGGCAGUUGUUGAAGCUGCUGUCCACAACUCUAUUUAUUGCUACAGCACCAAAUUCAGAGCAAUAAAUUUUUUAAUUUUUUUUUGAAACCACAGCUUUUAAAAUAACCUACAGCUGUACAAGUGCUCUGCAGAGCCAAAUAUCCAAAACAAUUUUUUAGUGCUUUCCAUAAAAUUCUACAGCAAUAAAAUCUAAAACAACGGCAAAAAAUCUACCGAUUUUUUUCUACGCCAAAAAAAUUUAAACCUAAUUACCAAUCGGACCGUAAUUUCACUUCUGUUUCCUUUUAGUGGAUCGCACUUCUCCGUUAGUGCAAUGGCUUAAUGAUUUGUGUAACCGCGGAUAAUACGGAUUACUUAGCUUUAAUGGGCCUGUAGUUGGUUUGAUAAGAUAGAUUCUAAAAGGCUCAUGCCCUAUAUAAUACAUACGUGUCCAAGUAUUGCUACAAAACAAACCUGAUACGACUCUCUCGUUCAGUCACCAGGGGGGACGCAGAGGCGAUGUAACGGGGUCACGUGCGCCCGUCUAAAUUUUAUUUUUCCAAUAGUAAUAUGUAUAAAGUAUAAAAACUGCCCCCAUUUACAGAGUUAGAUGUAAUGUAAACAUGUCAUGUGCUCCUAUCUGAGUUUAGUGCUAGAUCCACCCCUGCCAGUCACCACUCCUUUGAAUAGUUAUAACUAGGGUUUGCGACUUCGUUACCGUCUACUCGUGCCUAUUCGCUCAUCUGGAUGAUUCUAAUGAAACAACAGUAGCGUUUAGCUAUCUUCAAAACUAGAUCUUAUAGAGUCAUUCGAUCAUCAAAAUUAUAUUAUUUCGACGGCUCUACCAAAAAAUUGUUCGGAGAUAAUCUUAGUAUUAGGCCAUGGGUAUUAGGUACAUAAAACUUGAAAUCUUUAGCAAUAUAAAUAUUAAGCGACGUUAUUAACAUUUUUGACAGAUGAAAAAAGGGUUUGAUAUAUGGAGUAUAUAAUAGCUUAUCUUCGUCAUUACCAAAUGAUUAAUGGAGAAUUUGUUAUGUGUGUAAUAGUGCAUCAUAUAGUUUUGUAUUUUUUUAUUUCAACUAACCCUAGAUUUUAGCAAUAAUACUUAAGUUUUAGUUUACGUAUUAAUCGUUAACCAUCUCUUGUGUUGUUGUGUUGGUCGUUGACAAAAGAGACCAUUAUUGUAUCAAACAUUUAACUAGGAACAUAGCAUCAGUAUAAAUACGUAUAUGUUCAUCUUGAUUUAUUAAUGAUAUUCCGAAUGAGUAAAUUAAACUACUAAUAAAAUUAUAUAAGUAGAUUUUAUUAUCAAUUGGGAAUAGAAAGUGAUGUAUAAUAACCUCAAGGUCCUCAACGCAAAUGCCCCUAAGUUUGAAGCUGGGUUUUAAAGAUAUGCUAUUAAGAAUUUGAAAUCUAAAAUUUAAAAUUUAAAAUGUAAAAUAAUAUUGUUCCUAAAGGUAGGAUGUUUUACAGAAUUGUGAUGUUUUAAUAUAUAAGAUGUUUUCAUUUUUCCAGAUAAUUUUUACUUUAUUAUUCAAUCACAUUUUAAUAAUUUAUUUUAUAAUUGGUUGAAUAUCAUUAAUUUACAUUUUUAAUGAUAAUUUCUAGACAAAAAAUAAUCUUUUUUACGUAUUUAGGAAUAGGAACAGAGGGAAAUAUAAUUUUACAUACAUACGUCAAUAUCUACACAAGUGGCACGUUAGUGGUGUCCCUUCUUAAGCUAGUCACCACUCCUAAAGAUUGAAUAAGCAAGUUGGUAAUUUGCAUUCUGAAAAUAACAGAAAGCCACGAAAAAAUAAUUUAAUGCGACACACAUUUUGUUUUAAGACAGAGUUACAAUAGUGGUGGAAACUCACAUGGAGGUUUGUGGUUUGUCUUGGGAAAUAAACCAUGUCUCUCAUAAUGACAAUGCUCAAUAUAAUUGUUUUAAAUUUUCUGAUCAUUACUGAUUCAAGAUAGGAGUACUAUAUGUAUAAUGGUUCGUUUAAUGCAAUUCUGUCACAUAAUAAUAACUUAAUAACCAUGUCUACUUUACAUUCAUACACAAGCAACCAAAAUUUUCAAUCUUGUCUUGGAAAAUCCAGCUGCACUUCUCCUUACUUGAUUUUCAUUUACUCCACUUUCAUAUAUGGACCACUUGAUUAUUAGUAAUGUUAGUACUAUAUCUUAUGGUUGUAUAGUGUUUUUUAGUGGAAUAAACAAUAUGUUAGCGUGAUCCAUGUUGUAUCAUCGAGGUGUUUCACUACCACGAAUUUUCUUAGAAAUUGUAAACAACAUAUUGGGACCGUGCGAUUAAAUUGAUUUAUGUUGGCAAGAAAAUAAAUUGUUUUAUAGCUAAAAAAAAGUUUCAUUUCCAACACAGUUGUUUAGUGUCGACAAUAUCUUAUACCUAAUGUAAAUAGUUUAUUCUUACGUUUUUGUUUUGUACUUUCAUCGAUUAUAUAAUUUUUUUGCUGUAUUAUUAACGGUAGACAACAUUAACAUAAUAAUUAACGCUUCAUUAUUUAAAUGAAUUUUUAUUUUUAUAGUGCGUUGAAGUUUUUGAGCAUAGCAUUGUCAUCUCCAUUGACCAGGACUAAUACAUUAAAUGAUCAUUGUUAAAUCAUACAAAUUGAUCUUUAAACAACAAAGUGAAACGCUACAUCUUUGUUUCCACACAAAAUGGAAGUAUUUCCUUAAAACCUCAAAACAUUCUUUUUUUUUGGACAACAAAAACCUCAAAACAUAAAACGAAACGAAACAAUACAAAUCCCAUAUAUAUUAUUUGAGAAGCAUUACAACUUCUUUUUGUAGCCACGUGUCAUCAUUAGAAUGAUUUUUAGAAUCAUUAGAGAAAUAUGUUGGUCCAUCUAAUUAUAUAAUAAGUUUUUUAUUAAACUAACAAUAAAUUCAUCAUUAAUGUACUUUAUUAUUUUCUUAAAUAAAAUUUACGGAAUUUCCUAAAGUGGCUAAAGUAUAUAUGGCAAUUAAUGAUUUUGAAUAAUAAAGAUUUGAUAAAAAAUAGUGUAUCUUCUAUCAUAUUUGUUUAAUUUUAAGCUAUUAAAUAAAUUAAAUAUAUUAAAUAAAUUAAAUAACCACAAUAACCAUAUAAUAAAAAUAUAGAUUUUUAUGUAUAUGUUAUAUUUUGAAUUUAUUUAAUACAUAAAAUAAUUUAUAUAUAUAAUGUUGAUCUCGCGCAAGGCGUGGAUCUUAACCUAGUUGGGAAUUAUUUCCAAAACAUGCAUUGAUAAAAGUCCCAAUAAAAUAAUGUUAAUUAUUUAACAAACACAUGCUAUCAUUAACAACUUUUUCACCACGAGUUAAAGUAAUAGACACAACCCCCAUCUCAGAUUUUAUUUAGAAAAGCAAUACAAAAAGAUGAAUACUUCCAACAUAAUUUAGAGCCACUGGAUCUAUGGAUAGACAAAGAAUCACAGCCGUUGAAAGAGUUGGUCUCGAUGUUUUCAAAAAAAAUCUUCAAAAAGCUACACAGAGAGACACUCAAAUAGAGCACCGGUCCGUCGGAUUUAGUUUCGCAAACAAGGCCCAAAGCCAACCUGCCAGAGUUGUUUCCCCUGAAAUUACCAUAAUAUGCCUCCUUUGUAGUGUCUCUCGCUGGUAUAAGAGGAUAGAAUUGGGAAUUCACGUAAAUAAGUAGUAAUGAAACACUGCGUCAGUUUCGUCUUUUUGCUCUGCUUCCUCGGCAUUUGUAAGAUUUUCUUUUUAAUAACACUGUUUCAGUCUUUCAGAUCAAUGAUUUUUUUACGCGCCUCUUUUUCAUUAUUUUUGAAAAAAGUAUUUGCCUAAUGUAAAGCACGUUGAAAGUUGCAAAACAUUUGAAAUUAUCAAAAGAAAAAACACUUUGUUGUAAUUUACUUUUUGAAUUGUGUGCUUGAAUUUCUUUUCUUCUGAUUUUUGUAUAUAUGUUUUCAUUUCAAUGCUGGAAAAUAACAUAUAGCAUUUUGUCUAAAAUAAAAAUGGCAAACAUGUUUGUUUAGUAAUAUAUAAUGAAUUUCAAUUCUCGUUAUGACAAAUAUUAGACAACUCUUGUUUCAACAAUCGACUACAUGUUUUGCUUUUUAUUGACCUGUUUAUUAUGUUAAUCUUAUGUUUUAUAUAUUACUGAAUUAAAAUCUUGAUCAACAAAAUCAUGUAACCAUAGCUUUUUGUUAAAGAUCAUAUAACCAAUACUUCAAAUGAAUCUUCAAACUUCAAAAUUUGAUUUAUCAGCCGAGUUUUAUUAUGUUAUAUCAUCAUUAAUGAUUUAGUUUACGAAGUUUAAAUACAAAAUGCUUACCAACUAUUAGUACUUUGUUUUUUUUUGAAUAAAACUAUUAGUACUUUGUUGUUAUAAAAUUUACAAGUAGGUAGAAUUGGAGCUUAUAGAAGGCAGGGAAAUAAGAUUUACAAUUGUUUUUUUUUGUUGAGCCCACAUAGGAGCCAUUUAAUUAAUUUAACCCACUUGAAAGUGGCGAGGGUGAUUUAUAUAAAUACCAUACAGGGCAACAUUCCAAAACAAAGCAACAAAAAACUAAAAAUUUGACAGCUUAUAAGACAAAUAUGGUGACUAAAAUAAAGAGAGGAAAAUGACUUUAGAGAGAGUAGAGUCACGCGCAGCAUAUUGCGAAGAGAGACAACGAUGGCACGAGAACACGGUACAUAUGUAGAUAAGUACAUCUACAGACACGAGCCACACAUAGAGGAGGAAGGAGAAGCAAAACAAAAUAAUAAAAAUUCUUCAUUACACAAACCGCACCCCCUCUCUCUCUUCUUCUUUUGUUGUCUUCCUGUUCUGUUCUGUUCUGUUCUGUUCUGUUCUGAGAUCUCUCUCUAAUAAGUUUUUCUUCGUUACUGUGUAUGAGGCCAUGCCCUUAUCCUUUGAAAGAUUUCAAGGGGAGGGGGUGUUCAGUGUUUCUUCUUUCUACUCAGAUUCUCACAAAACACGGUUUAAUCAAGACAAAACCGGAAUCGAAGAAGAACGAGAAGAUCUCGGUUAUGUUUUCCGUGGUGGUUUACAAGAACCAACGUCUGUUCUCGACGCUUUAAGAAGCCCUAUCUUGUCUUGGAAAUCCAGNNNNNNNNNNNNNNNNNNNNNNNNNNNNNNNNNNNNNNNNNNNNNNNNNNNNNNNNNNNNNNNNNNNNNNNNNNNNNNNNNNNNNNNNNNNNNNNNNNNNNNNNNNNNNNNNNNNNNNNNNNNNNNNNNNNNNNNNNNNNNNNNNNNNNNNNNNNNNNNNNNNNNNNNNNNNNNNNNNNNNNNNNNNNNNNNNNNNNNNNNNNNNNNNNNNNNNNNNNNNNNNNNNNNNNNNNNNNNNNNNNNNNNNNNNNNNNNNNNNNNNNNNNNNNNNNNNNNNNNNNNNNNNNNNNNNNNNNNNNNNNNNNNNNNNNNNNNNNNNNNNNNNNNNNNNNNNNNNNNNNNNNNNNNNNNNNNNNNNNNNNNNNNNNNNNNNNNNNNNNNNNNNNNNNNNNNNNNNNNNNNNNNNNNNNNNNNNNNNNNNNNNNNNNNNNNNNNNNNNNNNNNNNNNNNNNNNNNNNNNNNNNNNNNNNNNNNNNNNNNNNNNNNNNNNNNNNNNNNNNNNNNNNNNNNNNNNNNNNNNNNNNNNNNNNNNNNNNNNNNNNNNNNNNNNNNNNNNNNNNNNNNNNNNNNNNNNNNNNNNNNNNNNNNNNNNNNNNNNNNNNNNNNNNNNNNNNNNNNNNNNNNNNNNNNNNNNNNNNNNNNNNNNNNNNNNNNNNNNNNNNNNNNNNNNNNNNNNNNNNNNNNNNNNNNNNNNNNNNNNNNNNNNNNNNNNNNNNNNNNNNNNNNNNNNNNNNNNNNNNNNNNNNNNNNNNNNNNNNNNNNNNNNNNNNNNNNNNNNNNNNNNNNNNNNNNNNNNNNNNNNNNNNNNNNNNNNNNNNNNNNNNNNNNNNNNNNNNNNNNNNNNNNNNNNNNNNNNNNNNNNNNNNNNNNNNNNNNNNNNNNNNNNNNNNNNNNNNNNNNNNNNNNNNNNNNNNNNNNNNNNNNNNNNNNNNNNNNNNNNNNNNNNNNNNNNNNNNNNNNNNNNNNNNNNNNNNNNNNNNNNNNNNNNNNNNNNNNNNNNNNNNNNNNNNNNNNNNNNNNNNNNNNNNNNNNNNNNNNNNNNNNNNNNNNNNNNNNNNNNNNNNNNNNNNNNNNNNNNNNNNNNNNNNNNNNNNNNNNNNNNNNNNNNNNNNNNNNNNNNNNNNNNNNNNNNNNNNNNNNNNNNNNNNNNNNNNNNNNNNNNNNNNNNNNNNNNNNNNNNNNNNNNNNNNNNNNNNNNNNNNNNNNNNNNNNNNNNNNNNNNNNNNNNNNNNNNNNNNNNNNNNNNNNNNNNNNNNNNNNNNNNNNNNNNNNNNNNNNNNNNNNNNNNNNNNNNNNNNNNNNNNNNNNNNNNNNNNNNNNNNNNNNNNNNNNNNNNNNNNNNNNNNNNNNNNNNNNNNNNNNNNNNNNNNNNNNNNNNNNNNNNNNNNNNNNNNNNNNNNNNNNNNNNNNNNNNNNNNNNNNNNNNNNNNNNNNNNNNNNNNNNNNNNNNNNNNNNNNNNNNNNNNNNNNNNNNNNNNNNNNNNNNNNNNNNNNNNNNNNNNNNNNNNNNNNNNNNNNNNNNNNNNNNNNNNNNNNNNNNNNNNNNNNNNNNNNNNNNNNNNNNNNNNNNNNNNNNNNNNNNNNNNNNNNNNNNNNNNNNNNNNNNNNNNNNNNNNNNNNNNNNNNNNNNNNNNNNNNNNNNNNNNNNNNNNNNNNNNNNNNNNNNNNNNNNNNNNNNNNNNNNNNNNNNNNNNNNNNNNNNNNNNNNNNNNNNNNNNNNNNNNNNNNNNNNNNNNNNNNNNNNNNNNNNNNNNNNNNNNNNNNNNNNNNNNNNNNNNNNNNNNNNNNNNNNNNNNNNNNNNNNNNNNNNNNNNNNNNNNNNNNNNNNNNNNNNNNNNNNNNNNNNNNNNNNNNNNNNNNNNNNNNNNNNNNNNNNNNNNNNNNNNNNNNNNNNNNNNNNNNNNNNNNNNNNNNNNNNNNNNNNNNNNNNNNNNNNNNNNNNNNNNNNNNNNNNNNNNNNNNNNNNNNNNNNNNNNNNNNNNNNNNNNNNNNNNNNNNNNNNNNNNNNNNNNNNNNNNNNNNNNNNNNNNNNNNNNNNNNNNNNNNNNNNNNNNNNNNNNNNNNNNNNNNNNNNNNNNNNNNNNNNNNNNNNNNNNNNNNNNNNNNNNNNNNNNNNNNNNNNNNNNNNNNNNNNNNNNNNNNNNNNNNNNNNNNNNNNNNNNNNNNNNNNNNNNNNNNNNNNNNNNNNNNNNNNNNNNNNNNNNNNNNNNNNNNNNNNNNNNNNNNNNNNNNNNNNNNNNNNNNNNNNNNNNNNNNNNNNNNNNNNNNNNNNNNNNNNNNNNNNNNNNNNNNNNNNNNNNNNNNNNNNNNNNNNNNNNNNNNNNNNNNNNNNNNNNNNNNNNNNNNNNNNNNNNNNNNNNNNNNNNNNNNNNNNNNNNNNNNNNNNNNNNNNNNNNNNNNNNNNNNNNNNNNNNNNNNNNNNNNNNNNNNNNNNNNNNNNNNNNNNNNNNNNNNNNNNNNNNNNNNNNNNNNNNNNNNNNNNNNNNNNNNNNNNNNNNNNNNNNNNNNNNNNNNNNNNNNNNNNNNNNNNNNNNNNNNNNNNNNNNNNNNNNNNNNNNNNNNNNNNNNNNNNNNNNNNNNNNNNNNNNNNNNNNNNNNNNNNNNNNNNNNNNNNNNNNNNNNNNNNNNNNNNNNNNNNNNNNNNNNNNNNNNNNNNNNNNNNNNNNNNNNNNNNNNNNNNNNNNNNNNNNNNNNNNNNNNNNNNNNNNNNNNNNNNNNNNNNNNNNNNNNNNNNNNNNNNNNNNNNNNNNNNNNNNNNNNNNNNNNNNNNNNNNNNNNNNNNNNNNNNNNNNNNNNNNNNNNNACCAAUUUAAUUAUAUAUUUAAUAGUUACUGACUUUUAAUUAUUUAAUAUAUAUUUAUUAUUUCAUAAUAUGUAAAAAUAUUUAAUACAUAAAAUAAUUUAUAUAUAUAAUGUUGAUCUCGCGCAAGGCGUGGAUCUUAACCUAGUUGGGAAUUAUUUCCAAAACAUGCAUUGAUAAAAGUCCCAAUAAAAUAAUGUUAAUUAUUUAACAAACACAUGCUAUCAUUAACAACUUUUUCACCACGAGUUAAAGUAAUAGACACAACCCCCAUCUCAGAUUUUAUUUAGAAAAGCAAUACAAAAAGAUGAAUACUUCCAACAUAAUUUAGAGCCACUGGAUCUAUGGAUAGACAAAGAAUCACAGCCGUUGAAAGAGUUGGUCUCGAUGUUUUCAAAAAAAAUCUUCAAAAAGCUACACAGAGAGACACUCAAAUAGAGCACCGGUCCGUCGGAUUUAGUUUCGCAAACAAGGCCCAAAGCCAACCUGCCAGAGUUGUUUCCCCUGAAAUUACCAUAAUAUGCCUCCUUUGUAGUGUCUCUCGCUGGUAUAAGAGGAUAGAAUUGGGAAUUCACGUAAAUAAGUAGUAAUGAAACACUGCGUCAGUUUCGUCUUUUUGCUCUGCUUCCUCGGCAUUUGUAAGAUUUUCUUUUUAAUAACACUGUUUCAGUCUUUCAGAUCAAUGAUUUUUUUACGCGCCUCUUUUUCAUUAUUUUUGAAAAAAGUAUUUGCCUAAUGUAAAGCACGUUGAAAGUUGCAAAACAUUUGAAAUUAUCAAAAGAAAAAACACUUUGUUGUAAUUUACUUUUUGAAUUGUGUGCUUGAAUUUCUUUUCUUCUGAUUUUUGUAUAUAUGUUUUCAUUUCAAUGCUGGAAAAUAACAUAUAGCAUUUUGUCUAAAAUAAAAAUGGCAAACAUGUUUGUUUAGUAAUAUAUAAUGAAUUUCAAUUCUCGUUAUGACAAAUAUUAGACAACUCUUGUUUCAACAAUCGACUACAUGUUUUGCUUUUUAUUGACCUGUUUAUUAUGUUAAUCUUAUGUUUUAUAUAUUACUGAAUUAAAAUCUUGAUCAACAAAAUCAUGUAACCAUAGCUUUUUGUUAAAGAUCAUAUAACCAAUACUUCAAAUGAAUCUUCAAACUUCAAAAUUUGAUUUAUCAGCCGAGUUUUAUUAUGUUAUAUCAUCAUUAAUGAUUUAGUUUACGAAGUUUAAAUACAAAAUGCUUACCAACUAUUAGUACUUUGUUUUUUUUUGAAUAAAACUAUUAGUACUUUGUUGUUAUAAAAUUUACAAGUAGGUAGAAUUGGAGCUUAUAGAAGGCAGGGAAAUAAGAUUUACAAUUGUUUUUUUUUGUUGAGCCCACAUAGGAGCCAUUUAAUUAAUUUAACCCACUUGAAAGUGGCGAGGGUGAUUUAUAUAAAUACCAUACAGGGCAACAUUCCAAAACAAAGCAACAAAAAACUAAAAAUUUGACAGCUUAUAAGACAAAUAUGGUGACUAAAAUAAAGAGAGGAAAAUGACUUUAGAGAGAGUAGAGUCACGCGCUGCGUAUUGCGAAGAGAGACAACGAUGGCACGAGAACACGGUACAUAUGUAGAUAAGUACAUCUACAGACACGAGCCACACAUAGAGGAGGAAGGAGAAGCAAAACAAAAUAAUAAAAAUUCUUCAUUACACAAACCGCACCCCCUCUCUCUCUUCUUCUUUUGUUGUCUUCCUGUUCUGUUCUGUUCUGUUCUGUUCUGUUCUGAGAUCUCUCUCUAAUAAGUUUUUCUUCGUUACUGUGUAUGAGGCCAUGCCCUUAUCCUUUGAAAGAUUUCAAGGGGAGGGGGUGUUCAGUGUUUCUUCUUUCUACUCAGAUUCUCACAAAAUACGGUUUAAUCAAGACAAAACCGGAAUCGAAGAAGAACGAGAAGAUCUUGGUUAUGUUUUCCGUGGUGGUUUACAAGAACCAACGUCUGUUCUCGACGCUUUAAGAAGCCCUAGUCCUCUCGCUUCUCACCACCACCAACACGACGAUGUCUUCCCCUCACGGCGGUGGUGCCGUCACCGCCACCGCCACCACAACAGCCGGCGAUGAUAAAUGUAGUCAAAUAGGCUUGGACGAUCUCGACGGAGUUAUCUCUCCUGAUCAAGAGCAGAGCAUCUUGAGGCUUAUCAUGGACCCGGGUUCAGGAUUCGGUGUUCUCGACCCGGGUUUCGGUUUCGGAUCCGGUUCAGCUCCGGUAAGUGAUGGUUCGAAUCCUUUGCUAUCAUGCGGCUUCCCGUUUAACGAGCAAACUCAUCAGAUUCCGAAUCAAGAAUCGUUGUUCUCUAAUCCUCCUUCGUCUCCGCCUACGAAACGAUUCAAUUCCGGAUCUCAUCAACCGGUUUUCCCGUUUUCCGAUCCGGUUCCGUUUCAGCAAUACCAGUUUCCGGUUCAGUUUCACCCCCAACAAAUCUCUUCUUCUUCACCCGCGGCGGCUUUGGUUCCGGUUCCGCCGCCGGGGAUAGCUGGUGAUGACCAGUCAGUCAUCAUCGGACAGCUCUUAAACGCGGCGGAGCUAAUAGCAACCACCGGCGACCACACCAUUCUCGCGCAAGGGAUAUUGGCGCGGCUCAAUCACCAUCUCAGCAGCAGCAGCUACAACAACAAAGCUCCGUUUCAAAGAGCAGCUUUCCACAUCUCCGAAGCUCUCCUCUCUCUCAUCCACGACGCAGCACCACCGUUACUCACGCCGGAGAAUCUCAUCCUCAGAAUCGCAGCUUACAGAACCUUCUCCGAAACGUCGCCGUUUCUCCAGUUCGUCAACUUCACGGCGAACCAAUCGAUUCUCGAGUUGGGCUUCGAGCGGAUCCACAUUAUCGAUUUCGAUGUUGGAUACGGAGGACAAUGGUCGUCUUUAAUGCAGGAACUUGCAAGGAAAAGAGGGUCGUGUCUUAAAGUAACCGUCUUUGCUCCUCCUCCUUCUACAGUCUCCGACGAGUUUGAGCUCAGAUUCACCGAGGAGAAUCUCCGAAGCUUCGCCGGAGAGCUCAAGAUUCCGUUUGAAAUGGAGUUGUUGAGUCUCGAGCUUCUUCUGAACCCAGCUUACUGGCCGCUCUCUCUCCGUUCAUCGCAGAAAGAAGCAGUCGCAGUGAAUCUUCCUGUAAGCUCCGUCGACUCCGGUUACCUUCCGUUAAUCCUCCGUUUUCUUAAACAGAUAUCCCCAAACGUCGUCGUUUGUUCAGAUAGAGGGUGUGACCGUAACGACGCGCCGUUUCCUAACGCUGUGAUCCACGCGCUUCAGUACCACACCACUCUGCUCGAGUCUCUCGACGCCAAUCAAAGCCAAGAGGAUUCGAGUGUUGAGAGGUUUUGGGUGCGACCUUCUAUCGAGAAGCUUUUGGUGAAACGACACCGUUGGAUUGAAAGAUCACCGCCGUGGAGAAGCUUGUUUACACAAUGUGGGUUUACUCCGGCGAGUUUGAGUCAGACGGCGGAGACUCAGGCGGAGUGUUUGAUGCAGAGGAAUCCGGUGAGAGGGUUUCAUGUUGAGAAAAGACAGUCUUCACUUGUCAUGUGUUGGCAGAGGAAAGAACUUGUUACUGUCUCUGCUUGGAAAUGUUAGAAGAAACCAAAUGAAUCUCAGCUGAUUUUUAUGUUUCUUUCAUGAUUUCAAUCUCUUUUUUCUUAAAUGAUAUGCUAUCUUGUUCAAUGUUGUUCUUAGUUUCAACUGUGGUGUUGACACUUGAAGGAAGUAAGGAUAUAUAAUCAAAAAUCUCCUUUUGUUAGAUUCUAUUUUGGUCCUUUUUAGUUUAUGCAAUCAAUAGAUCUCUCAUCCAAAUAUAGAAAUUGCAAGGGAUAGUUAUUUCAAAUCAGAUAGCUUAUAUUUUGCUUUGAGGGGACUUGAGUGUAUAGUUUAGCUGUAUAAACAGUCUAAUUUGGACUAUUGUUUCUUUUAAUAUUUGAUUGCCGUCUAGUUAUUUACUUGAAUAAGACUUGUGGAAAACUAUGUCUAAGAGCUUAUUCUAGUGUGAAGUUCAUACAUGAUUACAUAUAUGGUGAAAACUGAUAUACAAUACACAUAAAUAACAAUCAACGACAACUUUAUCUUACCUUUGGAAGGUGACAAGAGAUAGAGAAAUACUCACGGUACAUGCAAGAGAUACUGUUAUAACACAUUUCUAUAAAGUAAUAAAUUUUUACAACCACAAAGUUGAGCCAAUUCGUUUCUCGUUUGGUUUUUGGAGCUUCCAAGGUUGAAUGUUUGUUUAAUCGUCUUGGGUCCCUAACAUAAAUUAUUUGUUUUCUGUCAUAGAAAAGGUUAAGACUUUAAUUUACGUACAAUUUGUUUAAUAUUAAUUGAAGGAUUAAAAAAUAUAGCCCUUAACUGUAUUCCUAAGCUUUUAGCUUUAAGGUAUAUCAUAUACUCCGUGAACAUGUAAUUCGACUUUUAUUCGUGAAAUCACAUGGGCUUAUAGUCAUUGGUGCUUAAUAUUAUAUAGUUUUUGGUUAUUGAACUUUUAUAUGUUAACUAAAUUGGACGGUCUUGAUUUGGGACCAACCGCUUCAUUAAAUUAAGAUCGAUCUAGUUUUAUGACGUCGGUGUAAGAGAAUUAAAAUUUCUUUAAAACGUGUAGUUUUGUGCAUUGGCUGGAUUAAAGAAACAAAUAGUAUAAUUAUUAACCCUGCAUAUCUAUUUAUAUCAAUUAUUGUCGUCUUUGUUUACUAAGAUAAGAUCGAUAUCUAAUCCACUAGCAUCUUACCGAACUAUUAAAACACUCGAUAAUGGUCUGUAAUCUUGUUCUAGGCUCUCUAGUAGCGGAUCGAGGUUUGCAUGUUACUUUGUAUGAAAUUUUGUUUGUUUGUUUGUUUUGGUUUCCUAAUUUCGAAAUUAUCAGCUUUUUGACAAUAUAAAAAAGCAUCAUCAGCUUUAGUUAUUGCAGCUUUAAAACUAAACAGUCAUCAAUAAGAUAUGAGAAUUUAAACUAGAAAUAUAAUAACGUGAAUUAACAUCGAGCCGAACCGACAACAGACACUUUUGUCUCCAUGACUGCCAAAGAAAGCUUCAUAAUUUUACUUUGCGAAUUAAUUAAGAACCACCGGUUCAUGCACACAUACGUGCUUACAAACAUUACAUCACACAAAUAAUUCAUCAUGAAUUAAGAUAUAAUAUAAUUCGUGUGAAAAUAUUUUCCCCAUAGAUGUAUUAAAUGAUUUUAGUAAACUAUGAAAAAUAUUUUGUAAACUAUGCAUUAAUGCUUCUAACUAUCAAAUAAAUUGAAAUAUUAAUUAAUUAAAAUGUUAAGACUUUGUAAUUUUAUAAGAUAUUAAAUAGAUUUAUAAUUGUUGAAGUAAAGACUUCAUUUUAGAUGUACAGCAUGUGGUUUUACAAACAGUGUUUUAUAAUUUUGUUUCCAUAGUUUUACACUUCUACAAAAUGUUAAAGAACGUGGUUUAAAGUAUACAAAUUAAUGUGGCAUUUCAUAAGAAAGGAAUAAACUUUGAUAGAUACAAAAUCUUAAGCUGAUGCUCUCGCUCCAUGGCUCCACCAAUAUCUUGGCUCCACCAAUAUCUUCUUCUUCCCAAUCAUUUCUUCGUUCUCUCAUCUCUCUUUAUCUUUUGAUUCUUUAGGUAAAUUAAUCUACUUUUUUUCGUCACACGAUUUUAAAAGUCUGCUUGGGAACAACGCAUUCUCUAUCAACCCUACAUAUUUUUAGUCACUCUUUCUGACUUUCCUUUCUCAAUACCUCAUUUUAGUUUUUAUAUCUAAUUUAUUAAAACAGAAUUACAAAUAAUAAAUUAACCCUAAGAUUUACUAAUAAUAAACAACGACUAAUGAAAGAUAAGUUUAUUAAUUACUUCAAUAACAUUUCCUAAAUUGAUUAUUAACUAUAACCACGUGUUUGUGGUCGAGUGGUCAAGGCGUUUCGUGCAUCUCCAAAGGAUCCAAAUUCGAAUCUGCAUCACACCAAAUUUUCAAAGCGCGUGACCACCAGAGCUUUCACGUUCUCUCUUCCAGAAAUUGUUUACUAUUUUUUUAUUAUUAUUAACUAUAGAAAUCAGCGACAAUAAUUAUAUUUGAACUGACUUCCUUGUUUAACGUCAGCAAAAUCUACACGUAAUAUAUACGAUGAAAGUAAUUCAAAGAUAUUGAGUGCAUCUUUGAGGUCAUCUGUUUUCGGUAGAUUUUAAAUAUGUUAAUCAUAUCGUAAUGUAUUCUAUUUUUAACACAUACAAUCCAUAGUUUUCUAUUUCUUAGUGAUCUAAAUUUAGUAAAGUGUUUUGUAUAUAUACCUUAAUUUCUAAACUCCUAUGUAAUAUAACUUUUGUAAUAUUUUUAAUAUUAAAUUUGAAAAUAUUUUAUUCAUUUACUAUCUAUACUAUUAUUUGCGAAUUAAUUUUUUAUAAUGGAGCUCUUACGUUAAAACUUAGAGUGGCUAAAGUCAUUGUUACCCUUAGUGAAUUAUUAAAUUUAUUUAUUAGAUUAGAUUAUUGAUUAAAAAUUAAUAAUAUAAAAAUUAGCCAUAAAUAAAAACGAAUUUUAAAUUUAUUAAACCAGAUAAUUCAUUUAAAUUGAUAUAAUAAAAGUUAUCUAAAUAUUAAAUGUAUUUUACAAAUAAAAAGAUAAUUUUUAUAUAUUUUGUGUUGAUAUCCUAAAAUAUUAUAUUUUAAUGUAUUUAAAAAGUAAAAAAAUUUAAGAUUUAAAAUAUAUAUGUUAUCCAAAAAAUAUUUUACAUCAUAAUAUUUUUAGAAUGAAUAUAAAUUUAUGUAUUUAGUUUUAUGUAUAUAUGAAUGUUUUCAAAUCUGUUUUAAUAAAAUAUAUUUUAUUAAAGUGAACAAAUUAUUAUAUAUAAAAAUUUAAAAAUUUAAUUCAUUAUUAAAUAUUUUAAAAGCAAAAAAAUAAUUGAUUCUAAUAGUUUUUGAAUUGAUAAUAAAUUUAUUUAUAAUUUUUUGUAAAAUUAUUAAACCCGCAAGUGCGGGCAACCCACCUAGUGGUUUUUAAUAAGCAUGAGCAAAAAUACCACAACCGAACCAAAAUACUCGAAUCUGAAACCGUACCAAUUUUUUUAAAUAACCGAAUGGUUCCAAAAUUUAUAUAUCCAAAAUCACCGAAUCGAACCGAGAACCGAACUGAUACCCGAAUACAUAAAAUAUUAAUUAUUAUAAAAUAUUUGAACUAUUUAAAAGCAUCUGAAACUAUCGAGAUAUUUUUAUCCAAAGUAUAUCCAAAUUUUUUAAAUCUAAAUCAUCAUUAUUAUUCGAUAUUUUAUCCAAAAUAUUUGUUAUUUAACCUAAACUACCUGAACUACUCGAAAUAACCAAACAUGAGACGAAACAAAAUGAGAACCAAAAUUUUCUGGGUAUUUUAUGAUUUCUAAUUCUAUUAUCCGAACCGAACUGAAACUAGAGUUACCCGAAUUGAACCUGAACAAAAAAUGAUUAAAUAAUAAAUAGAUCAUCUACCCAUCCUACCCGAUAUAUAAAAUACUUGAACCAAACCGAAUCGAUACCAGAAAUAUUCAUUCUAACUUAUAAUAUAAUCUAAUCUAUUAAAACAAAAGUAAAUAUAUAAAUUAACUCUUAAACUACCUUUUAAUUACAACAAAUGCCACUCUUUUUUUACUUAAACUCUAAUUAAUGUUAGAUAUCAGUUUUCAUAAGAAAAGUAUAUUCAAAAUUUCCUAAAACUUAGCUACCAAAUAUAUUUAAAAGAUUGUAAUCUUCUAUUUACUAAAGAAAAAUAUAAAAUAUAAAAAUCGACUUCGCAAGUAAAAGAAAAAUUGGGAGAUGGAUUAAAUUAUCAGAUUAAUUUAUUGGUUUAUUGAAAAUAAAUUAUUAUAUAGUUUCAAAAAAAAACUUAAUCAUCAAUCACGAGAACUAAUUAUCAUAUUAAUAAUUUCAAAAAUGAAAACUAAUACCCGUUCGGACGCACCGAUAAAACUCUAGGAGUAUUUUAUAACAAAAGGUUCAUUUAAUAGAAACAAUAAAUGAAAAAUCAAAUCCAUUGUCUUUGUAGAACAGCGUCAAUGGUGGAGUGGUGGUAGACCCAUCACCAUCAAAAUAAUUGCAAUUCGGCCGUUAAUCAUGUAAUAAUUUUAGUGUAAUAUAUAGUUAAGGUCAAACUAUCAUAUAGUUCUUCAUUAAAUAUAAAAAGAGUUCUUAAGAAUUUAUCACAUUUAUAUAUGGAGUACUAAAUUCUUAUAAAUACAAAAAUAAAUUACUAAUUAAAGCCUGACUUUCUUUGGCAACUCAACUGUCAAACAUUAACCAAACCCAAACCGGUAGUUGCCUCGAAGACUGUACUCAUCAUAAAGCUUCUUCAAGAUAUCCAAAACUGAUUCAGAAAGCAGAGUAUACUCGAUGCUUUCUUUACCAUACAACAUCUCAAAGCAGAGAUUAACAAAGUUCAUCUUCUUUCUUGGGUCAAAGACAUUUGCAACUAUGAUGAGCUUGUUCAUUUUACAGCUCUUAAACUUGCUCUUCUCAGCUUCAUCUUCUUCCACGAACGGAUUCCAGUAUUUCCUUAUCUUCCCCAUCAUAGACAACGCCUUGUACCUUAAUGAAUCAUCAGGACCUUGUGCGUUGCUUAUCUUACAAACAUUCCUAGUGAUAGUGACAAUCUCAUUGUAGAUCUUGUGUGAAGUGAUGGAUUUCGAAGCUGAGAGUACCAAAGUAGAAUUGUAAAAGAUCACGAGAAAGUGUACCAACCUCUCAACCUCUUCCCAAUCUGAUUUUGAUGGUGGUCCAAUCCUCUUUUUACCAUCUGUGAUCUCCAUGAAAUAGUCAUUGUACGGUUUGUCUUCAGACUCCAUCUUCUCAAAUGCUAGGCGAAACUUCAAAGCUUGGUCUAACAUGAGAUAUGUCGAGUUCCAUCUGGUCUUCACAUCUAAUGGCAGACUUCCUCUAGUCAUCUUCCCACUUUCAACCCGAAAUUCAAAGGACUUGAGACGAUUUGUUGAAGACCUCACGUACUGAAUAGCAUUCCGAAUGGCAAUAACACUAUCAUCGAUUUCAGCUAAGCCUUCCUUGACAAUUAGAUUCAAGAUAUGUGUCGCACACCUGAUGUGCAAGAAUUCUCCAUUCAAGACUAGAGCAUCUUCACCCUGACUCAUAAAAUCUUCCUUGAACUUCUUCAUAGCUGAUGUGUUAGCCGUUGCGUUAUCCACCGUGAUGCAAAAGACUCUUCUUAUAUCCCAUUCAGCUAGACAAUCAAUCAGAACUUUGGCAAUUGUAGACCCUUUGUGAUCAUCAACAUUCUUGAACCCUAUUAUCAUCUUCUGAAGCUUCCAACUCGCAUCUACGAAAUGAGCAGUGAUCACCAUGUAGCUUGCUGAAGUGUACGGAGCAACCCAGAUGUCUGUCGUCAGAGAUAACCUUUGUUUGUUCUGUCCAAGAACUUUCUUCAUCUUCGCUUUCCUUGAUGCAUACAUGGCCACAAUUUGCUUUGUUGAUGUCUUCCUACAAACCGGUGUAUGGAGCUGAACCUUUAAGCAGAAGCUUCUCCACGCCAAGCUUUCAAUAAAAGCCAAAGGCAACUCGGCUAAUACAAUCAACUCAUCUGUCGCCUCUUUGAAAACAUCUUCAGACACCUUGUACAAAGUCAGAUUGCCUUCUUCAUCAGGAGUUAACUCUGUCUGUUUACCCUUCCCUUUCGACGCUUUUGCAGCCUUCCAUGCGAGGAAUCCCUUACACCCAAGUAUAUGCUUCCUGAGGUUAGUUGUCCCGGACUUACUUGGACAAGGCAUCUCUUUCCCACAGUAGCGACAUUUGCAUCUGUCGUAGUCGUCUUUCAGUCUGGUGAGAUGUUUCCAGACAAAAGACCUGGUCUUUUUCCUUGACCCUAAACCAGAACUACCAAUACCCUCUUCAUCUCUCUCGUUCCUUUUGUAGUUGCUACCCAGUGUUUCCAUGUCUUCAUCAGAAGAAACGUCCUCUUCCAUUGGUUGAUUGUUGUUUUCUUCUUGAUGAGUGUCAGAAGAAGCCAUCUGCAAUAAAUAACCAAACAAUGUAAAAAAAUCAAUCGAUUUCAUGAUAAAUCGAUUUUAAGAAUGAGAACUAAGAAAAGAUGCAUACCUCCGAUUGAAUUCUCGAUGAUGCAGAUGAUGGAGAUGGGAAACAAUCGUCGAUUUUCUGUAAGGAUUGAAGGUUUGUGGGUGCAACUAACACGAUUUGCCCUUUUUGUAGACUCAUUUUCUCGAUUCUCGAUCUCUAAUUGCAGGCUAGGUUUUGGAAUUGGGGAUGAAUUCGAAGAGACGACUCGGGUGAAGUGUUGAGACUUGAGAGACACAUGCGUGAAGCACAACGGUAAAAAUAAAACAUGCCUAAUUAAUGUUCGGGUUAACCCAGGUAUCCGAAAUAAACCGGGUAAAAAUCCGACCCGACCCGCAAUCCACGGUUAAAUCUAAUUUGGUCCAUGGGUAUAAUUUCCUUUAACCGAUCCGAUCCGAACCGAUUCAAUUUCGGGUCGGUUCUGGUUCGGGUAAUCGGAUUCGGUUAAAUGUCGCAGGGCUAGUAGUUGCACUGAACCAGAUAGUCACAUAGGCUCUGCUUUUCACCUCCUACAAGUCUUCUGCAUCUCUCAAAUGGCAACAACACUGAACACUGCACCAUAUUUUUCUUUUUCACAGCUACAUUGUACGGAGGAACCACUUGUAAAUUUUCUUGAAGCUACAGUAGAUCAUCAAACUCCGUAAAGUCUAAGGGAUGUUUUGAUGAACGAGAAAGCUAACGCACCGGUGAAAAUGUAACUAUCAACCCUGUCCAAUAUUCCACCUGCACCAUGGACAAAGAGAUUUAUUAAGAGGAGCUGUGAAUGAUCUAUGUAUUAGUAUGUUAAGUGGUGAGAUUCUUACCAUGUCCAGGGAUAAGUGAACCAGAGUCUUUGACGCCAGCGUCACGUUUGAUCAUUGAUUCAGUAAGAUCACCAAAGACUGACCCAAAGAAGUUAAUAAACCCAAAAGCAAUGGAGCUGAGGUAAACAAAUCAAAUAAAGUAUUUACAAACAGAGAGAUGAUAAGAAAGAAACUGAGGUUUUUUUUAUUACAAAAAAAAAAGAAACUGAGUUUAGAUAGAGAGAUAAAAAACUAAGUAACCUGAAAAGAGAUCGAGGCCAAGACAGAGAAUUAGAGAGUAGAAUGGUAAUGACUAUACAGCCAACAAAUCCAGCAAAAGUCCCUUCCCAUGUCUUUUUGGGACUAAUACUAGUCAGAGGUGUCCUACCAAAAGCCUGCAACUUCUCUAUUGUUAAACUCAGAUUGAGAGCGGUUUCACUAGUUAAAAAAAAGCUUUAUUGUUUACCUUGCCACCGAGGAAAGCAAAUGUGUCUGUGGCAAUCACACCACUGAAUGAAAUCAACGUUGCCACAAGUCCAACUGUCCACUGAGGUGGACCACCAAGAAAAAUUGGCCAAGUCCUUGCAAUUCCUAAGAAAGGAGGAGAAAGUCUCAAAGAUCUUUAUGUUUUUGAGAUAUAAAAGGGGGGAGAAAAAGAGGUGAGAGAGAGCUUGCCAGUGUUGAGCGCAGGAGCAGCUAAACCACAACGAAGCUUAACCCAGAAACAAGGGAGAUAACCACAGUAAAACAAACCAAACAUUGUACUACUAAGCUGAGAAAAACGUGGGUUUCCUCUCUGUACUAACAAAGUCAUUGCAACAACAAACGCUGCGCAUGUCACCCAUAUAUCAAUGUUACCGUAGUACCUAAACAAGAAACUCAGUCUCAAGAAGCAGUCAAAAUGGUUAACAGGAACAAGAGAUAUUGAACUUACAGUGUAAGUGUAUGGGCAUAAGAGCACAUAUAACCGAGCAAAAACGAGAUACGUAUCUAGGAGGUGGAGUCAUUCCUUUAGCUAUGCCUCUACUUCUAACGAGCUCGAAAUAUUCACGAGAACCGAUGAAAACAGAAGCUGCCAAGGCUAAUGUGAAAACCCAUCCUCCAGCUAAGACAACACCUCCAACAGGUAACCCAAUGGCAACACCAAAGAUGACUCUUUUCUUAAGCUGGCUUGCUUUCUUCUGCUUCUCUUCUUCUUCUUCAACAUUCUGCAAAUCCUGGAUUCUUCUAUCAACUCCCUAGCAAAAAAAAAAAAAGAUGGAAACUUUGAGAGACGAAGCCUCAUUGGAUCAGACAAAGUGACUACCCUCAAUUUCGUAAACUAAACUUAAAAAUUGAAUCUUUAUAUCUAAAAUAGAUUCUUGGGAGCAUAUAAAGUUAUUAUUUACCUCUGAGUUGUCAUCACCAAGCUGGUUCGAUUCAGCUCGAGUAACGGCCGUGAGGAAACGCCGUUCAACAGAAAUUCUACCAAGGCGGGAACGAAACAAAGGUUUGGUUUUGGCAUCACGGACCACACGUAGGCUCGAAUAAUCGGAGAAAGGUGGGAGAUUUAGGGUUUUCUUAGUGGAUACACGGCAUGAGCAUAUACAGAGAGAAGUCGUUAAUACCGGUACAGGCUUAUUGUACGUACAGACUCUAGCAAAAGACGCCAUUGUUUUCUCAACUGUGACACACGGAAAUUAAGACCGAACAAAAGGAAGUGUUCUGUUUGAAACUCACAAUCUCUGAAUCACUUCAUGUCGGAACAUCUGUGUAUCUGUGUGUCUGUGACAAGCUGAAUUACUCGGCGAGUUUUGUAUUGUAGUAAGUAGUAACUGGGAAAAAGUAUGAGGUGAAAUUAGCGGUUUGUUUAGAACCUUCUUGCUCAGGUAGAGAGUCUUACAAUCCUCACGCUAUUGUUCAGCGAGGAUUUGUGUCUACAAGGAAAACGGAGACGACAAGUUAGAGGAGGAGAGAACACACAGAAACAGAAUGUCUUUCGGAAGUUGAAAAAGGGGAAGAAAAUUCUAAGUCAUAUGAAAACUGUAACACAAUCAAAUCCUCUAACGCAACUAGGUUUAAGAUUCAAAACCAAAGGUGAAAUGACGACGAUAAGACAGGACUGAAUGUCAUUCUGACACAGUUUGAUUUUUCUUUUUCAUGUCUUUUGGUGUGUUUUUGCCGAAGCCACUUUUUGAUGUGGGUUUGUGGUAUAUAAAAAAGUUUUUCCAGCGCGAUCAUGUCCUCUUCAUAAUGUAUCCCAAGAUUAGACCGAUAAGUCCCACUAGGAGAACGUACAAGAACGGGAUUCCACCACCACUCUGACUUCUAUUGCUUCCACGCUUCAACUGCUCCUGCAAUCACAAAACAAACAAAAGAAAAUGGUUUCUUCAUUAAGACUUAUCAAAUUUGUAGGUGGUGGUAGUUCAAAGAUACACGGGACCAGGUGAAAGUUCCUUACCAAUUCUUGUUGAAGUCUGUUGUUCAGUUGAACCGCAGAGUUCUUUUCCUCGGUGAGCCUCGUGAUGAGCGCUCUCGCCUGAAAUCACACAAGUCGAUAGUCAUCAAUUUUUAAAUGUAACAGGAAUGACCAUAUCACCUAAGUACAACGGUAAGUUUUGCCAAUUAGUAGCUACUAGGUUUGUUGCAAAUGCAUAAACUGAUUAGUGGAAAGCUAAAAUCCAACAUCAGAAGACACCUUAUUCCUCUAGACCACGGUAUUGAGGUACCAAACUCUACAUAAAAGAUUGGUCAAAGCAAAAAAACAAGGUAAAAGUCUUUACGGUGAUAAACACAAAGAUUAGAGUUCUUGGUCUAACAAGCUUAAAAACAAAUAGUACAAUAAGCGAGCCAUUAAAUUCCUAAUAAGCAGAAUGAUCUGGAUAAGAUAAAAAAGGCAUCUAUAAAAGACCUGACAGAAAAAGAUAAUUCCGCAGUGAUAGAAUUAAUACUCAUGCACAUUCUUUCAGAUGCAAAGGUAGCUCAGCUUGUACAAAAGAUCAGAAAGUUCAUAAAAAUACCUCAGAAGGGUUAUCCUGAGGUUUAAGCCUGUCGACGCUAAAUCUUGGAGCCUAAAUAAAUACAAACAAGAAAAUGAGCAGGAUUAUUAGAAAAGGAAGCGCCUAGCAUAGCCAGAAGCGUUCUAUUUUCUUGGAUAUUGAAGCUGAGGUGUAUAGUUACAGCAGUAAAGUCAGAAGCGUUGUUCCCAUUGUCGGAGACAGAAGCUCUUGGCGAAGAGCCCUCUUCUGAUCCUUCAUGAACGGGUGAAGGUGGUCGUGGUGGAUCAACAUAGACAACUCUCAAUUUAGUCUCCUCAACUCGAUGCCCUGCCUCUUUGCUAAACUGCAGCGCGUUCAUCAGAAAAAAAAGAAAAAGAAAAACACAGUGUUAAGUCUCAGAAAACAAGAGUGUUAAGUCCCCAUUUAGAAGCAAUACCAUCUCAGGAGUAACGUCCUUGGGAGUGACACCGGGAGUAGCCACAACACAUUGAAGCAAGAACUUGUCCUUGCACUGCAAAUCAGCAGGAGCUUCCUUUUGCGCUUGCAUGGUCACUAGUUCCCAAAAGAAAACAAUCAUUCAAACACUUAAUCUCAGAACUAGUAACUGCAAUUUCUCAGUAUAACAGAGGAAACCAAUCUAACCAAGAACUUCAGAAGAGGAUCUCGGAUGAACAACGCCAGUGUUAGGCCUCACACAAUACUUCUUUGGAUUCGUCGUUUUAACCUAACAAUUGAAGAUCGAAAAAACCUAAAGUUACACAGAAGAUAAUCUUCGAAAUUGAGAAGGAUUCAUUCACCUUGAAGGCCACAUAAUUGUCCGUCUUGUUAGCCAAAUACAGAGAGCAGGAUAUCUGUUUCCUCAAUUCAACUACGUACAAAUCACCAAACCAACCAAUCAAAACUAAUCGGGAAAACGGCAGAUCUAUAAGGAGGAGGAAGACAUGCGAAGAUCAUUGAAAAUUCGGAUAUGUAUAUGAGCUUACAAGGGAAUUGAAGGUCGAUAGGGUCGAUGUCGAGAAGCGCGUUACUCAUUCUGAUAAGAUCGCCGGCGAAUUAACCGGUUCAAUCGUUUAGAGUUAAGAGUGGUGGUGGUCGUCGUCGUCGAUCGUGGACGGAGAUAGAUAGAGAGUUUUGGCGUCUAUUUUGAAGGCUUGAGACGAUAUAUGCCCUUCUUCUGAUUCAAGGCGCGUCACUAAUCUUGGGGGUAUAAUUGUCAUUUAAUGCAAUGCGUUUCUUAAAAAGUUUUGACCGGCGAACACGAGGUGCUAAACCACGACCCCAUUUUAGCUUUCUCUAAUCUUUUUUAAUUCUCAAAAAAUAUUAUUUGAGUAUUCUCAAAAAAUGUCAUCUCCAAUCCCAUUAUGCUUUCCACUAUAUUUUGAAUAAAAAUGUUUCAAUAGUAUUCUAUUUUUCACUCUAUAAUAGUAAAAAAUGAAUUUACCAUAUAUAACUAUUUUUUUGUUCAUCGUUCUAUUUUUUACUUUAAAAUAAAGUAUAAUUAGAGUAUAAGUAACUUUAUUAUAAAAUUAUUCUAUUUUAGAGUGAAAAAUAUAGCGAACGAUUAUGGUCUAAGUAAUUACAUCAGAGCAAGCAGAAUUGAAACUCAAGCUAGAAAAAUGUUUAUGAGUAAACAAUUUCAUUUUCAUUUUCAUUAAUCUGCAAAAUAUUUUUUGCAAUAGUGGGUUUAUAUACAAACAUAAACACGGCAUAAACCAAUCUUUAAACCAAAAAAAAAAAAAUACUAAACUAUACAUGAUCAGGUAUUCAAAGUAUAUACAAAGACUCCACUAAUAUUGUGUUUUUGAAUAAAUGGAGAAUAAUAUUCUUCGAAUUUGACUUCAAAACACUUUUCUUGUUGAUAAUCCAUCUUUUCUAAUUAACUAAUUACUUUACCGGGCAGAGAAUUUUAAUUGUCUCUAUAUGUAUCAGUCGAACAACAACAUUAUAUAUUGAUAUUGAUAAAGCAUUGAGAGAAAGUAAAGAUUAGUUUUGGUUUCCGCUCACAUUAAUCAACGGUUUUGACUGCAUACUUACUGCCUUACUUCCAACAUGGGCCAUGAACAUUGCUUGUUUUUUUGAGACGUGAUAUCGCAAAACUUGACUGAUUAAAAUACGAAAUAUUAAGACAGUGACAUAGUCCGUCUGGUCUAACGACAUCUUCCUAGAACGACAUCUGGAUCGGAUAGAUUAACCGGUGGAAGUGAGAAAGCACUGUACGUAGAGCUCCCUCUUCUCAUCUCUCUCAUCGUCACCAACGCCGCAACCGUAUUCCUAAAUAUCCCUUCUCCCGCAGCCGCUGAACUCACCGCCGCAGACCGCUCAUAUCCCCUCUCCGCUUCCGCAUUCGACGCCGGAAACACCGCGUCAAUCGUCGUCUCCCACUCCCUCACCAGCCUCGACACCAAAUCCGUCUUGAAAAAUGGUUGAUGAAGAACUUUCUGUAUAAAUGGUGAUCGCAAUGCUCCCCCUCUUCUCUUGUCGUACUUCUUUAAAAUCUUAGCUAAUCCUGUUAGAUAGAAUGUUUUUUCUUCCUUAAUUCUCCGACAAGAUACACUUUAAGUAAAGAUUCUCAAUAUUGGUUAACAGUAAUUAAGUUUAAUUACCAGUGUAGUUAAUGUUGCUGUAAUUAACGAGAAGUACCAUCUCUCCAUGGAAGUUAACAAUGUCUUUUCUGAUAUCAUCAAUCUCCUCUCUGAACGUUUCAUCAUCAUUGUCUCCACACUUUUCUACCAAUCUCUGAAUCCGAUAUUGCAAUUCCUUCAAAAGUACAAUAUGUACAUUAAUUAAACUUUUAGUUCAAACUAAAACAUAUGUAAAUUAGUACUAUAAUUAACCAUUAGUUAAAAAAAACCAAUGGUAACACCUAACUUACAUAAGAAAAUGGAUUAAAUAUUUGUUUUGUCCUGAAAAUUAUAGAGCGAUGAAUUGCUAAAAGUUGUUGGAUUACUUUAUAAAUCACACUAAUAUAAAUUAAAAUCCUCCAAAGAUGUUCAUAUAAUAAAAUUAAUUAAUUCUCACUAUAUUGAAUAUUUCCUAUCUACUUCACAUUUAUAGUUUGAUAAAAUAUAGUAUUUUAUUUAGCAACCAAUGAUAUAUUUUUUUGAUAAAAUAUAGUUAUAGUAUAUAACGACCAAUUAAAUGAUUUAUUUAUCAUACAUUUUUUAAUAGUGGGAAAGUUAGCUCAGUGAUUGGCUAAAAACUCAAAAGUUAAAACACAUUGUAGCGAGUCAAUUCUGAUGAUAAAGUGAACAAGAAUGAUAUGUUAUCAUACCUUGUGGUAGAUGAUGAAAUCUUCUUCUUGUUCCACAAAGAAAGCAUUAAACUUAUCGAUCUCGGCGUUCAACAAACCGAUGAAGAUAAUUUCAGCCGGAUCUGGAGAAGAGAUCAGAUUCUUGAGUUCUUUGUAACGGAGAAACUUAUCUCGCCACUCCGGCAACGACUCUUGUAUUUGUUCUUUAAUCCUCUUCCCAAACUUCAUCAAAAUACAAUAUUAUGCAGUGUAUCUUAAGUUUAUAUCCUUUCUCUUAACUGGAAAAAAGAAAGAAAUGUAUUAUAAUGAGAUCUGGAGGAGGAAGAAGUUAAUAUAGAGAUUUAUAAAUAGUGGUUAUGUAAUACAGUAGUAGAAUAUGAAAGAGGUGUUAAUCAAAAAAAAAAAAAGAAUAUGAAAGAGGAUAUGCUUAGCUUUGGCGUGACCAAGUGUUGUGAAAUGUGGCAUGUACUAAUUAAAGAUAUGAAAUAAAAGUUAGAUUAUUGUUGCUGUUGAUGUAAAAGAUGACAAAAUCCUCAGCAUAUUCGGUUUCAAGUUCUGUUUGAGUCUUAUGUUUACAUUUUCUAUGUAACAUAUAUAAUUUUGAGUUUCUUAUCUUUUGACCGGACCUUUUAGAGUAUGUUUGGUAUAUAGGCAUUACAUGUUUUCUUGUUGAUUUUAUGUUAUCUUUUCAAGGUAUAAACUCUAGAAUGUGAGGCUGAUUCCUUGAUCUUAAUUACAAUAUUUUUACUAUAUUGAUUUAAUUCUGUUUGUUUAUUUUUGAAUGCAUGCUGUUGAUGUGACCGUGAAUCACGUCGUUGAGAGACCGUCGUGCACAAGGAAAGAAAGAAAUUGCCGGGACGUUUGUGAGAUUAGAGAUGAAAGUGACUACAAGUCUAAAAUGUGCUUGAAAAAUGGUAGUCACGUAGAUCUUCGUGAAGUCCUUCGACAAAGAGAUUUCAAAGAUUCCAAGAGAAUCAAGCAUAUGUGUGUUUCGUAGCAAAAACUAAAGGUUUAGCAUACCCAUUACAAUAACUCAAUAAACUUGCCCAUUCAAGACCCGAUACUAGCUCAUUCUAGAUUUCUAGGUCCACACGUUGAUGAAAUUUUAUUACUUAAAAACUAAAUUUAGUUGUAAUUCAUCUUUAUUGUUUCCAUAGUUUUUUUGUGUAAGUAUUUCCUCAGUUGCAUAUUAAUAAUUAAUCAACUCCAACGAACAUGACUACACUUUAUCGUUCAUCACUAUAUGAACCUUGAUUAGUAUUUAGUACAUAUUUCUCCGGUUACUAAAAAGUAAAAAGCAUACUCUAGGUAUACAAGAAAACGUGAUUCACUUGUAUAAAAGCAUGUCUUAUUUUACCCCAAAAAAAGCAUGGCGUAGAAAAAACAUCAUAGCAUACAAAUUACCAAGUUUUGCAUAGGCAUGUCCUAAAAUGCAUAGUUAGAUCCUGGUAACAAGGAAAGAACAUAAUGUUCGUUAAUAUUGUAGUUUAUGUUUCAGUUAUCUCUCGAAAAUGUAAACUCCUGAGUCUUGACCAUAUACUUUUUCUUGCAUUUCGUGUUCGGCUCAAGAAAACUUCUAAAAUGUAUGGAACCUGCAAAAUAGACUUAUAGACAUGCAACGUCUUCGAUGAACUUUCGUUACCACUCGUUAGAAAUUAGAAUCCCUAUUUAAAAUAAAUUUGUAUUCAUAAUCAAAUCUUACCCGUAUAUCCAAUCCCCGUAAUUGGUGUCUUAGUCUAAUCCAUAACAAUGUAUGAUGUAUCAUAAGCAAUAGAUACGGACAUUAUCGUGUAACUUUGUCUAGAUAAAAACUUCUAAACUUUAUAUGAUUUGCCGGGAAAAAAAAAAGAAAACUCCAAUAUGACAAGCGUUAAUCAAAGGGAAUUAAUCCAUCGAUCCACAAUUCCAGAUUGUAUAUUGAAAUGCAUGUUGUCGUGACUCACCUAGUCAACUUGGGUUGGGUAUAUACAUUCAGAAAAGAAAAACACUUGUAACAUAUUAACAUAUACUUCCUUUUGUUACCAGAUGUCAAAUAUGCGAUGUUAUUGUUAUCUCACUUUACUUGUGGUUACCUCUUUGCAUUGCAUGCGAUCUUCAUUUUUUGUUAUAUACAUUUGACACCUUUCUCUGUAUGAGUUUCUUUUACAUAUCAUAGCUUUACAAAGAGUGACCCCUUCACGGACUUCUUUAGUUCUUUAGUAUGAACGUAUCACAUCUACUGGAUUUUUCUGCAAUUAAAUAUGUCCAAAACCAGUUGUGUGCGUAUAAAAUCAAAUUAUAAAUUGGAAAAUGAAUAUUUAUCCAUUUAUAACAAUUUAAAACUCUAUGAAAACGUAAUCUUAUGAAAAUAAAACUUAAGCUAAAUAAAGUAAUUUACCCCACCGUUAUAACUUAUUAUAGCGUUUUUUUUGUUGUUGUUGUGCGUGUUCGCUCUUUUCGUAGACAAGUAUAGAGAGGAAGUUCGUGUCAGUGUGGACAUGAUCUACUACUCUACUGGCAAAGCAAAUGCAUAAAAUCGACUUACAUAUUUGAGACAUAGAAAAGUUGUAAGGAUUUAAUAACAAACAAAUAAAACCCUUGAAAACUUAUACUAACGUUUUUGGUAGGCUUAGUCCGUUCCUUUCAUAAAACCGUAAUCAUUCGAUAUAUAUAUUGAAAUAUUCUUGAAAAUUUACCAAACAAAGAGAAAGUCCCAUUGAAUAUUCUAUUUCUUUUAAAAAUGAAAAUAGAUUAGUGAUACUUUGUAAACACUAAACCCAAGUGAUUAGCCAAUAGCCACCAAACAAAUCAUGGAUUAAUGAUUUUUUUCUUUGUAAACACUAGUGAGUAGCCACCAAACUGUGUAAUAAGACUAGUUGAACCAUCACAACCACUUGAAAUCACAACUUUGUUGAUAUCUAUUGGGUGGCGACUAUGAACAUUAGUUUUGAUUCCAAAUCAUAACUAAAGAAUAAAGUAUACGUGAAGAAUAAUUCUAAUGUGGUGGUAGUUCAAAACCCAUAAGGCCAAAUUUGAUUCUACAGUGAAAAUGAUAUAGAAACUAAAGUUGAUUUCUUCCCUUUUUUUUAGAUUUGACUUUUUUUUUUGUCUAAUAGUAGGCCAAAGAGAUAGAUGGAGUGGGCACUCUCUAGCUCUUAAAAUUGUACAGUAAUACCUAAAUCAAGAACUGAUAUGAUUUAGUUACCUAAAACAAGUGAAUAACUUUAUAGAAACACUUUCUUCUUCUAUUCACUAAUCACAAUUCAAUGGUCUGUGAUUUAGGCCAACACGAAGUGAGGCUAGUAGUGAAAGACUUGGCGUUAGAACAUGUAAAAGUUGCAUUUUAAUAUAAACCAUAAUAACAAAAACAAAUAAAAUAUAUAACCAUAAAAAUAAAAUUGUUUUUAGAGUUUGAUCAAACCAAAAAGAAUAAUAUAUAUUUUUUUUAAGAAAAAAAGUGACAACUCGUAUCACGCAAAGCUGUUACCUUUCGUUUUCACCAUUCAUUGAACACGACAGAGGUUUCAUCAUCUUCGUUUGGUGCAGGAAGAUUAAGAUCUAUCAUCGUCUGUUUCACUGAUACUUCUUCUUCUUCUUUAACGCUUGGAACACUUUGAUUUACAGACAAUUCUCUCCUUGAUCCGACGUUGUUGCUUCCGUGAGACCUCUUAUGACCACCAAGCGCUUGUCCUGAAGUGAAAACCCUAAAACAGAUCGGACAUUGGUGAACUUUCUCGCACUCUAUUUUCUCAUGCUCUGUUUUCGUCGACGUCGUCAUUGUUGUGAAAGUCUUGUUCUUUUUGUGGCUUGCUCUGUGCCCUCCUAAUGCUUGAUACGAAUUGAACACUUUACCACAAGUCUCGCACUUGAAUCUUCCUCUUCCUCUUCCUCCUCUGUUCUUGCUCGGUUUGUAAUCUUCACGUUCAUGAUCUGUCUCAUCAUCUUCUACUACAAUCGUCUUGUUCUUCUGUUGCUUCCACUUGUCUCUCGAGAGCAUAAUGAGACAAAGGGCUAGAUCUUCCUCCGUCGUCGUGUCAGAAGCUUCUGAGCUGUGAUGUUCCGGCUCUGUCCCCACCUCACAACCGGGUUGACUCGUUCUCACCUUCUUGAAGUCGUCGAAAUCGAAAGAUCCGAGCUUCCUAGUUCGCUUGGUACGUUUCCGAGUUGGAUUCAUCCUUGAGGACUCGGUUUCGCUUUCAAACUCUCCCCAAUUCGCAUGAUCUUCUUCUUCUUCCUCAUCAGACGAAGACGAAGCAUCGGACUCUGUCUCCUCACUGAGUUGACUCGGCCGUUCAGUUAAUUCAUAAAGCUCACGUUUUGAAGGGAGGGUAAGCAUGUGAGAUCUCAUGUGACCACCUAAAGCUCUUCCAUUGAGGAAGCUCUUGAAGCAAAACCUACACUUGUGUCUCUCCAUCUUCAAUACAAAAAGCUUUUUUGGAGUUAUCUCUCACAAAGAAAGAGAGAAGAAGAAGUAGAGAAGCUAAAAAAGGAGAGUAGGUAACAAAAGCGUUCUGCUUCUACAGCCAACGAACUAAUAAGAAGACGAAGAGAAGAAUUAAAAAGAGAAAUUAAAACUUAAAAAAAAACAAUAAAAUCCAUUAAUUAAUUCAAUCAAAAAACGGAAAAAAGAAAGAGUAAAAUUUUGUUCUUUUGAAUAAUCUAUACUAUUAAAGCAGGAUUCUAUUGUCAUAAUUACCUUAGGGGCAUGUUUCCUUCACUAACAUUGCAUGUUUCAUUAAGGGCAACUAAGUAAUAUUAAUAACAAAUCUAUAUUGGGUCAUUAUUUUUGGAUCCAGCCCAAAUCAAAUCUAUCUUGGGCCAUUUGGGCCUAUUAAAAAAUCAGAUUCAAUUCUCACCUUUUUUUUUUCCUUUGGACCAUUGAGUCCAAGUUCAAAUAAUUUUUUUUCAACUAUUCUUAAUUAUUAUUUUUUUCUUUUCUUAAUAUAAUUUAAGCAUUCAUAAAAAUAAUUGAAUUUUUUUAUUGAAAAGUAUAAAUCUUUAUUAAAAGUAUAUAAUUUUUUAAUUAAAAUAUUAACCCCAUAAUAAAAUUAAUUUAUCAGAGUUAUACCAACUUAAUUCAUUAAAAAAAUAAAGUUUAAUUUUUUUAACAUAAAUAGUCAUUUAAAAUGAAAUACGAUAAAUAAAGAUAAAAUUUUUAAGUCUUUUAUAAAAUAAAAUACAAAUAUAUGAAAAUGUGACAUUUACUAAAUAUUUGUCAAUUGAAAAAAAAAACAAAAAUAAAUCCGCGCUUUCAAAGCGUUUGCCAUGAAAGGGUGAAGAACGGACAAUGUAACAUGCGAGCUUUGCCCGUUUCUGAAACAACAACAAAAAAAAAACUAAUCUUCACAUUUCCCGUAAUACCCUUCUUAAAAAUAGCAAAAGUUAUAUUUUAACACCUUCAGACACUAUAAGUUGUCUAUUUUUGGCGCAAAAUAAUUAAUUAACUUACCCAUCUAUUAAGGGCACUUUUGGUAUUGUACAAGGUGAUGUCUUUUUUUUUUUUUUUCCUUCUUGUUGUUGUAACGAGUCACAGGACCAGAACAAAGCGUUGUCCAAAAACGAGGGGAAGAAUGUUUAACACUUUAUGGGCUGUCAGUUCUUCGGUUUGUGACCGCCACGUACUAAUUUUAACGACGGUUAUAAAACAUAUCCUCACCCACCAGUAACUUUAUCUCUAUAAUGUAACAAAAAAUAGAUUAAAUUUUCAGUUUUAGCCAACUGUCAAGUGACCAUGUCUCUUAGCAAGUGAUAAGCAAGCAUGAUUCUAAUACCCACUUAAUCUUAGUAUAAUCUUAGUUUAAUUCCACUAAUCACUCGAAUCAAGACGCUUAGGAAUGCCAAAAAUUGUGAAAAAGAUUGGUUUUCUCCUUUGAUUUUGGAUCUUCAAAGCUACAAAACAAUGAGAAAAAGUCAAGUGUCCAUAAUUUUCGUUUCAUCAAUAACACUGCCACACGUUCUUGUUCAACAAAUCAAAUAUACCAACUCAAGUCCAUUAAACUUAAACCAAAGAUUAACAAAACAAAAAAGGAGUAGACAAUAGAAGAUGUGAGCUAGUUGUUUUUGAAAGUGUAUUAUCUACUAAGAUCAGCAUUAACCCCACCUCUUAAAUUGGUUCUUAAGAGGUGGGUCCCACAGUUUUAAUAAAAAUCACCUUUUAAUGCUCUUCUGUAAGGGGCGUUUCUAACUCGGUUUUAGCACUGUUCGCGGACCCCAUUGACACGUGGCGGGCCGCGAUUAGUUAAUCUUUUUUUAAAAAAAAAUAAUAAAAAAAAAAUAAUGAAAAAAAAAUUCGCCUAAGAACCCGUUCAAGGGUUAAUGAUGCUCUACGCUGCAAACACAUUUAACCAUGGACCCACUAAAUUUUAUGCCUUUGGUUUAAAACAAACCUAACCAUCUCACUUUAUUUUCUGGUAGCACUGUACUAAACGUGAUCAAACAACCCACACAGCGAUCAUGUGAUCUUUUUGGAUUCAUUGAACUGAUCAUUCGAAGACUAAAUCAUCCAUAAGGUAAAAAAAGUUGUAGUUUUACUUGUAAAGUGCAUGGUAGAUCACAAAUCUAGAAUCAAGUUAAAGUUAAACGUUCCAUAAUUGUAGGUUACAAAAACAAUAAAUAUACUCAAAGAACUUACUUAGGAAGGUAAUUUAACACACAAUGACUUUUAACGGAAAGUUAGAGAUCUUUUGAAUCAAUGGUGUGGAAGCAAUUCACAUACGCAAAGUGUUAAAGUUGCGAUUCUUCUUCGAUGGCAUGAGUUUGGGUGUGACAGGUGACCAAGAAAAUGAGGAGGAACACUAUGUUCCUUAACAUUCCUUAAAUUUUUUACCAUUCACGAGGAAUAUGUUUUUCUUUUCAUUCUUCUUCGUUCCUUUAUUUGUAGAGAAUUAUAGAACAAAUCAAUUUCUCAUUAAUUUUGAUAAGGAACCAUCAUUCCUAAAAUUUUAUUCUUACUCAUUCAUUUCCUAUCCGUUCCUAUUGUUUCCACGAUAGUUACCAGUCACAUCCUUAGUGGUGGUGCCAAACCACUUACGCUACUCUCUUAAAGAAAAAAACUCACCACUCUUUUUAAUUUUCAGUUGACUUGUCACGUUAGAACUUCAUAUUAAUAUUCCAUUAUUAAUAAAGUAUAGUAAGCAUACAUAUAUGUGUUGCUUAUUUCCAGCAUGUAACAUUGGGUUCCUAGAUAGUAAUCACUUUUACACAUUAAUCAAAUUGUUUGAUGAGCGAAUAGAAGUAGCAACACUCUUCAUGAAGUCAACUGAUAAAAGGCGUAAAAUAUACGGAAAAUAAAAAUAAAAUUUGGUUUUUAUUCAAUAUUAGUUAUCUUUCCAUAGUUGACUGAAUGAAAUAAGGAGUUCAUUCAGAGAGCUUGAUCUUGAGAUUUUAUGAUUUAUAGACAAUUUCAAUAAUUUUUGCUUUUAACAAUUUAGAAACUUUAUUUUUGUAUGUAUUAUUAAUUCUUAAUUUUUUUUGAGGAUCAUAAGUUAAUGUUUCAAGUGCCUAUAUUAAAACUGAACAAGAGUUCAUCAAAAUCGAAAAAAACUGUAGAGGUUAUAUACCGAUACUGCUAUCGGAUCGUCAUUUCGCGUGAAAACCGAAAGUUCUACUAGUUCAUAGUUAGUAGAAAAGAAAAGAUUGCAAUAUAAAGUUUUGAUCUUAAAAAUUUAGAAAUUUUAUUUUUGUAUGUAUUAUUAAUUUUUAAAUUUUUUGAGGAUCAUAAGUCAAUGUUUCAAGUGCCUAUAUUAAAACUGAACAAGAGUUCAUCAAAAUAAAAAAAACUGUAGAGGUUAUAUACCGAUACUGCUAUCGGAUCAUCAUUUCGCGUGAAACCCGAAAGUUGUACUAGUUCAUAGUUAGUAGAAAAGAAGAGAUUGCAAUAUAAAGUUCCAGUAAAGCCGGUUAAAAUUUACUUUUCAAUAACUAAUCAAAAACAGUUUUGGGUUUAUUGUAUAAUACAUGCAUUUAACAUUCUUCCAUUUUAUGCUUGUAAAUUCGUGUAUGUUGCUCUUCUUCUCGCCGUAUUCUCUCACACUAACAUAUGUAAAUGCUCGUUAAUAUAAGACCACCCACAACGGGGAUGUUGAACCACGUUUCAACCGUUGAAUACAUUACAAUGAAGUUGUUGAAAUUGUGUUGCUUAUCUAGGUGGCUUCAAGGGUGUCGUAAAGUUUCAAUAUGUUGAUAAAAUUUUAUGUGUCCCCGCUUACCCACAUGUCACAAAUUGAAUGUCAGAAAUAUUGUACAAUCUUUUUUUAAAUUAUAUCAAAAUUCGUAUUUUUAUGAUCUAUAAAUAUAGAUUAAUCUCAUUUCAUUUGGAUGCAUUAAAAAACAUCAUUUUUCACUAUAAUCAAGUUUUUUCUUGUUUUAAAUAUUUUUUGUUAAAUGGAUUCUAAUAAUAAUUUCUUAACACUCAAAAUUCUUCUUAUUAAAAGUUAUGUUAUUUUAGUUUUUAAGUUAAUUAAAAUAAAAAUAUUAUUAAUAUAUACUUAUUAUAUUAUAAAAUAUAAAAAUAUGAAUUAAAAAUAGUGGGGUAGAGUGCUGAAUUUUUUUUAAACAAACUAUUGAAGAUAUCAAAAAUAAAGUGGGUGUUGAAUAAAUUUGAUAAAUGAGGAAAAAUAUAUAUGGAAUGUUAGAAAAAGAGUGUUGAAAAUGAAAUGGACGUUAAAACCAUUGUAAAUACUCUAACUAAGGGUUUGAUUGGCGUUAGAGCUUUCAUGGCUUUAGAGAAUUACAAAGCAAGUCUAAAUCAGACUUUUAACAAUAAUUGUCCUUCUAAAAUGGCUAAAGUCACAACAUAAUUUUAUUUUUUCUUUUUAUUUUAUUUCUAAAUUUUUAAUUCUUUUUAUAUUUAAAGCUCAGUAUUUUUAGUGAGUAAAUCUUAUUUUUUUUUUAUUUUGUUCUUUUAAGAUCAAUAUUGCAUUAUCUUCCAUGUCAUAUAUAUAUUUCUUUCGUUACUAAUAUAAUUUAACAUCAUUAAAAGAAACACUAAAGUAAUAUUCACAGAUUCUAUAUUUCAAACUAUUAAUAUUCUAUAUAUAUAUAUAUAUAUACUUAAUCUCACAUUUAAAGUUUGUAAAGCAUAAUUCUAAAGCGAAAGUUUAAAGUUACCAAUGGGAGCCUGAGUAUAUAAGAGAACCUGCGGAAGAAAGCCCAUUAAAAUAGUUAGGCCCAUGACAGUUUUUUUUUGGGGCAACGACCCGUAACAGUUAAAAAACAAAUGAAUUAAACCUAAAACCCUAAAUCUUCUUCCUCAGUCAUCCUCUGUAACAGAGGUUUUUCCUCAGACCAAACCCUCCUCUACCUCUCUAUCAGCACCGAUGACGAAGAAGAGCGAUGGAGCUAACGAGGACCAAGUGAAAGAACCCAAGAGGAAUAUCGUCCCUUCAAAAUCCCAGAAAGAAGCAAAGGAAAUGAAAAGCUCGAAAGAGGAAGAAGACCUUCUCUUAGACUCCGGCACUGAUUCCGACUACGACGGAGAUGUAUUCUUCAUCUUCUUCUCUUACUCCUUCAUACGUUCGACCUCCUUCUUUGGUUAACUCUGUGUGUUUGUCAUGUUCAGAGCUUGUCAGGCUCUUUGAACUCCGAUGACUUCGACUCCGACAUCUUCGACUCCGAGGACGACGAUGAUUCUCAUAGAGAGACACAAGAUGACGAGGGCUCAGAUGAAGUGGUAGAUAGUGAGAAUGGCGAGGAGGAAGAUGGGAGUGAUGAUGAAGGCUCUGAGCAACGUGAAGUAGCCGAAGAGAGCGAUUCGUCAGAAGAUGAGGUGGAUGCUUCUCCUCUAUAACGUUAUGAAAUUAUAUACAAAAGUUUUAAUCUUGUUAAAUCUGUUAGGUUACUCCAAGGAACACAGUUGGGGAUGUUCCAUUGGAAUGGUACAAAGACGAGAAACAUAUCGGUUAUGACAUCACUGGUAAGAAGAUUACCAAGAAGGAGAAACAAGACAAGCUUGACUCUUUUCUUGCAACUAUGGAUGACUCCAAGAACUGGUCUGUUUCAAUACUUCUCUGUUUGUUUUUGGGUGUAUAUUAGUUAGUUAAUAAACACUAGGCUGAUGUAAGUUGGUAACACUUUAGGCGCAAAGUUUACGAUGAGUAUAAUGAUGAGGAAGUGGAGCUGACUAAAGAAGAGAGCAAACUCAUUCGUAGAAUGCUCAAAGGAGAAGCUCCACAUGAUGACUUUGAUCCAUAUGCGGUAUGUUUGUAGUUUUAUGUGUAUAGCUCUUUAUCUCAAAGAUUUGGACCUUUUGAUUGAUUCUCUUGGUGGUGGUGUCAGCCUUAUGUUGACUGGUUCAAAUGGGACGAUGCGAUACAUCCGCUCUCAAGUGCACCGGAACCCAAGAGAAGGUUCAUCCCUUCAAAAUGGGAAGCCAAAAAAGUUGUUAAGUUGGUUAGAGCGAUAAGGAAGGGGCUGAUCAAGUUUGAUAAGCCUGAAGAGGAGCCUAAUGUGUACCUUUUAUGGGGUGAUGAUUCAGCUUCAGAUCAAAAGAGCAAGCACUUGACUUAUAUUCCUCCACCCAAACUAAAACUUCCAGGACACGAGGAAUCUUACAAUCCUUCUUUGGAGUACAUUCCAUCAGAGGAAGAGAAAGCCUCUUAUGAGUUGAUGUAUGAGGAAGAUCGUCCAAAGUUCAUUCCUAAAAGGUAUGUAAAGCUUUGUUCAAUAGUUGUCUUUGGUAUUUGCUAGCUGAAGCCUCAUGGUAAAAUUUAUAUGUGCAUAGGUUUACAUCUCUGAGAAGCAUCCCAGCUUAUGAGAAUGCACUUAAGGAGUCUUUUGACCGUUGUUUGGAUCUUUACCUAUGUCCCAGAGUCCGAAAGAAGAGAGUGAGUACUUAAUUUGAUCAUCUCCUUUUCUCUGUGUUUUUAAUCUCACAGUGUGUUUGUUUCUCCAGAUAAACAUUGAUCCUGAAUCUUUGAAGCCUAAGCUACCUAGUAGGAAGGAUCUUAGACCUUAUCCAAACUCAUGUUAUCUUGAGUAUAAAGGCCAUACAGGACCUGUUACUUCCAUAUCCACUGAACUUUCCGGCCAGUGGAUAGCCUCAGGUAUAUAUCAUUUACUGUUUUGCAUUCAUUCUUCUUGAGCUUUCUUUUGUUUUGCACGAUACCAAUCUUUUGUGUUCAUUUUCUUUUCUGUUCUUCAAAGGUUCAACUGAUGGAUCUGUUCGUAUAUGGGAAGUGGAGACUGGUAGAUGCCUUAAGGUCUGGCAGUUUGAUGAAGCUGUUAAGUGUGUUGCCUGGAAUCCUCUUCCUGACUUUCCAAUUCUAGCCGUCGCCAUGUGAGUUGGGAUCUUUGAGAGUUUAUUUAUCAGCUUCCGUAUUCUGAAACCAUCACAUUUUACAUUUGCAGGGGAGUAGAUUUGUUUUUCCUGAACACUGAACUUGGCACUGAUGAGGAACAACAAAGGAUUGAAGAGCUGCUUCGCUUAGAUAACCUUCCAGAACUUGAUGAAGCUGGUAAGCGUCUCAGUAUACACACCAACAUGUUUGUAAGAAAAUUAUUAACUCCUCUCCUUAUUUGUGUAUAUCUUGCACCAUGUUAAUCAUAGCUGCAGCAAUUGCAAAGUGGCUUCCAGAUGAGAAAUAUCGAGGGAUCAAGAUAAGACACUUCAAGGUACACAUUUACUUUAAAAGUCCUUGUUUGCAGUUAAUGUCGGUUUUAUUACGGGGAAUCAUACUCUAACCAGUGUUUUUAAAACCGUUGACCCCAUGGUUGGACCAAGACCGACCCCAUGGUUGGAUCAGGUUAGACCAUGAACCGAUCACGUCGCCGGGUUAGAUCUAAUAAUUGGUUUGACCAUGAACUGGUUAUGUAGUAGGAUUGGAUCUUAAAGCUAUUGAACCGGAUAAAAACCAUUAAAACUAUUAAAAAUCCAUAAACCAACCAUAUGAACAAAAAAAACUAGUUCAUAUUUAUAAUAUUUUAUAUUUAAUAUUUAUUUAUCAUAUUUACUAACAUUACUUUUAAAUUACAUAUUAAAAAUAUAUUGAACUAGGUUUACCUUCUGGUCCGGUUUUAAAAACAUCGACUUUAACUGAUUUUUUUCCUUCAUAUUAUGUAUUUUCAGAACCUAUCGUAUAUUGACUGGCAUCCAAGAGGAGACUAUCUCUCAGCAGUCAUGCCAGGAGGCGAAACGCGAGGUGUUGUAAUACACCAGCUCUCAGCACAUUCAACAAAAAUGCUCCCAAUAAAGAUGCGUGGACUUCCAGUGUGCACACUUUUCCAUCCCAAUCACCGUGGCAUCUUCAUCAUCGCCACGAAAAAGUACGUGCGUGUUUACAAUCUUCACAAGAACGGAGAGCCUAUAAAGAAGCUUGAGACAGGGUUGAGAGAAAUCUCGUCCAUGGCGAUUCAUCCUGGUGGUGAUAAUCUGGUAGUUGGAAGCAAAGAAGGGAAGAUGUGUUGGUUUGACAUGGACCUGUCUUCGAAACCUUACAAGAUUCUCAAAAACCAUCCUAAAGACAUUACCAAUGUGGGGUUUCACCGUUCGUAUCCCUUGUUUGCUUCGUGCUCGGAGGAUUCAACAGCUUAUGUGUUCCAUGGAAAGGUGUAUAGUGAUCUUAAUGAGAAUCCUUUGAUUGUGCCGUUGGAGAUUCUAAGAGGCCAUUCUUCAAAAGGAGGUCAGUUUUUAUUCUCCGUCAAUCAUGUGUUUCGAUUCUUUAAGAAAUUAAGAGGUUAAUUCAUAUUAAGGGUUUUGAAUUUUUUGAUGGCAGGAGUCUUGGACUGCAAGUUUCAUCCAAGGCAGCCAUGGCUAUUCACGGCAGGCGGUGACUCAGUUAUCAAACUUUAUUGCCAUUAAGUUUAUUCCAAGCCCUAUUUCUUUUGACAUUUGCAAGUUGUAUUCGCCUCUCACAUUGGCUUAACUUUUUGUAUUGGAAAGUUAUUUGUAAGACUUGUCUCCAUAACAUGAGAAAUCCGGUACUAUAUAGUGGGUCAUUUAAAUCACAAUUCUUUUAUACCUAUUAACCGUUCACUAAAUAUAACUAUAAUUAGAAAUUGUAUGUAGGCUUGGCAUAAUAUUUGUAAUCCAUAAUCCGAACCGAACCAAAAAAUCUGAUCCGUAUCCGGUCCGAAAUGUUAGAAAACCCCAAAUGCAUCUUGUAGAGUGUCACAAAACAUAUUCGUACUCAAAAUGUUAUUAACCGAGCCCGAACGGGUAAUCUGAAAAACCAAAAACCCCGAAAUAAUAUCCGAAAAACCCGAUCUGAAUAUCCAAAUUAGUAUGCAAUAGAAAUAUUUGAAAUAUAAAUGUGUAUUUCAAAUAUUAAGUUUCAAAUUUAUUUUGAUAUGAUAAUUAAAGAUAAGUAUUUUAAAUUUAAAUAAGUACCUUAUAUAUCCAAUUCUCUAUAAAUAAAUUAUUUAUUAUAGUUUUUAAAGAUUUUAGAUUUUACUUUGGGUUAUCCAACUAAUCCAAUAUAACCCAAAUCUGAACGAUAUAUGGUUACUUUAUGGGGUUUAUGAUGUGAUACAAAUUAGCCGAAACAGAUGUGUUAUAUCCGAACCCGACCCGUAAUCACAAAUUCAAUAGAAUGAGACCUAGGGUGUGUUACAAAUUAGAACCAAAAUCUGAAAUACCCGAUCCGAACACCAAUGGAUACCCGAACGUCCAUGCCUACCCAUGUGGAUGUUUGUUUUAAUUUUUUUAUAAGUAAAUAUUGGAUUUUCAUGAUUAUUGAUACAUAUUUUAACAUUUAUAGUAUAACUAACCGUCUAUUAUUAUAUUUGCAUAAAUAAUUAUAUAGUGUUAAUGCGAUAAUUUUUUUUCAAAUUAUCAUUUGUAUCACAUUUUCUUGCAAUAUAUUUAUUUUAUUAGUUUGAGCUCAAGUUCUAUAUUUUUGAAUAUAUUGUAAAAUGGUAUUUUUGAAUAUUAUUUUAUCAGUAGUUUAUAUAUUUAAAAUUUAGUGAUUACAUGUAUAAUUAAAUUUUAAAUUAUUAGUAAUACAUAAUUAAUUAAUUAAUAUGUAGAGAUUUUGUUUCAUUUCAUUUUAUGUCCAAUAUGUUUGAAACAAUAUAUUUUAUCAUCAGUUAGUUAGAACACCAGCAUUAAUGAACCCCCGGUUGGGGUUCAUUAUUUGAAUUUUUUUUUAUUAUUAUUUUUUUUUUGAUUUUUUUUUAAAAUAAAAAAAAAUAUAAAUUGACCAAUAGCGGGCCGCCACGUGGCGUGGGCCCCGCUGAACAGUGACGACUCGGGUUCAUACGGAAAGAGCGUGGCGAGACAGGAUCAUUACUAUAGCAUAUUAUAAUAUAUUUUUUCUGGGUAAGCGUGUGAACUCUACCCACGAACCUCCAAUGCUGGUGCUCUUAGAAACGAUUAAGGUAUGUUACAUGCUUAUUUUAAAUAAUUGAAAAAUAAUUAAUGCUAAAAUCUAUGAAUAGUUAGACUCUAAGUGGCAGGAGCUGCCAUUGAUGGAUUUGGAAACUGUUUCUAUGGCCACAUACUUGUCCUAUUUCAUUAAGCUUGGAUGGGAUGGUUUUGGUAUGGUUUACAGGGUAUAUAAACGAGAUGAGCAAACACUUGGGUUUUAGUGUGUCUUUGAGUAACCAGAUGUGGCGUAUUGGCUAAGCUACAUAUGCAUGGUCUGAUAUGUUAAUUGUUUCUUUACACGAUGAAAAUGGUAAAAAAUUUUAUAUAUAUAUAUAUAUUAGGUGAAUUUUGCAAGAAAUAAAAUGUAGGAAUUACUCAACAUUUUGUUUUUCUUUUCAAUAAUUUCUUGAGAAAUUGCACCCUAAAUCUCACAUGAUGGUACCUUGAUUGCUAGACACCGAAGUUUACUCUUAUAGGCAGAUUGUUAAUAUCCAUGUUCUUUUUGUAUUAUAAGCAAAUUGACUCUGUCGGUCGGUGAUCAUACGAAUUCAUAUCUUCGUAGGAUGUUGAAAAUCUUUUAUAAGUUUUUUCCAAUAUAAUUUUCCGGAAAAUACUUACGCAUAGAAGUAUUAAUUUAUUUAUAUUUCUACGUACAUUUUCCUUUUAAUUAAUCAUAUAUAAUUUCACUUCAUGUUUCCAUAUAUGGGACAUAUGGUUAUAUAUCUUUAUUAUAAUUAUACAAAGGUCCCUAGCAUUUGUAUAGAAGAUACAAACACGUUUAAAAAAAAAAGAUAAAAACAUAUAGACAUAUAUUUUUCAUAUUUCUUGUACAGUGAGAAUUCCCUUGAUUUAGAUAAUUGAGUAAAAUAGUAAAUAUAUGCGCAUAUGUAAACUCGUUUUUGUUAUAAUAGAAUUGAUUAUUAAUAAAAAUAAUAAUUUAAAAGCUUUUUCUCCACAGUAUUUUGUGUAGGAGCGGGGGACGAGUGAAAUACAAUUUGACCAAGAGUGAAACUCUAAAAGUUAAUGAUUGACCGGUAACACCCUGAGCGACCACUACUUUACGAGACUCGCGAGAUGUAAGUCUAAUGUUGAACGGACCUCUCAGAGCACUGCCGGAGUUUACUUUCCACAGGGCGGACCUCAUAUCUUGCAUGGCUAUAAAUCCUCCGCCAGCCGGUUGAAUUUCAACAGAGGCCAAAUCUCCGUCACCGUUUUCAUAUUCCACAACAAAUGCCAUGUAGAAAGGGUUUGCUCCGGCAUCAACAUGGAAAGCUAUAUUAGUCCCUCUAUAUAAACAUGGAGCACUGGUAAACAAAACAUAAUAAUAAAAAGAUUAUUUCCUUUUUGUUAGAUAAAUAGUAAAAUAACAGAAUUGAAUGACAUAAAACAUAUAUCAGAAAAUAGUGUUUCAAAAAAAGAAGAAUGACAAAACAUAUAUUAAAAAUGUUUUUAUAGGUUAAUGUCUAUAUCUUUUUUUUUUUGCUAGAAUGUUAAUAUCAUAUAAAAUGAACAAAAAACUUACAAAAGAGUUCUAGACACGAGGCAAAAAAAUAAAAUAAAGAAAACUUUACACACACCUAAUAAUGUAAAAUUAGAGAGAUGACUGAUCGCUUAAUCACAGCCACAGAGAUAUUCUUAGUUGUAUAUUUAAGGUAUUAUGAAGUAAAGAAUAAGAGGAUAAACUUUUAUUUGAGUAAUAUCAAAAUUUUAAAAUGUCAUAACCGAGACUGAGUUUUAGGAGAACAAUAAGAUAUAUUUGUACCGUCUAUAACUAACACGUAGAACACCAGCGGCUCGAAGACUACCAGCUUGGCCAGGUUUGGCUAAGGCACCGAUGGCUUUGCCGCUAAGGUCAAAAUGGAAUGGUUCGGAGGCGCAAGGACCACCGGGACACUCGUCGGUUAUCGUCACCGUUACUGGUCUCCCUGAACACGCUGCAUUCCCGGUGCACACAAUCUAAUAUAUAUACACAUGCCAUUGAUAUAAUUACAAUAUGGUUGAGAAAAAAAUAUAUGUCUGUAACCGUAUGGCAUCAUCUAGACUUGCAUGCAUGCUACGUACUAUAUAUAGUCUUUUCAAACUAAAUCUAGCCUGACCACGAAGAAAUAGGUCAUUAUUGAAUAUAUUUAUGUAUAUAUACAGGUCGUUACUCUUUAGUUAAGUAUGUAUAUAUUAGAGCAUGAUUAACGCUAGGAGGGACAUGGGUUCUUAAGUUUUAUUUUUUUUUUAAUCCGAUUAAAAAAAAUAAAAAACGGACCAAUCGCGGGUUGCCACGUCUCAGUGGGACCGCGAACAGUACACAAACCCAACUAAAGUCGCUUUUUGCAGAAGAGGAAGCUCUUGAUUAUAAGAUGGAACCCGAUUAUUUUUAAAUUUUUUUUUUUUUUAAAAACAGCUAUAAGAGCUGCCGUUAAAGGUGUUCUUAGUGUAUCAUUUUGGGUCGUUCCAGACAAUUUAUUCUAUAUAUUGAUACGAACUUGAUAACAUGUUCCACAUCCUUGUCCAUUGUUGAAUAGUGAAGGGCCUCCGGCUGAAACCAUCGCGUAUAACGGUGGGUUAGCCACUGCCAUCCCAUAUCCACAAGCUCCUCCUAUAUAGAUAUUAACAUAUAUAUACUUCAUUUAAAUCCAAUUAUUAGAAGAACCAAAUUAUAUAUAUGUUGUUGCAAAUGGUGAUACGUACCUGUGCUACCGGCGCCCUCAGGCUCACCGUACCAAGUAACACCAGCGUUGCCCCAGCCGGCAGCUAAAGUUUCAUUUUGGCAAUAACAACAUUUUAAAGAGACUGCAAAAAGAGCCAAGAGAGCAAUGUACACAAGUCUAUAGUGUAUUUGAUGCAUUAUAUGAUGUUGAUAUUUAUAAUGUUUUUUACAUGAAGAAUUCGUUUAAAGUAACACUAGUUAUAAGAUAAUUCCUUAAUAAAUUAUUGAUAGUUGACCAAAAUAUGCUAUAUUGUCAAUAUAUAACUUCUUAUGUAUAUUUUAUUAACUUCUAUUGCUUAUAUAUAUAUCUAGUAACGUAUAUAUUUGACAUAUUUUUCAGUUGACUACUCCAGAUUUUCUAACACAGAGAAAUUGGAAAGUAGUUUUUUAAGAUUGAUUGUUGAGUUUAAAAUUCUGGAAACAAGUUCAAGGAUUUAAGACUUUGCAAUAUAACUUUUUUAAAGGAUGGCAAUAUUUUAUAGGAUUUAAUCUUGAAAGUAAUUAAUCCUUACAAAUUUGUAAGCUAAUGGAGUUAUUGUUUUUUUCCGAACAAUGAAUACAAAUUUUAAAACAUUACGUAGGUUUUGUAUACAUCUUCCAGGGGGCGUGUUCAUUGGACUUUUACUUGCUAAAUGGUUCCUUGAAGUUAAUUAAUAAUCCAUUACGAAAGUAAGUUACAUGUAAGUUAGGCAUGGGGGCAAGCCAGAUACUUUGUGCAGUGCCGUCCCAAAAUUUGAUGUGGCCUAAAGCACAAUAAAAAUUAUGUGGCCUUUUAUAUAAAUACUAAUGGAAAAUAGUAAUACAAACAACAUAACAGUGCUUCAAAUCAUUGAAUAUGGCUGAAUCUGAAAUACAAAUGUGGCCCUAAAAUUGGUUAUAUAUCUUGUGGCCUAAAGCAUGUGCUUUACUUGCCUUAUAGCAAGGACGGACCUGACUUUGUGUCUAAUCCUUUGAACUAUUCUUAAUUUCUUAUACUAAAAAAACUUUUUAGAUUAUUAAUAGUAUUAUUUACCUCAAUAAUAAGAGCAUCAUUAUCGCGGUUUCCAAUGGUGUCUCUUAACCUAAUUUUUAAAAAAAAUGAAAAAUACAUAUUGACAGAAGAACCUUUCUUCAUUAGGGGAAAGAAGAGUCGGUUGAUUUUAUCUUUCCAAGUUACAUCAUUUUAUCUUUUGUUGAUUUCUAGUUUUUUUUCCCCAACUGGUUUUGAUUAAAAAAACUUGGAGAACAGAACAUACAAGAAUGAGAUCCUAAACCCACAACAGGGAGACAUGAAUCCAAACAACGGGUGACUUAAACCCAAAUAAAGAGUGACACUUGAUAAAACUACAAUCAACACAAGAGAACUCUAGACUCAUAUAACCAAAGCUAAAGACAAUAUUUGACAAGGGAUAACAAUAUUAAUUCUUUUACGGUUUGAACAGCCGGAACUCUUGACGAGAGAGGAAGCGAUGCGGUGGCCUUAACAACGAAACAUAACUAAACUUACAUGAACCUCCAGUUCACAGUACCAAGCCAAAACCAACAAGAAUAACAUCAUAUACCAACCAGAGAAGAACUACAACUGGGGCAAGCUCCCUCCUCAAACGAACCUUCAUCAGAAACCUUACUACCCUCAACCUCAUUAUACUGCUUCGAUUAGCCGAAGCACCCGAGGAACACGAGAGCAAAAGACAAACCGAGAAAUACACUUAUCCAAAGGCCGCGACAAUGACUCUUUCCUAGAGCGGGACAAGCAACCUGAAACUUCUCAAAGAUGUUAGACAUGUUCUGUUUUCCACACACCACCACGCCACCAUCGCACACCGCUUACACCGAAGCUAGAACGAAGGUAAAAGAAGAUUGACACUAAAAUCCCAACAAAGACACCUCAGAUUCAGCCUUUCUAAAGCCAUAAACACCUCUGAACGGAGCAGAGAUCUCAAAACAUGGCGAGAGUUGAUGGAUUUGGUCCCCGGACAACAAGAUCUUAACAGAAGCUCAGUAAAAUGCAAAGAAGAAGACAUUUGCAGGUGAAUUGCUCCGUACCUCUACCAGAUCCGGCGUCUUCUUCGUCAUAAUCAAGUAGAUUAGUUAGCUCUGACCGGAGAUCGAACCGGGAAACUUCUCCCACCGUAAUCACACAACCACCAAGAAGAAAUCUCUAUCAAACACGAGAAAACCAACACCAAAAGCCAGCUAAACGAAGGAUUAAGACCGACGUUGUGGCUGUGUAAGCCCACGCACGCCGGUCUUAACCAGAUCUGAAAAGAGAAGCUGAGAUCUAUAAAGCUCAUUUAUUUUCCCUCUUUCUCAAAGUUUCUUUUUUUAAGUGUAAUCAAGACAAUUUGUAUUUGGAUAUGUUUACAAUAUAAUUAAUAAAUUCAAUUCGUGGCCACGUGUUGGCAAAUGAGAGGAGAGAGGAGAGGUGUCUUUGUUUUUGGUCGUUUGGUUUCUUCUCUCUCUCUCUCUUGCGCCAAACCCGAUCUCUGGCAAUUUCCUUCCCAUAUUCGCUCAUCUUCUCCGUCUCCAUCUCCUCUUACAAGUCAAUUCCAUAUACUUGUACCUUAACCCAUGAACCGAUUUGUCUCUCCGGUCUUAUCGGAACCGGUUUGGUGGCUGCAACAUUCAUAGUGGCAGGACCAGAUAGUACUGCUAUGGCAGCGGUUGAUUCUCUUCAGCUAAACGCAUUGUCUUUACCCACUUGGGCUGUUCAUGUUUCCAGCGUUGUCGAAUGGUUCCUCUCCCUUCUUCCUUGCUUUAAUUGAUUCAACUCUCUCAUCGUAGAAAAGUUUUGAACUUUUGAUCUAUAGUGCUGCGAGAUAGUAGUUUCUGUUGUGGGUUUCUCGAGUUCUUGAUAUCUGUUAAGCUUCCAUCUUCAUUUUGUGUUAAGACCAGUCUAAAGAUUGAGACUUUGCAAUUAAAAGAUUGAGACUUUGUUUUGUGUUUUGCUGUUUUGUAGGAUUACGGCGAUGGCGUUGGUAUGUAAAUAUGGAGAAAGAAAGGGUUAUGAGUCAUGGAAAGGUCUCUCAUGGGGAAUGGUUGACAUUAGAAGAGAGUUUUGUUGAAUCUAAGAAGCAAAUAUGUCUUUGUAAGAAUAUUGAUAUGCAAACUGUUUGGUAUACUUCUGGUUCAUAUGAGAUUAAAGAUGUGUUGAUUUUGUUUUGAUAGGCAGAGAGAUGUACGUAUGGGGAGAGGAUUCUAGGAUCAAGCUCUGAGCGUGUGCAGAGCAAUGUAAGAGUUAUUUUCUUGGUGAAUUCCACAUCUCUCUUUACAUCAAUUUUGAAGUUGUUUGUCUUCUUCUUGAAAUUUGGAACAGAUUACUCGUUACUUCUCUGAUCCUCAAUACUAUUUCAAAGUGAAUGAUCAGUAUGUUAGGAACAAACUCAAGGUUGUUUUGUUUCCUUUCCUUCACCGGGUGAGCUUGUCUUCUCUUGUCUCUUUCUGUUUGAGACUUUCUCAGACCAGCCAUUAAGUAAAACUAGUUCGUGUUUUGCUUCAAACGAUCAGGGACACUGGGCUAGAAUCUCUGAACCAGUUGGGGGUAGGCUCUCAUACAAGCCUCCCAUCUAUGAUAUCAAUGCGCCAGACUUGUACAUUCCCUUUAUGGCAUUUGGUACAUACGUUGUUUUGUUGGUCUUUCACUGGGACUUAAUGGAAAGUAAGUUCUUAUAUAUGACCCUAUGCAUCUCUCUCAGCGUUUUGAGUCUUAGGGGUUCAGUGAUUGAUGGACACUGAAGAUUUUUAACCUGAAUUCAUGUAGGUCUUCUUAUUGGUACUUUGUAGCAGAAGUUUGAACAUUCUUGACAUUGUAUGUGGUGAAGAAAAUGCUAUUCUUAAACGUCAUUGUAUUAGUCUCUUUCCAUUUAUGUUUGAACCGGUUAUAAAAUCCAGACCAUGCAAUGGUAAAGAUUCAUGUUUUAUAAACAAUUUUCAUCUCAUGGCAUCUUCUUGCCAUAAUAAUUUUUUUUAAAAAACCCUUAAUUGCCUUGCAAUGGAGCAUAAAAAUAUUUGGGUUUCUUAAUGUUGUCUCUUAAGUCACUUUUAAUACUUAAAAAUAUUAAAAAAGCUUAAAAGCCCCUAAGACCAUGUUUAUCCCUAAAAAACUCAAAUGGGUUUCUUAGGCUUUUUUUUAUCUAAAAAAAAAAAAUUUAAAAAGCAAACCAAUCGCGGGCCGCCACGAGUCAGUGGGGUCCGCGAACAGUGUAAGAAACUCACUAAAAUCGAUUCUUAAGUAGUAGUUUUUGUAACCGAUCCUUAAGGGUUUUGUGGGGACUCACGCACUAAGAACCUCACUAAGGACCCCGGAUAAAUUAAUAGUUUUUGUAACCGAUCCUUAAGGGUUUUGUGGGGACUCACGCACUAAGAACCUCACUAAGAACUCCGGAUAAACAUGCUAUAAGAGCAUGAUUAAUGGAUGGUUCUUAGGACGGGGUUCUUAGCGGAAUAUAAGAAACAAUCUUUUAACUUUUAACUAAAAAAACCAAGAAUCGAUUCUUAAAUAAGAUAUUUAAGAACCGGUUCUUAUCUUUUUUAGUUAAAAGUUAAGAGACGGUUUCUUAUAUUCCGUUAAGAACCCCACCCUAAAAACUCUCUAUUAAUCAUGUUCUGAGCGUCUCUUAGGGAUAAUGAUGCUCUAAAGACACCCAUGAACUGUGUUUUUUGUUUCUCCAAAAUAAAGACAAUCGUCCCAAGUUAGAAAGUGUAAAUACACCUGCGCUUGCUAGUUAAAAUGUAAAUUCCUCAGACUAUAAGUCUAUAACCAACAAAUAAAUACAACAUUUUGUUUCUUUCAAAAAAGAAAAAGACAACAACAUUUGUUUGGUUAUGAGAUGAACAAGGCCCUAAGAUUACCAACAAUAUAAGCAUUUAAUACAUAAUUUAUGAGAUUUCACAAUCACGGGUGACAGCCCAUUUCUUAAUCAAUUGAUUCUAGUGUCUAAGCUAGUGUUGAUAGUUCACAUGUCUGAGAAACUAUUAGAUGACAAAAAAACAGAUUGACAAGAAAAUUGUAUAUUAGUGUAUAAAAACCAUUUCCUUAAACCUCGACAGGUACACAUACAAUAAUCUGCAUUGCUGAUUCAUAGACACAUAAAAAAGUCAUGGUUUCGAAUGGUAAAAGCAGUUCAAGCAGAUCAUGCAGAUCAAGCAGGACAAGUGCAGAUCAAGCGGAUCAUGCAGGAGAGAACCAGAUCAAACCGAUCAAAUAAUUUAUUAUAACUUAUGAAUGACAAAAUCAUUUAAAAACUAUAUAUCAUAUAUUAAAACAAUAAAAAUGACACCUAGAUAUCUAAACAAAUAUCUUAGAUGUUAUAGUAUCGUCCGAAAUACCUGUAAAUGUUUUAUAAGAUACUUAUACUUCUUUUAUUUUCUUAUUUAAAAAAUUAAAAAUUAUAUGACAAAAAAUAAUAAGUAGAAAAUAAUAAUUUUGUAUUGUUAAAGUUGUAAAUAAAAUAAAAAUAUUAUAUUCAUAAAAUUAGAUAAAUAUAUUUUUAAAGUUAUGUGUUGUAACAAAGUUAUUUAUUGACCAAACAAAAAAAAAGCAGAUCAACACUACCAAAUGUUGGCGGGUGAGAUCUGCACCUGCUUUUUUCACAAAAAGACAAAAAAUAUUGAACUGCAUGCAGAUCUCUCGCUUGAACUGCUUUUACAAACAGAAAAGAGUGAAUGGUAAAUGCAGUGCGAGAGAACUGCAUAUGCAGGAUAACUGCACUUGUCCCGCUCCUCCAUUCGGACACUAUAUAUUAUGCAUUUACAUUUACAUUCAAGAAAAGCCCAACCGACAAGGUAAUCAGAAAGUCAAAGACCCAAAAAAAACGACAAAACAGAGUUCUUCUUGACUACAACAAGACUCGUGAAAAUUGAUGGUGAUGAUGAUGUUUAGGAUCUUGAACAAUUUGUUUCGAUUUGAUUUCCUCAGCGCAACGUAAUGCCUUCUCGAUCUGAUAACCUCCCCCGAUACUUACUUCUCUCUCAAGAUGACAACAGUAACUCUCGAACACACUCACAUUCACAUGCAACUUAAACCCCAUCAAGAACAAGAACUCCAACUCCAUGUUGUUCAAAUCUUCUGUCUCUAACCCUCCUACUUUGGCAAAGUACGAGUUUCUGUAGUUCCUGUAAUGGUCAAAGAGAAAGAAAAAUGAGUCAACCCAACACCACGACUUUGUUUUCAAGAAUUUACAAAUAAAAUGAAUUUAACAACAUUUUAAAUAGUUUUUUUAACUUACAUGUCUUCGACGUACUUGGAAGCGAUCAUGAUGGUUGUAAUAAGUAGACGAUGUACAUUAGUGAGACUGAUUCUAAAACCUUGAUUAUUUUGACAGAACCGGUUAAUGUACACAUAAGCAACAACGUAAACCGAUGGACCGGCUUUGGUAUACCGGAAAAUCCUCUCUAAAUACGAUUGGAUCGUCAUGUCAGGAACUUCCAUGCAAUCGAAGACACAUGUCUUACCAAAACCACCGUAGCUCGGGCUGAUCCUCUCGUUCCGAGCUACCGUCCGCUCUAUAAGAGACGAGAGAACAGAGAUAACGAGUGGUGUGUUGGAACCGUCUCGGUAAGAGUAUGAGUAAAGGUCUGACCGGAGCUUCCUCGGAGAAAUCGCUAGAGAAGGCGCCAUUAAUCAAGAAAUGUGUUUUUUGUCGUCUUGUUAGAGGUUUAUAUUUGUGAAAUGAGUAAUGAGAUAGGUUUGAAGAGGCUUUUUAUAUACAGUAAGCUAGGGAGUGUGUGGAGAAGAGUAGCUUUAGAGCAUCUUUAUUGGAGGUAACUAAAGGGUUUCUUACCGUGUGGGUCCCGCGCAGGACCCACUUUUUUUUAAGAAACCGGUUACCAAAACUACCAAAUAGUAGUCGGUCCUUAAGGGUUUCUUACACUGUUCGCGGGUCCCACUGAUACGUGGCGACCUGCGAUUGGUUCGUUUUUAAUUUUUAUUUUUUUAAUUCGAAAAAGUAAAAAAAAAAAAAAAAAAAAAAAAAAAAAAAAAAUUAAGAAACCCCAAAUGGGGUUUCUGGGAUAUUGAUGCUCUUAGUAUCCUAGGGCAACUUCCUCCUCUCUUCUUUUUUCUACAAUUUAACUUUUAAAAAUUUGUAGUUAAUAGUGUGUACUGAAUAUUUAAUAGGAUUAAAACGUAGCUCGUGCAAGUACGAAAGUUCAGAAUUGUAUCACUUUCGUCCAGAUAAAGCAAUUUAAUUCCCAUCUACUAUGAGAAAAUAACGGUUGGUCUCAUAGAUUAUAGGUUAGUGAAUUAUGGCAUAUGAUAUAUAUCAGUCGUUUUUAAAACAUUCUUCAAUUCAAACGGACGUAGAUUACACAAUUCUUUAACCCCUUGAAACAAUGUAGUCAAGUGAUUUCGAUAGUUUCUUCAUAUAAAGUUAUUGUUCCAUGUAAUAUAUAGUGUGUGUGAGAAGGUACACUAAUUCUUCAGGAUUUUAUAAUGUGGGAUUGUAUCGAAAAGAUAAACGACAUGGGUUUUUGGAGUCAUAUGGAAGCUGGAGAGAAGUUACUAAAAUAAGUAAUUAAAUAUUUUACAAGUUGAAACGAAAAACAAAUGUGUAAGUGCAACAGCUAAGCUUUUGGUUCUUUUUUAUCCAUAUUCUAUUCACAUAAUAGUAAUUAACCAACUCCAAAGUACAUCAAACAAAUAGUAUACAAAAAUAUAAAACUAUAAUUAAACAAAGGAGAGUACUCCGCCGACAGUUUGUAGUAGACGGUGGAGAGAGAUGUCAACUCAACAUCGUUGAAAUCUCUUGUGGAGCCUGCGGGUUUUGGGUGAGGGCUCACUCACUCAUGCUAAACUUUUUAACAACUGAUUUUAACGCGUCGUCUACUGUUUAGACACUCGUGUGACAUUCGUCGGCUUCCACAGAUCACAAGGUGACUCACACGUGAGGACGUUUAUUAAAAAUGUACAAUUUCAAAUGGAUAGUUGCAUAAUUAAUUAACGGAUAUAUUAAAAAUAUAGGCAAAUAAUCAAAAAAAGAGAAUUAAAUUGUAGAGAAAGAUAGAAAGAGAAAGUAAGAGACAUUUAGCAAAAAAAAAAAAGUAUGAUAGAAGGGACGGUUUUGGGUAGUUAGUGAAUUUAAUUGAAUUUUUGUUAAUAAAGUAUCUCCAAAGAUACACUCGAUUUUGAAGUUUCCAAAAAAUUUAUAUUUGAAGUUUAAAAAUAUUUUCUUCAAAAGAAAACUUAACUUUAAAAUUAUUUGUAUUUUAUAUUAUGGUUUUUACAUUUUUCAUAACUAAAUUGAAUUCAUAAAAAAUUGUAAAUAACUAGCAUAUAUAUAUAUAAAUAUUACACACUAUUAAUUAAUAACAUUUUAUAUUAAAAUAGAAAUUUUAAAUAGAAAUUAUUGACAUUAAACUUCAAUAAAAUACCAUAUUAUUCCAUAAAUUAUUUUUUAAUGCAUAUGAUCAAUUAGCGCAUUUUGAAGUAAAAAAUGACUUUUCAUUUCUAAUUUGUAGAUUACGAGAUAAAAAUUAUUAAAAUCGGGUGAUAUUAAUAUUUUUAAAUACAUUAGAUCUGAACAAAAAAAAUAAAAGAAGAAAAUAAAAUAUUGUUAAAAAGACUUAACUUAUAUCGAUGAUCUUAAUACUCGUGAAUACAUUCGAUCUGAAAAAGAAAGAAUCGUACGGAAAAGACAUCAAAAACAAUAAUAACAACCAUCUCUAGUUGCACAAAAUGUUUUGGUCAAUAUUUUGAAAAUUUUGGAGGUUCUGGAUCAAAUUUACCAAACUAUUAGUGUUGUUGUACUAUUUUAAAUUUGUGUAAUAAUUAUGUCAUCAUGUAAUUUUCUAAAAGUUUUUUUUGUAUAUUAAUUGUUGUUGUCUAACUCUAGUUUUAAGAUAUUUAAAUAUUACUUUAAAUUUUUUAUUUAUUUUUAUGUGUAAAACAUAAAUUUAGAAAAAAAUUGAAAUAUUUAUGAGAUUUUUAAGGAUUAAAAGGAUAAACGAGAAAAUAUUUAUCAUAAAUGUAAUGUGUAAUUGUAGUGACCAAAAUGAAACAAAAAUAUGAAACUUUGAAGUUUCGAGUACUAAAAUUUCAAAUAUAGAAUUUCACUCCUCAAAACUUUAAUGAAAUUUUUUUUACAAAACAAAAAACUUUAUAUUUGAAAUUAUAGGAAUGUCUUUUAAAGAUGCUCUUAGAUCCGAUUUCCUAUAAAUAUAACCAAUCCAUUUAUUGGAUAUUGAUCUUAUAUUGGAACCCCAUGAUAAACGUAAAUUUAACAUUUUUGGGACGAAUCACACGUUAUUUCUUUUGUUCAAAAAGCUCCAUGAAUGUGAAUGUUGCUAAUACCAAAUGUAAUAAAUAUGUAAUGUAACCAUUCAAAUCUUUCAUUCUUAUCAAAUAUUUGCUCGACAGCUGCAACUCAAACUGAAAGAAAGUUUACAUUUUCUUGAUCAUAGGUACAAAAAUAUAUCUUAUGAUCUAUUUAUUCCCAUGUGGUAAAGAAAAAAACAUAUAUUAAAAUAGAUGAAAGUGGUGGGGCAAAACAAAGUACAGAUAAUAAAUUGAGCUGAACGGAAUGAACCUACCGCCAGCGAACGGAUAAGUUUGAUAAUCAGUGCAAAACAAAGGGACCCGAAUUGAUUUCCCCUAUCGUCUCGUCAAAACUUUUUACCACUUCAUCAUUGCCCUUGAUUCAGGUAUAUUUCAUUUUAGUUGUGUCUCCCCCACCUUAUUUAAUAGAUCUAAUAUCCUGUUUUUCCCUUUGAUUGAUAUUCACGUAUAUGGUAUACACUCAUUGACUUACGUCCCUUUUUAUUAUCAGAGGAGCACUAUUAUUAAAUAACCUUUACCUUAUGUGUUAUUAUCAAAAAUGUCAUUUCUUAUGUGGCAACACCACAAUCACUCUCACACCAUAUAUUUAAAAAUCUUCUUCUUACUAAGUUAAUAUGAUAUAUUAUAUACGUCCUCAUAAUUUGAUUUGGAAACCGGUUCUAUAGUGAACGUUCAUGAAAUUGGUUUGUCCUAUGCCCAAAAAAAAAUUAAUUUACCAUAGAUCAUGUACGAGGAGGAACUCUCCAACACCUUUAUACUCUAUGAUUAUUUUUUACAUAAAAUCGAGACCACAUGAUAUAUUGUUCAUUUGCAUCAUGUAUACAAACCACUAAAAUCAAAAUGACAAUAUAUAAUUAUCAUCGGUUUUUCAUAUUCCCAAAAAUAUAUAAGAAGUCAUGGAGCUAUUUUGAGUAUAAUGAUACAAACAUUACUCUAAAUGAUUUUAGUGGCUUCAUGAUGAAUGAAUUAUUAAGUCAACCAUAUAGUUAAACCAUUGUUUUGUUAAUAGAUUUUAUCAUAUAUCAAUAGAAUAAAUAGAUUAAUAGAUUUUAUCGUAUAUCAAUUGAAAACUGUUGAAAUUAUACAAAUAUUUUUAACAAACACCCAGCUCGAUUUAAUAAACCGGUUUCAUGUCUAUCAAACCAAAUUGAAUUGUAUUUGUGAAUGUAUAAACAUUAUGGGAUUCUAUGAAAUUCAUUUGGUGAGAAAACAUUUCCGGAGUUAUUGAUUGUAUAAUUUUUUUGUAUUUUUGGUAGGUGUAAAAUUGUUAUGACAAUUAUCUUUUCCUAAAUUAUGUUGUUUUAAAUUCUAAUAUACUUUUUGAACAUGUCAAAUCCUUUAAUAUGACGAUUUUAACUAUUAUUUCCUUAAAUUUGAAAACACAAAUAAAUUUGGAAUACUACCAUGGAAUUACAUAUGGCAAUCACUAGUGUAAUAUUUUUUUGCUGCAUUGAUGUAUCAGUGAAUAUUACAAUUACGACAAGUUUAGAAUUGUAGGGAAGCGCAAGUUACGUAAAAUUAAAUAGUGGGAUUUUGAUAUCAUUAUGGCGAUUUGCUUGCAAAGCUGGUAACCCUAAACUCAUGUUUUUUUUUUCUUAAAUUCAUAACAAAUUUGUAUUAGUCUUUGCUCACUCUUAUAGAUUUAAUUUUCCAUAAGAUAUACUUAAUUGCACCUACCAAUUACACAAACUUAAAAAAAAACAAAUAAACUUACAUUAUAUAAAUAUGCAAAUUUUCGUUCCAUAGUUCAUUAUAUCUAAUAUUUGUGAUUUUUGACUUUCUAAUAUCUAUAGAUUAAAAGUAAUAAUUUUAUUAUUCACUCAUGACAAUUUAUGAUUGCCAUAUGAAUAUUUUAAAUUAGGAAAUAUGAAGCUAAAUAUGACACUAAUUCCGGUUAUAUAUGUACUCAUUAAAAUUGGCCGAAUUUGGUAAUGGAAAUUCACCGUCGAAACCCAAAACAUAUAUUAAUAUUUUUGAUCGUCACUGAUUGAUUUUGAAUAUACUUUCGCUAACUAAAAUCUCAGCUUGUUUCAUAUUUGGCACUAAAUUUACUUUUGAUCGUACCAAUAUAUAUAUAUUGUUGACUCGAUCAUGCAAAGCAACCACUAAAAAAGUUCUGGAAAGCAAUCACUAAUCUAUUGUUUUGGUAUGUCACAUAAUGUUCUUUUAUAUUGUUUUUUGUGUGUUACAAGCGUUCAAAGAUAUUAAAUUUUAUAACCGUUUACUUGGAAUUAAUUUUGUUAUAUAUAUAUAUAUAUAUAUAUUUAAAGAAGCAUUCAUGUUCCUCACUAUUGUUUUGGUAUGUUACAUUUAUGGUUCAUAUUUAUAUAAUGUCAUUUGUAUAUGAAUAUUAAUCAUAUAACCCCUAAUUGAUUUGAUAAAAGCAUUGAUCAUGGAUUAUGACGCUGAUUGAAUCUUAUCUUUUGACUGAUUGGACGAUACAAACUUACAAAUAUCAUUUAAUCCCUUAACUUAAGCACAUAAACUCUAAAAUUAAGGAAUCAACACGUCAGAAACGUCAGUUUGGUUAUAUUCGAUCAGGAAGCUAAAUAUGACACUAAUUCCGGUUAUAUAUGUACUCAUUAAAAUUGGCCGAAUUUGGUAAUGGAAAUUCACCGUCGAAACCCAAAACAUAUAUUAAUAUUUUUGAUCGUCACUGAUUGAUUUUGAAUAUACUUUCGCUAACUAAAAUCUCAGCUUGUUUCAUAUUUGGCACUAAAUUUACUUUUGAUCGUACCAAUAUAUAUAUAUUGUUGACUCGAUCAUGCAAAGCAACCACUAAAAAAGUUCUGGAAAGCAAUCACUAAUCUAUUGUUUUGGUAUGUCACAUAAUGUUCUUUUAUAUUGUUUUUUGUGUGUUACAAGCGUUCAAAGAUAUUAAAUUUUAUAACCGUUUACUUGGAAUUAAUUUUGUUAUAUAUAUAUAUAUAUAUAUAUUUAAAGAAGCAUUCAUGUUCCUCACUAUUGUUUUGGUAUGUUACAUUUAUGGUUCAUAUUUAUAUAAUGUCAUUUGUAUAUGAAUAUUAAUCAUAUAACCCCUAAUUGAUUUGAUAAAAGCAUUGAUCAUGGAUUAUGACGCUGAUUGAAUCUUAUCUUUUGACUGAUUGGACGAUACAAACUUACAAAUAUCAUUUAAUCCCUUAACUUAAGCACAUAAACUCUAAAAUUAAGGAAUCAACACGUCAGAAACGUCAGUUUGGUUAUAUUCGAUCAGCUUAAUUUUCAAAGUUAAUAUUGUUUCCUAUAUGAUGAUUUCUUAAUUAUAGCACUUUUCAUACUUUUAAAAUUGACAGCUAAAAUUAAUUUUGUAGCCCGGGCAAAUCUCGCGAAGUAAUAUAUUUUAAUUGACUCAAUUAUUGUGGCAUAAAUUAAAAGUCUUAAUUUUUUUUAGUCUAUUCACCCUGCGCAAGGCGCAGGUUACCACCUAGCAACGAGUAUUACAGAUGUGUGUUUCUAGGCCUAGUGUUUUCACAUGAAGAUCAAAUCGAUUUUUUUAGUUGGAAAAGGAUAUUAUGGUCCAAUUAAUUUAUUUUAUUUUUAAUUAAAUUUUAUUCAUUUCGAAAACAGAAAUUCAGAUCUGGUUACAAAAAUCGACUUGAAUAAAAUUUCUAAGUCUCAAGCGGAUAAAAACCAAAAGACUCAGCUUAUAGAGAUAUAAAGCGACCGCUAAAACACCGGAAGAAACUUGAUAGGAAGACAGAGGAGAAGGUCUGAGAUGAAGCAGUAUAACAAGUAGCCACUACAAGCCUUUGACGACUGUUGGAUUACGCUACUGAUCACACCCACACGAGUUUGAACAGAUCCUAGCGCCAUCAUCUCCUAUGCACCAAAGCUCUAAGCUUGCCUCCAAGGACAAGACCCACCAGAUCUCACUUAACCACUGAGAAGAAGAGCUGCUUUCUUUCGACAACGAAAAAGACCAAAGAACCAAACUGCUGAAGAAAAUUGAAUCUCUGACCCGAGCGACGGCAGGGAACCAUCGCUUAACCGAAUCAAAGAGGCAGCUUGUCGCUCCUCCAUAACGUCAGAGAAAUAUUUGAGUAGAUCUAGGAGUUGGAAACCGAUCUACUCCCAACCCAAAAAGUCGACUACCCAAGAACCAUCACUUCAACAACCUCACUGGGAAGCCAGAGCAGCAGAGGCGUACCCUUCGCAAGCAGAACCCAAGCCGGAUAGAAACCCUACACCAUAUUUUGCGAUAUACCAAAGGAGAACCGAAAGGACCAAGUAACAACCAGAAAAGAGACAUGAAAUGGAAGAAAUACGCCUCUUUCACUGGACGCCAGAACCUAACUCAAAUACGAUUUUGAUCGGAAAGGAGAGAAAAGAGAUGAUAAGAAGAGAGAUAUAGGUUUUUAUAACCUAUCCAUCUAUCGUCUAAUUUGUUUUUCUUUUACUAGAAUCUAGGUCUAAUUUGUUGUUGUCAACAAUAGACAUAAUACCAAAUUUGAAUCUAUGUAGUUACAAUGACGACAAUUGAAACCACACACUCGACUAGCCUUAUGAUUAGUAGACAAGUUAAGUAAACUGAAUAAACAUUUUUUUUUUUGAAAUUAUCAUAAUGAGGGUAUAUUAUUAUCAAGUGCUUUGUCUUUUUUUUUUAGUUGAAAACUUUUAUAUAAAAGGUGGAAAUAUAGAACUAAUUAAAGUGGUCUGUAUGAUUUUUUAUUCAUUUGCCACUUUUUAUUAUAAAUUGUGUACCAAUCAAACUUAAAUGUUAUGACUUAAAAAUAGUAAUCUAUAUACAAAUUUAUGCAUUAUUUUCAUGAUUGUUUUUUUUCAACUUUUACCAAUUGUGAAUUUAGUUAUUUAAGAAUCACGAACUGGAUCAUGAUUUUUCAGUUUAUAUAUAAAUAUAAUACAAUGAAAAAGUGGAUACUUAUUUUAUAGAAAAUAAAUCAAUCGUCAUGCUUUAUGAUGUAAUAUUCUCUAAUAUAUAUAUGUACACGGUGUACUGUACACCCAUAUACAACACUGAUUGACUGGAACACAUUUAUGAAAUUUAGAGUUUUGGAGUCGACCGAUAUGUACGAAGGUAAAAAAGUACCACAGUAUCUGUCGACUCUGACAGUACACAAAUCGUCAGGCUCCCGUAACUUUAUGCCCGAUAGAUAUGCAUCUCUGAUUUACAUAAUCUAUCUCCAUUUCGAGAUUCGUAAGAUGAAUUGCUUUUAAUGUCUACGUACGUACCCUCGUACGAAACUUCAUUCACCAAUCAUAUUAUUUCUUCCUCGGUUUCCUUUAUUCGAGUACUAACGUAACAAUUAGAUCAGAUUUUGAUAAACACAUGAGAUUUUACUUAGGUAAAUAUGUGAUACAAAAAAACUAUUGGAAAAAAUGUACAGAAACAUCUUCUAUUGAUUAGAAAAAAAACAUCUUCUACUGAUAAUUGAGUUGGAGUGGGCCUGAUCAGCAUUUAGGUCGUAGAUAUUAUUUCGUUUAUAUGUUGGCUUUGAUUUUGUUCUUUAAUUUCAGGAAUAAAAAAGUCAUAAACAUUAAUCAAGUUAUCUCUAAAAUCAGACAUUUCACUUCAGAUUUCUUCUCAUAUGACCUACCAAAGUUAAAUGACUACCCAACAUUGUUUUUAAAACCGGACCGAUCCUGAUACGCUCUAAAUCGGGAAGGAUCACUUUAGUUGGAUGUUGGAUAUGAUCCGAGAAGGCAAUGGCACUUCUGAAACUGAGAUAGAUUGAAAGGAUCGUCAAGAGAUGCGUAAUGACUCUUGAUAUACCUACGAUCUAAGGCUAACCACCUAAAAAAGAAUGAAUGUGUUGGCUAACCACCAAACAACACACAAAGAUGAAUUGACUGACCCCCAAAUCAACAAGCCAGUUCACACCAAUGAACUAGCUAAAGAACUCUCUCUCUCACUCAGAGAAGAAACGAAAAUAAACUCAAAAACAUAGAUUUUUUUUAUUCAUAAAAGAGUUUACAUAUUUAUACUAGAUGUGGUCAAAGAAAUACAUAAUUAUUUGUGGGAAUCACAUAUCUAGGAAACGAGAAAUUUGACUAGAAAAUAAUAAAUGAGUCAAAGUUGCUGAGUUUGAAGUGGACUGGUCAAGGAGACCCUUCGACUACUGUCCAGGUUCAUUCUGGUCGUUCUGGUCCAUGGUGGUAAGGAUCAAGACGCGAACUUGACGAUCCGUACGGCCCAAAUUCGCGAGAACUGAAGAUCACCGAUUUUGUAAAUUGCAUAACUCUUUCAUCUGAACUCCAUUUGAUCUGAUUCUUGUUCGAGGAGUUCCGUAAUUGAGUUGAGAACAUUCUCCAAGUGAUUUCAUGCGUAGAAGCCUCGAGGUUUGGAAGAUAUGAGUCAAACAAUGAACAUAUAUCUUUACUGCUUUCAUGCUGGUUGGCUCCAAUGGACUGAUCCACGAACCGGGGCACAUCAGACCCGAUGGUUGAACCAGGUUUGACCAUAAAACGGUAUAUAGAUGGAUUGAGUCUAAUAAUUAGAUCGACCAUUAACCGGUCACGUAGCCGGAUUAGAUCUCAGAGUUAUUAUAAAAACCAUUAAAACUAUCAAAAAUCUAUAAAUCAUCCAUAUAAACAUAAAAACCAUGUUUGUGUUUUAAAUCCAUUUCUAUUUUAAUUAUGUAUCAUAUUUACUAAUAUUAUUUUUAAAUUUAUACACUAAAAAUAUAUUAAACCGGAUUAUUGAACCAUGUUUGAUCCGAUCGAACCAUAGUGAUCUGUGACCGAAAAAUUAUUUGGUUCAGCUUCCGGUCCGGUUUAAAAAAAAACACUGCUACACAUUAUCAAUCUUUAAGUGAUUAGCAUAUGUAGUCUCGCAAUAAGUUUUUGUUACUAAAUUUUUUAUUUUAUUUUAAAGAGAAUGAAAAAGAAAGAUGAUAAACCGAUGAUAGUCAUUCCUUUUGAAAAAAAAACUACAAAAAUUAGUUAAAAUUUUUUUAUCAUACUUGUCACUACAUAGUUUGUUAAGCUUUUUUAAGUUUUAAAUUUAAUUAUUUACUUAAAUAAAAUCAUUAACACUAAAUGAUCAUACCCGAGACCCGAUCGGGUAUCCGAAGGACCUGAAACUUAUUGUAUAUAUUAGGUAUUUUUGGGUACUUGGGUAUUUUUGAUAUUUCGUAUAUUUUUUUAAUUUUCGGGUCCAGUUUUCGGGUAUAAUUUCAGACUUCGUGUAAAAUUUUAGAUUUUCAAAAAAUAUAAUUUGGGUAUUCGGGUAAAAUUUUGGGUAUCUUUUAAGUUUUCGGGACUGAUUUUGGGUAAAUUUUCUGAUAUUUUUGCGAUUCUUCGGAUAUUUAUGGAGUUUUAAGGUAUUUUUUGAGUUUUUGGGUCUAAUUCGGAUAUUUCAGAUCUUUUUCAGGUCAUAAAUAUCCGAACCGACCCGAACCCGAAAUGUAUCCGAAAAUUACAAAUAUUUUACGAAUAUUUAGAUUAUAGACCCGAACCGACCCGGACACAACAAGAUCCAACCCGAAAACGACCCGAAAAACUAUAGGUAUUUAUAUGGGUCCAAAAUUUUUAGGAUCCGAAAGACCUGGAUUCGAUAAAAUCCGAUCGACCCGAAAAAUUAUAGGUAUCUAUAUGGGUCCAAAUUUUCAGGAUCCGAAAGAUUUGGACCCGAUAACACCCGACCCGAAUCCGAUCCGACACCGGAUGCAAGGCCUAUCUUGGACUAUUACCCGAGUUUUCUUUUUUUCUUUUCUUUUCUGUGGAGCGCAAAAUUGUGGUCAAUGCUUUGUUCAAAUAAUGCUGAUAGCCUUUUAGUUUGGGCUUUUAUGGGCCUUAAGUUAGUGAUAUCCAAAACUGACGUUUCAUUUAAGUUAAAAAACAGCUUGAUAAUGACGCUGAGGUGUCGCUAGUUUAUAGGCUGAUACUGCGUGGCGAGAAGAACCCGUCUUAUAAGAAAAGAUCAGAGUCCAGUCAACUUUAAAACUAAAGGUCCGAACAUCUCUUCGUCUCGUUAACGUUCUCGUCGAAAUCAGAAUCUCUAAAGCCAAAUCUGGUGAGUUUUUAAUUUGAUUUUCGUUGAUGUACGAUCCAGUCUCCGGUGAAUUUGUGUGAUUCAAUGUUGUCGUUAUUCAGGAAUCCCUAGAUCUGUUGUUAUGGUUGAUGAGAGUGUAGAUCUGAUCAUGAGAUCUCGAUGUUGAAACCUGAGUCACGUUAAUCAGCGAUUUUCGAUCUCUGAUCUGAUACGAUUCUUCCUUUGUAUGUGUGAGAUUAUGUAGAAUUUUGCGUGUUCCUAGAUAUAUAGGUUUUGAUGUUGAAUUCGAAGUCGAUUUGUUGAGAAUUUUGAAAUGCUCAUCUCUUGAAUCCGUCUAGUUUCACAAUUCAUGUUCAGAAAGUGAUUCAAUGCUAAUUUUAUAUGCACAUGUAGUAAAGAAGAGAGGGAAGGAUGGUGGGAAGUGGAGCACCACAGAGAGGAAGUGCAGCUGCGGCUGCUAGCAUGCGUAGGAGGAAGCCAAGCGGCAGCUCAAGUGGAGGAGGAGCCUCUGGUGGUGGUGCAGCAGGAUCCAUGCUUCAGUUCUACACGGAUGACGCACCCGGUCUCAAGAUCUCCCCAAAUGUCGUCCUUGUCAUGAGCAUCGGUUUCAUUGCUUUUGUCGCUGUCCUUCAUGUCAUGGGCAAGCUCUACUUUGUCAAGUGAUCAGAGAGAGAGAGAGAGAGAGAGAGAGGCUUGAAACACCAAGCUAGUAUUAGACGCUUGUUUUUAACUCAUGUUUUAAUUUUGUGGAGUAUUAAGUUUCUCGACAUUCAAAGUUUCAAUAUUCUUCAUAUACGAAGUGAAGGGGUACUCGUGUACACAUCUCACACACUUAGAGCACCAUCGUUAUAAUUUUGGAAGGAUUCAAAUUCACAUUAGCUAAAUUCGAAGAAUGUUAAUGAAGGACUAAACCGGGAUUGUCAACCUGUGAAAUAAAGAAUCCUAAUACAAUUAAGGAAUGUAUGGAAAACACUAGACACUAAACAGAAGUUCAGGGGCCUAAGUUGUAAAUAAACAAUUUGAAACGGGGCCCGACGGGUCAAACUAUUCAAUAGAACUUGGAGCAAGCGACGAAGACGAAGAGGUCGGAGAUCUUCUCAAAUGGCAGCUUCAGCAGAAUCAUCCUCAGAGAUGGAAGACGCGCAUUCACCUACGAUUCCACAAUCGCAGCCUCUGCUGUCUACGAUUCCAAGCGCUAACAUCGCAGCGACGACGGUCGAAAACGCAGCUUCCUGGAUCGACGACGCGAUGCGUCAAGCGCUGGUGUACCAGAACACGAUCGUGGAGACGUUAGAUUCCACCAUUGACGCCUCGAGAACUCGAUUGUCUCAAAUUCGAGAUACUUCCAUAGCUCACACGAGCCAAACAAUCGUAAGCGAAUCUGAAAAUCCACACCUUCUAUUCUCUGUGUCGUUCGAUUGCAUCUGUUCAUCCUCUGAUCAAAUCGAGCGUUUGUGAUAAUAGGAUUCUCUUAGAGAGAUUGCUUCUGAGUUUAGCGUUUACGAGCAUAUGGUGUUUGCGAAGAUUAAAGGUCUGGUCUACGUCCCUGGAUGCUACGUCGUUUUAGCCUUGUUCAUUUAUCUCUCAAUGUGGUCGUGUAUGCAGAGGGUGUAAACGUUGCUGCAUCUCAUCCGCUAAUGUCAGGAUCUUUAGCCUUUGGUGUUGGGAUCUUUGCUCUGAAAAGUAUUAUUCUUAUACUCCCUAGAGUUCAUUCUCCUAAGGAUAUUUAUGCUAUGCACUGAUAUGUUUGUUUGCAGAGACGAGAAGAUUUGUAUACUAUAAUACUUUGCGAAUGUUCUCAAGCGAAGAGGUCAGUGUUCGUUGAAUGUAUUAUGCUGGUCUGCUUGUGGUUGAACUUGUUAUUAAGUCUUGACGCUAUGUUUUUUUGGAUUCAGGCUUUGCUUUCUAGAGCAGAUCUUAGAGUAAAAGAGCUGAGACAAUCAAUGGAUCGUCUUACAGCCGAAAGUGAAAAGCUAGAGGUAUGCUUUUAGUUAGGUUUGUUCCUCUUUUGUUGGUUUGCUUUGACAUCCCUUUAUCUUGGAAGUAGAAUGAAAACGAAAAGGGUUCAGGUUUCGAAGAGAGAACUCUAUAUGUAUGUAUCUCUUAUUGAAUGGAUAUGGAUGAGGAUGAUGAUGCUCUAGAUUCAUAUGGAUGAAUAGUUUUGCUUUCACAGGAAUUAAAUGGUCACUUAGGUUGAUUUGUCUUGAAUGUGACUUAUAUAUAUACAUGUAGCCUGCACUUACUAGUUAAUGAUCUUCAGCAAUAGCAGUCUGUUGAAAGCCCUUAUUGGAUUAUGGUUUUGAAUUCUUAACCCCACUUUGAUUGUUUUAGAGAAUUUCAACUGUGGCAGAAGAUGAGUUGAUUAGAGGAAGGAUGAAACUCAGGUUUAUAUGAUCCAGACGAUAUAAAAGUAAUAUUGUAUAUGUACGUAUGAACAUGAUUAUUGUGUUAACUCUCCAUAUCCUCUUUACUCAGACAAGCAGGCAAACAGAUACGAGGGGUGGUCCAAUCAGCUUAUAAGAUAGAAAACCAAGCAGCAGGUAUGUUUUGUAUCUUAAACUCCCAAAGUUUAUUAAUCCAAAGAUAUGCAUAGAACAGUAAAAGUUUAUCGACUUUUACCACCAUUGAUUUAUUCUAUGUACAGGUUUGAAAGAUGUACUUAAAGAAUUGCCCACGAGAGAAGCUUCUCGAUUCCGUUCUCAAGUAAGUAUCCUUGUCUCUUUGCUCUUCUAGUUUAGAAUAUAGGACCUGAACUAGUUUAGAAUAACCAUUUAUAUAUAUAUAUAGUCUUUAAUGGAGUUAUUUCGCUUGUUCAACCUCAGAUAUCGAACCGUGCUUCUGAAAUAAAGCAAGAGAGAAAGGCUUUGACAAAGGAAGUGAACAAGAUCAGCAACUAUGGUAUCUCCGUAUGAGGAGUUUUUGAUUACUCUCUUGGGUUCUUAGAUGAUGGAGCAAAAUUACACAAUAAUAAUAUCUUUAGCAUGAUUAAGACUUAUUUUGUUUGGUGUCAAAUGCCAAAUAUGUAAUCUCAUGUUGUUUUGUAUUCUCAAGGGCUUUGGUUAUUUGACAAUUAGUUAGCAAUACAAGUUGAUGGUGAUGUUUUCCCACCGUGAGGGUGUCUUUAAUCCGGUUUUUGGUUUUGGUUUAAUCCGGUUUCCGGUUUCCGGUUUUCAUUUUGAUGUUAUUUUAUUACCAAGUUCUAUAGAGGAAAUAUAUUGGUAAUAAUAUAUUUUCUUGAGUGAUGUUUGAGUUAGUUAGAAAUUUAAAAACUGUCCGGAGUUUAUCUUCAAUGGAUGACUCUAGUGCAGUGACAUGAACCAAAGGGAAACCCGCUAGACGCCAAGCCUGUUGAACAAAGAGGCAGGUGUAUAAGGCAUGAUCUCUUGUUUCUUCUUCUACGCAGCAUGAAGAGUGAAGACCAAAUCAGAUCGACAUUUAUGAUUUAUCCGUCUAUGUCUAAUCUUGGCUUUAACAACAAUAGUCAUAGAAGCUACUCGCCAGAGAAAAUGUUUAGGCUUCGGUAUUGUGUCAUUGCUUUGGCUAGCUCAGGAGAUGCAGCAAUGUUUAAGUUUCGGUAUGGAGUCGCCUGCCCUGGUAUGCUCAACAUCCGGUUCCUUGGAUGCGGUCCGCCCCUGCAGUGUAUUACGGCCCUUUCCCGCCAAGACUCGGCGUGGCUCAAUCUUAUCAGCGCCUCUAACUUAAUCCACCAUUUUUGAACGCUACGGCCCCGCGUUUCCACCGUUUUUGAAUGCUACGGUCCCACGUUUCCACCGUUUUUGAACGCUACAGUCCCGCGUUUCUUGUCUACCCACCCUUUCCGAAUGGCUUACAUUUCAUUCAUUCAUCUUUCCAUUUCUUUCUUUUUUCCUUUCAUUUCCUUUUUUCUCUUUCCUUAGACUCAUUCAUUCUUUCCUUUUAGACGCCACCCGUUCUCGGUGUCACACUCAAUUCAUUAAACAACCAUUCACAUAGGUCUUACCAUUCAUCUAACCAGACCGAUUAAUAGUAUUCUAUGAUCCUAGGUGUAAUUCUUUCUAUACAUCCUAUCUUUCACAAACACACAAGUCAAACAAUUAGAUCAGAGAAUCACAUCAACACAAUCAGAUCAACACAAAGCAGUCCAUUAAAGUCUUUUAACAGUAUGAGCGUUCUUAUGCAAUAUGUACUAUGCAACUAUCAUCCUAGGAUUUCAUCAUGAUCUAAUCAACCUACAACAAUCAGGAUCUAAUCGAUCCUAGCUCCUCAUUCAACAAUAUACAGAAGCAUGAGAAGAAAUCUGGGUAAAACACCUCACCUUAGCUUAGAUCUGGAUCUGGAAACAAGAGACAAGAGAGAUGAGAUCCGGCAUAACAACGCCACACGGCCACCACCACCACUCGCGUGCUUGCUCACGGUGAGGAGAGAGAGAGAGUCGGCCCAGAGAGAGAGAGCGAUCGCGAGGAGAGAGAGUCGGCGGUGAGGAGAGAGAGGAGAAAGAGAGUCGACGGCUAGGGCUUCCGGAUUCCGGGGUUUUCUGCAGAGCUUCACUUCUCGGUUUCAGAUGAGAGACAAGAGGGUGUAGGCUUGCUUUUAUAAGGAAAAGAAGAGAACACUAGGGUUUUCUAGUCGGGGCGUAGAGAAUCCAUUACCUUUUAAGAAUUUUAAAUGGGCCAGUUUUGGGUGUUACAGCUAUAACCGAAACUUCAUCAGAUAGUGAAGAAGUUACUCUUGAUUAAAUGAAGAUCCAAGCAUGCUCUGUGAAACAAAGUAGCUACCUAGACCUCCAGAAUUGAAUCUGCUUCGACAGAUUCUAAAAUCACAUGUAAGACUUAGAAGUUGUAUUCAGUUUUAACACAAACCGAGAAACAUAAAGAUUGAUGAGCGGCUCUGAUUCGAUUAAAACAUAACACACCAAAAUCGUCGAACGAAAACAGAAUUGCCUAAGCGAAAACAAGUUCGAUCCAUUGAUCGAAAGUUUUACAAUCAAAAACAAAAGGACAAGAGUGGUAGCCGACGGCGAUAGCCUCCGGCCACCGAUGAACGGUGUUGCUUUAGAAGUUUUUUUUAGAUUAUGCACCCUAAUGCUGGAACCAUUGAAAAUGAUUUAGGCAGGAGAAAUUUAAAACUGCAUUACAGAAAAUAUAAGUUAAACUCAUAACAUUUACUGUUAGAUAUUUUCUAAUUCCAAUACUUUCCCCCAAAUUACUAAAAAACCUUAUAAUAAAAAGUAUGAAAAUAUUAAUUUAAAAUUAUCCGCAAUGAUUUUUUUUUUCUUUUUACAUUUGAAGGAACAGAAUAACAAAAUAUUAUUCUGUUCUUAAAACGAAACUUUUUUUUUUAAACGAAACUUUUAAAAAAAAUUCUGCUUGUAAAAUAUCCCCCAAUUAUAAAUGUUUUAUAACGAACAAUCAAAAAUGAUUGAGAAGGAGGAAAGCAAUUUAAUCAGGCCGUCAAUAUGAUCAUCGGCCGUAGAGCCUACUUUCUGUUUGCGACAGCGACCAUUGGGGAAAGAUAUGUAUGUUUGACAAACUUAAAGUUUGUAUGUCAUUUUCCGAUUAUAUUUCGCUGGCAAUAGAUGGAUUUGAGCAUGCUCCGGUGUGUGAUGUGGUGUUACUUCUUCCAAAUCUAAGAACCACAAACAGUAUGAUCAACUGAAUUGAGCUAAAAAAAAUGUUUGUAAGAGUUACGGCUUCUUCAAUGUAUAGCUUAUAAACCCAAAUAUACAUUUAAGCCCAUUUGUAUGGAGUGCAUUUCUUCCAAUCUGUAUUCCACAUACUGUACUUUAUAUUACACUAAAAUAAACUACAUCCAAAAGCAUUAUAUGACUUGUCCACUGUCAUAUCUCUUUUGGAACUCACGUUGCAGAUGGAUAUCAAUAGAAACUGACGCUAUUCAGGCUUCAUUAGUUUCUUAAACACUCUUGUGCAGCCAUUUCCAUAUCAGCCUGAGGAGAAAAAGAUGGCAUAAUAAAAAAAUCAUACAGCAAAAGGAGGAAGCUUUGUGAAGACUUAAUGGGGAACGAACAUGAGACUUAAUGGUGAAAAGUUUUUGAACUUGAAUAAAAAUAAAAGCACAUACCAUAGUACUCGCUGGGAGAAAAUAAGAGAUGGGUGAGGCCGAUAGUCUUGUUACCGAUUCAGAAUGUCAAUCUUGUAUUCUAGAGCUUGCAGUAGUAACCUGGAAUUUGCACGGGAUAAUAAGUAUAAUUUGGUGUUUGAUUCUAUGUUACCUACCACCACUAUCUGCAAUACUGAUGCAUAGAGCUUUCAUAGAUCUUCAGGGAUCCAUCCUCUGGUGAGAUCAAUCGAAGCUUCAUCUACCAAGAGUCUGUCUCUUUAAACAAAUAGUGGUAGUCUGGUGGUAAUAAAAUUUUAAGGUACAAUGUAAAUAUAUCACGGGAUCAAUUCUUAUUGGAAACAAAGUUAUUGAUAUUUGACUAGUCAAAGUUUGGGUUUCUGUCUGUGUAUUUUAUAUGGUAGUUCAAUAACAUACGAUCUGGUUAUCAACAUUAGUUGGAUUCCAAAUUCGGAUCAUGCAAUAUGAUAUCCGGUCUAUUAUGUAGCACUAAGUGUGUUCUUCUUGAAACCGAUUGAAUUGACCAUAGGACAUAUAAAAAAAGAGUUUGUCUCUUCUCCUUGCAUGUCAAAAACUCUUGCAAUGCGAAAAGUCCUUAUUUUUGCAUUGUCUAUCAACAUCAUUCACAUCUGAUUUCGCUCAGAUUCUCAAGUACUCGUAUGAGCUUUUUCUUUGAAUCGAAGAUCGACAAAGCUUUCCGAGGUGCUAUCAGACAUUGAUUCGGUUAUCUUUUUUCUAAUUGUGACUCUUGUCACUUUUUCAUAUCACAUUCGUGAUCCCUCAAAAAAAGAUUAUAUGUCAUACCCCCUAAACAUUAUUUGUAAAGUGAUUUGCAUAUACAGUGUCAUCACCACAUUUAAACUAAUUAACAAGAAAAAAGAUGACAUAAUUUUUGAAAAUUUGACUUAGCAUCAAUAUAUUUUCAACAUGUACAAUUUUUUAAAUAAAACUUUAUAUUUUUCGGCAAGGUUUUAAAUAUGGUAAUGAUUAUUAACUCCUAUAUAAAUAUUUAUUUUGGAAAAAAUAUAUUAAUAACUAAUAACUCAUAUAUCACCACUAAAUAUAUAUAUAUAUAUAUAUAUAACAUGAAUAAAAAAUAAACUUAAUAUAAUUAUAUAUUUUUUUACAUCAACUUACAUAUUAUAAUUUGUAAAAAUAUAGAAAUUUUAUCAAAAUAAAUUGUAAGUGUACAUCAACAAAUAAAAAACUAAAGUAACUACUCAAAUAAUUUUUUUGUUGAUAAUUAAUUGAUUAAAUUUUUAUUUAAAUUUAUCGGUUUACUAGGUUGAUUAAAUUUUUUUUAAAAGAUUAACAUAUUUUGACUUAAAUAAACAAAAAUCCAAAAUUUAUUUGAAAUUAUAUAUUUAAAUAUAGACUAUUUAAAAAUAUGUGAUAAAAUAUAUAUUUAAAAUAAAUAAUCGUUAAAUAAAAUAUAAUUAAAUAAUUUGUUUUUAUAAAAUGUAAUUUUAACUCUACUGAAUUUAAAUUAAAUUAAACUGAAAUAGUUUAACCAAAUAAAAAGAAAUAAGACUAAAAAUGUAUAUAUGAUUUUAUUUCCAUAUCGAUGAAUUUAAACUAUAAAAAUAAUAAAUUUUAAAUUUUAAAUUUAAAUUUUGUUUUAAAAUAAAAUAUUGCAUGAAAAAUAUUAGUAACAUAAUAUAAUUAUCUAUUUGUCGAAAUCAAAUCCGAAAAUAUGCAAUACUAAAGUUCUCAACAAUUGGUAUUAUAAGAAGUCAUAUGUUAAGGAUUUGAUAUCAUUAGCAGUUUUGAACAAUACAUAUCAUAUUAUUUUUAGGUGUAAAUAUUAAGAUUCAAAGCAAUAUUCUGAAUUGCAUAGUUGUGGAUUGUCACUUAUUACAAUAACUAAAAGCUGAAAAGAAAAGAUUAAGAAGGAGAACUAGAAAUUAUAGAUAAAUAUAAGUGGACUUGGCAUGGAUAGCCUGGUCGGAUUUGACGCAACCAAAAGGCAAAGGGGGGCUCGGUUUUAGAGACUUUGAAUGCUUCAAUGAAGCCCUUCUAGCUAAGCUAUCAUGGCGCCUUCGGAUACAUAACAUCAGUAUCAGAAGCUGCAGUUGCGGUAACUCAAGAGAAUUCAACCAAUUGGAACCAACAGGUGUGGAGUCUUAAAGCAGCACCGAAGGUCAAGACUCAAGAUGCUGGUGUGGAAAGCGUUAAAAAGAGCACUGUCGGUGGGUACAAGACUCGUAGACCGACAUAUUGAUGCUGACCCAAACUGUAGACGCUCCCGAAUCUAUUAAUCACCUGUUUGUUCAUUGUCAGUACGCUCAAGAUGUUUGGAGAGCAGCCCCUUUUACUACUGACGGUGAUAAUAGACUUGGAAGGGUACUGGCCGGGGGUGUCCUCGAAACCUUGUUUACCGCCUACGGGCAUCACCACAAGCCACCUCGCACCGUGGAUUCUAUGGGAAUCAGCGCAAGUCCCCCCAACAGAACACCUAUCAAAGGAACACAGAUCCCUGUCCGCAGGCUCACUUGUCAACGGUGCUACGAUCAGAUGCGGCCUGGCGAGCAGAAUCAACAGCAGCUGGAUUGGGCUGGACCAUCUCAAAACAUGAAGAAACGCUGGAGUUUGUGGGAAGGGAACUUCAAGUGUUCUCGCCUCUGAUGGGAGAAGCACUAGCCUUGCGAGCGGGUUUGAGAAAGUGUAGGGAGCUGGGAAUCUGCGAGCUUAAUUGCCAAUCAGAUUCCAAAAUGCUUAUCAAUAGCAUCAACAAUGGUAAUGCUUUACCAGAGGUAUAUGGUGUCUUGGCGGAUAUUCUCUGCAUUGCGACUGAGUUUGUUUCUAUUUCUUUUGCUUGGAUUUCGAGAGAAAAAAACAGAGCAGCAGAUGUGCUUGCGAAACAGAAUUUGUAUGAUUAUGGGUGGGACAUGGCUCCCACCUAAGACUAUUUAGCUAAUGAAUGGAAGUUGUGUUUCAAAAAAAAAAAUAGAUAGAGGAUUAACCUGUUUCACUAGCAAAAAAUUCAAGUAACCACAGAGGACAACCCACAGCCUACAUACGAUUGACACUAACCAAAACAAUCCUGACAAGCUUUGUUUAAAACAACUACAUAUUUAAUAAUAGAUAUCUGGUAUUAAUUAAGGCCUUAACGGGCUUAAACAAGUUAUAUAUAUGUAAAGAUGUCAUAAUCAUGUGAUAAGAGAAUAGGCAAUAAACAUUAGUUAGGGUUAUUGGUUCUUGUAUUUUAAUGUAUUUGAAAAUUCGAACUAAAUUUAGUGUUAUUGGUUCUAUGAUUUUCAAAUCUGUAUUAAAAUCAUGUGUUAUUGGUUUAAUUAUUCAUAAAUUAUAUAUCAAAUCAAGUGUUAUUCAAUCGUACGGAUUUACUAAUAUAUUUGAUUUUAUUAUGGAUUUGAAUGGAUUUGUUUAGAUUUUUUUGUUAAAAAUACAAAGACUCAAAUCCGAUGAAACACCUCCGGAUUUGCAUAUUUUACUUGGAUUUAUAAAUACUAUAUGGAUUUCUAAAUCAAUCAAAUAUAUAAACCAAUAGGGUCUAUGUCUUGGUGAUUAGAUAUUUGGCUAGGCGGUCAUUUAGGCGGUCUAGGCGGAAAAAAUAGGAUAUCCGAUUUUUUAAACCGAUUUGGCAUAAACCGGGGCGGAAAAGUGACGCGUAGCACCUAGGCGGCCGAUUUUUAGAACAGGGGAUAUUUGUGAUGGCUCUUUCAAUGAUCUUAGAUCUAUUGUACGAUCAGGAUGUGUAUUAAAUCUUAAUGCACCAGUAAAAAUUCAGUAUUCGUUGGACCGGACGUAUGUAUUUUUAGAGAAAAAUAUAUAUUGGAUUUUGAGACUGUUAUAAAUAUGGAUAUAAAUGAUUACAAAAUUAUUCAUUCGCAUAAUAAUAUACAAACUCUAAACGGAUAUUUGCCUUAAUUGUUUUUUUUUCUUUGCUUUUCUUCCAGUUUUUUUUUUGAGAAUAAACUUUUCGUUUGUUCACAACAUUUACGAAGUGAAGUGUAAGGAGUAUUUUCUAAAUUUCUAAUUUAGCUUGUAAAAGAAAAGGACACGAAUCAUUUCAUUCUUUAUCGAUUUUGAGCUAUAUCUACAUUAUACAGCUUUGUAGUGUUCUAUAUAUGAUCUAUCAUAGCGUAUUGAUUAAUCUGAUCAGUACCAUGUUUCCGAGUGACACAUACUCAUUACAUUGUCACUAGUAUUUUUCUCGUUUAAAGACAGUUUAGUUUUAGUGCAAAGAAAUAACUAAUUUAUAUUUGUUAACAGUUUAAUUUGGAACGGAAGAAGUAUUUCAUUUAUAUUGUUUUUCCUUUUUCUUUAUCUCUUCUUCAAGACAAGAUCAUUGGUAUUACUUGUUGGAACUGUUUUUUGGACAAAUGGCUAUGGCCAAUAUUCCGGUAAAUUUUUCGAGCAAUUUGAUUGUCGAAAUGACCGGAUUGUGGAAUCGUAGGAUUCAUUGUUAUGAGCACUAUGGUAUAGUGUAAUCAUAUAUCAAAAACGAAGUUCGUUUGAAUGAGAAAUGAAAGUCUAAAAUAGAUUAUUUGUAAAAUAUCUAUAUUAGAAUUAUGAAGUAAGAAACCUAUUGUGUUUAAAAUGGAGAAGUUAUAACAAAGUUAUAGAAAACUUUGUAGACACUUUGGUGUAUUAUAAAAAGAGAUAUUUGGGCUGGAUCAAGUUUUGUAAUUAAUCAAAUAAGAUUAAUCUUGUUAGCCCAAAUUCAUUUGCUAAUUAUUUAAAUAAAUAAUACAAGCAUAUUAUCUCUUGGUGUAGAGAAUGAUUCUCACGUUUUUGACCAAGGCUCUUCAUUACUACUUGACUAAAUCUUUGACCAAUGUCAAGUUGAUUUUGUGAAUUUAUUUUCGUAACAUAUGAAAAUCAAUCACCUCUUAAUAGUCAUUAUGAAGGAAUCAAAAACCACCAUCUCCAUUUAGUGCUUGCAGUAGCACAAGUUAGACUUUAUAUUCUAUAUAAAGGUCAUGCUCUUCUCAUUCUAAAAAUACACAUCCAAUACAAACAAAACCAUUUUCUCCUAUUUUUUUUUGUUUUGUGUCUGAGAGUAUAACAUAGAAAUAGGUUUGACAGGCUUUGGUUCUCAAGCGCUGUGAGACUGAAGAUAUAGGCAGUUGUAUCCUGGGAUUCUUAAACGUAUCAAACCGGCACACUACGGACGUUUAAAGGAUUAAGGAAAGAGAUCUAAUCUCGAUUCUGCUUCAAGCUAACUCUUUUUCAACUACGGUAUUAUAUUAUUGUAUUUUUUAUUCAUGUUAUUUGUAAUUUUUUGCUUUACAUAUCAAAUUUGCCUAUCUAGUAAAUUUGGUGCCAUACAUUACUGCACAUGCUCGUUUCUCAUUUUCUUCCUUUAAAAAUGGCAGAGAUGUAAAAAAAUUAAAUUAUUUGAAUAAUAUGCUCUAAAUUAUCAUCUUCAUGUUAUUAUUAUUCUGCUACUGCUUUCAGUUUGGUCUUUCUAAUUGCUUGCUUUUUCUUUUUAGCCACUUUAUUCGUAAAGAUAAAGAUCACAUGUUUUAGCUCCAUUCUGGUUAUGUCUCGAAGUUCAUAUAUUCUAGACGUAUAAAGUUACUAAUUAGGUAUACGAAAAACAUAAAUGAUGAAAAUUAAAAGUAUGUUUGUGUUACAUACACAAUUAUAUAUGAAACUAGGGGGGUGUCCGCGCUUCGCGCGGAAUAUUGUUUUAUUAUUGCUAAGAGCAUGAUUUUUUUUUUGGAUAAUGUAAUUAUGUUAUCGUUUUUAUUUGUUAAGAUCAUUAUUUGAUGUUUUUAGUUUGUUAUGUAGUAGGUGAUAAGUUAAUAUAUUUUGCGUUUGUUUUUUUUUUGAAUAAUGUGUUGUUGUGUAUAUAGUACUUGUUAGUAGUCAAAUGAGCCUCUAACGUAAACUAAUAUUGAAUUUCAAUAACUUUGCAUCUACGCAUUUGUUGAUUCUAAGAUUAACGGUUUCAUCGUCAAAAUUGUAUUAUAUUUUUUUCAUACUUUUGAAAAUUAUAAUUUUUAAGAUGUUUUUUGCCCUCUCCCCAUAUUUUAAACUUGAGCCCUCACCGUCUAUGUAUUUCGUUACAAAUCUGGUGUGCGGUGCUUCUCACCAUCACCGGAAAAAGACUCACAUUUUUCUCUUGUUCUUCUUGUCUUCUUCACCUAUGAGAUUAUAUGGUAUUUGUUGCAGAACGGGUUUAUGAGUUUUCAGUUGUUCGGUUGCUUCCCACGGCAUUGUAGGCUGUUCCAGUCAAUAUUGAUUGCUCCUCUUCUUCCUUAGAUUUCAGCUGAUGUUAGGAACUGCAUCUCCUUGGUUGGGUCAGAGUUUAUUCGUCUUUGAUUUUGUAUUCCUCGUCGUUGGCUUACCGUCAAUAGUCUCUGCUCGUUUUGGUUUUCAAGAUCCAGUUUUUGGUGUUCUGACUUCUAUGCUCUCUUUCAUAUAUAGCUCGAGGACGGCUCCAUAGUUUUCUGAUUUCGCUCCGUCUCCCUUUCCCUCUCUAUUCUUGCAUCUCUUUGCAGCUUUCAUCGCAUCUCUGGUGGCUCUCCCUUUCACCAUGUUUGCCAGUCGAGAUUUGGAUAAUGUUUUCGUUCGUGUAUGCUAUGUGGGCUUGGAAGGUUAUUUCUGGUCUCAAGUUUAGUCUCUGAUUUUUUGGUGGUUGUCUUCCAUUCUCCCUCUCUCAAGUUGCUUCUUUUCUUUCCAUGUUUUCCUUGGUAUAGGUGUGCGAAGUUAGUCUCUUGGAGCUUUGGUCCCUUCUAUCCAGAGCUUUGUGGUUUUUCAGUUGCAUGCCGUAUUGUAUGUUCUUUUUUAGUCUGUGAGGUGUUUCUUUCUUUUUAGCUACUGGUUGUGAUUUCGGUGUUUUAGGCAUAUAUUUUCCUGCUUUUGGUGGCUUUGGCCUUUCGAUUAUUAUUCUUCCUUUGGCCCUUUUUUUUAGUUUAUGUGUUGGUUGUCUAGUUUCUUAUUCUUAAUUUGAUUAUCUUAUGAUACUAAUAUUGAAAUAAAUAUAAUUUGUAAAUGAAAUAAUAAAAAUUAGUAAAAAUAAUAAAAUGAUGAAAAGUCUUGCUAUUUUUAGGUGUGAAUAAAUUAAAUAUUUAAAAUAUAUUUAUAUUAUUUUAUUUAUUUCUUGAAUUUUAGAGACCAAUAAGUGUGAGAAUGAUUAGAUAAUACACAAUUAGAAAUUGAUGGAGAAAAUUGCAAUAAUUUAAAAGAAAAAAAAAUUAAAUACAAAAAAAAACAUGAGGACACAUGUCAACAAACCCCCCUUCCACAUGUCAUAAGAAGGGAAAAAUCCAACUUUAUAUAUAAAGAUUCUUGUAAAUACGUUGAUAUGUAUUCAACAACGGAAUAAUUAAACCGGCAGAUCAAACAAAAACAAAUACGUUUAUAUGGUAUUUGACUGGAAUCCUCAACUACGUAAUAUAUAAGCUAAUUACGAAUAAAGCAAUGUAUAUAUAUAGGCCUGAGCGUUCGGGUACCUGUUGGUAUUCGGAUCGGGUUUUUCGGGUUUUUGGAUUUUCGGGUUUACGCUUCUAGGUCUCAUACUAAAAUUUUAUUAGUACGGAUCGGGUUCGGAUAAUAACACUUCGGGUUCAGUUCUAAUUUGUAAUACAUCUAAUAGAAUUUUAAUAUUUAUUAUUAUAUAUAAUAUUACCACAAAUAUUGAAUUUAAUAAUUGGAAUACUUAUAUAUAUUUCAAAAUAUUUAUAUUGACUAUUAAUUUCGGAUUUUUCGGGUUACCCGUUCGGGUUCGGUUAAUAACACUUCGGGUUCGGAUAUUUUUUGUACCACCCUAAAAGACCCGUUCGGGUAUUUUUACGUUUCGGGUCGGAUAACGGGUCAGGUUUUUCGGUUCGGGUUCGGUUCGGAUUUCGAGUUCCGGAUUUUAUGCCCAGGCCUAUAUAUAUACAUACAAUAUAUAUAUAUAUAUAAUAAAUAUCCACAAAUAUGAUCUCCUUUUUUCGUUAGUAUACCAUUAUACACGCAUGAACAAAGUCGGGAAGUACAUAAGUCAUACUAAUUUUGCAUUAGAUUCGAGAUGACAUAUAUAUAUAAUAAAUAUCCACGAAUAUGAUCUCCUUGUUUUCGUUAGUAUACCAUUAUACACGCAUGAACAAAGUCGGGAAGUACAUAAGUCAUACUAAUUUUGCAUUAGAUUCGAGAUGACAUUUUAUGAGGAAGCUCAAUAGCUAGUUUUAGUCCUAGAUUAGAUUUUCAAGCCGAACAAAAAAUAAAUUUAAAGCAAAUUACAUUGCUAACGAAAACAAGGAUAAAUGUAACAGUUUCUUGGACUACAUAAGAAUUUUGCAUUAGAUUCCAGAUGGCAUUUUAUGAGUAAGGCUCACUAGCUAGUUUUAGUCCUAGAUUAGAUUUUAAAGCCGAACAAAAAAAUAAAUUUAAAGCCAAAUAUAAUUCUCAAAAGACAUUUAUGAAGCAUGUUAAACAUAUAUGUAGAAAACUUGUUAGAGAUCGAGAAAGGAAUUGAGCUUGAAGCCUUGAACCACGAAGAAAGAAAACACAAUAUUGACAAAAGAGGAAAUCAAGAUUAUACAAAAUAUCUAAUCACGAUUCCCUUGAACACUCCAAUUUCCUUUAUGUUUUUUUUUUGUGGUGGGCUUUUUUUUUGUGCAACAUCUUUCUAAAUAUGUUUCGACAUACAUAAAAUAUGUUUUUUUUUGGUGGUGGGCUUAUUAUUACUACAAGUCUACAACAAAUGAUUUUUUUAGAUCUUACAAUCAAGAAGUAUAGAUUUAAUACAACUAUCAACUCAAUAUAUUGUCUCCAAACAUUAGAUCUCACCACUCCCAAUCAUUCACGAGAGAAGAUGUGCUUCGAUUUAAAUAUACUUUUCUUUUUGCGAAAAUUUAAAUAGUUGGGAGUUUAUAAUAAUAAUUGCGUUCUAUUUGCAAUUUUUUUUUGCAAAACUUUAAUUAAUUCAUCCACGGGAAUUAAGAUGAUCAUGGACAUACGACCAGUCUUCUUCUUUCUAAAUCAAUAAGUAUGAUUAAUUGCUCUAACAAAUAUACAAGCAAUGACUCGCAUUAACUAAUACAUUCCACAUGGAGUAUUUGCUUUCGCUUACAUAUGUUUCUGUUUUUUUUUUGUAUCAGAUGUAUUAUUACAUUAAUUUACACGAUAGUAGCAAAUAAACAAAUAUACGUAUAUCAGAUAUAUCAUUAGAUUUACACGGUCGUAGCAAAAAUAUUUCGUACAUAGGGUUGUUUUACUGAAUUAGAUGUAUUAUAAGAUUUGCACAGUAGUUGCCGAUAAGAAAUAAAUAAUAUGCAGGAAUAGAACCUUCCAAAUAAUAUGCAACCAUAAUAUAGUGGCAACCAAUGUAUAUAUUCAAAAUAGUAGGUUUUAAAAUGUAAAUUGGACUAAUUACUUGUCUGUACCUAGUUAGAUUUGCAUGCCACAAGAUGCCAAACAUCAAAUUCAACUUCUAAUUUGUCAGCAUAAUAUUGUCCAAACGAUUACAUGUUACAUGUAUAUUUUAUAAGGAAAUAUUAUAGAUAUGGUCAUCCCCUAUACUAUAUUUACAAAGUGAUUUUACCACAUGUCUUUUCUACAAUCAAUUUUACAAAACAAAUAUGACAUGACUACUGAAAUUGAUGACAUGGUUUCCGAAAAAAUAUGACAUGGAUAAUUUCAUUUAAUAUUAAUUUAUAUUUUUGGCAAAUUUAUUAGAAUAUGGUAAAAAUUCAUAUAUUACAUUUAAUAUUGAUAUGUCCUUUUGGUAAACUUUUUUUAAAUAUGGUAAUAGAUCAUACAUCAUCUAUAAAAUAAAUAUAUUCAUAUAUAACAUUUCAAAUUUUGAAAUAUUAUUAUUUUUGUAUAAUUAUACAAUUUGUAUUACUGAAGCUUUCAAAAAUUUCUACAAUUUUUUAAAAAUUUAAACAUCUAAUCGUAAAAUCAUUAGUUUUUUAUAUACCUACAAAUUUUAUAAAUAUUGUUAGACUAAUUUUUUGAUAAUUAUACAAUAUUAUAUCAUUUUUAUUAGUUUUAUACAAAUUGAUUUAAUAUAUAUCAAAUCUAUAUUAAAUAUUAGUAAGAAAAUAGUAAAAUCUAUAAUAUUUAAUAAAAUUUAUUUCUAAAUAUAAAUUAGAUUUAAAAAUUUUUUUAGCGCAGGAAAACACCUAGUUUAUAUGAUAUUUGCUGUCGCCAUUUGACAAUCGUAUAUAUAAACUAGUACUCUUAUUAUUCGGUAAUACUAAUAUUUUUAUAAUCGGUUAUCUCUUUUUGUUAUUAGUGGAUGGGCUUCUAUCAAAUUGAGACUUUAAUAUCUGUUGUGAUUGUCUACAUACAUUCAAACCUUAAAAUCAUGAGAAAAUAGAAAACUAACCCAACAUUUUUUUAAUUAUUACUACGUAUGAAGAUAACGAUAGUGAGCUCACUAGUACACCCACUAUGUUUCUAGUUAAUGACCUGUCUUCAACUAUUCGAAAGUCUCACCAGCUAAAUGAAUAACAUAACAUACAUGUGUAUAUAUGCUCUACAAUAUGCGAAUAUUAGCAAAUGCCAAUGAAAAUAAUAGAGUCUUUCCCUUUCUCAUCACUGAUAUAUGAUGAAUAAAUGGUACUAAAUCAUUCAUACAAUUUUAAUCAUUCAUACAAUUUUAAUCAUUUUGUCUAUUAUGCACAGUUAAUAAGAUUUUUAUCGUGGACGAAAUCUAUUUUUGAAAAGAUGUGAAAUUGUCUUAACGAGUUUGAUAUGGACUUUAUCUCCUGUGUGAGUAAUGGGGUUUCGCCUAUUCUGCCAAUAACUGCUAUAUGUAAUGACAAAAACGUACAUAAAAUAAAUUUUUAUCUGUAACAAAGUUAUUUGUCACUCUCAAAUCUAAGGGUCCAAUAUGUUUGGGAUAUAUCAAUAACAGUCUUCAUUUGCUUCUAGUGGUGAACAAAGUAAGGUGUUGGCCAAAAGCAAUCACCUUAUUACAGUUUAUAUAUUUUCACUUUUGACAUACAUUAAAGAAGUGGGCAAACAAACAAAGUAAGUAAGAAAAGAAAACUAACAAAAUAAUGUGAAAAUGAAAGAUCCAAAGACAUCAUCACCAUGUGACUCGUGUAAUUUUUUCCCCAUCCUUCACUAUCAGUUUCAUAGCAUUAUGUCAUCAAAACUCGUACACUAUGGAGUAUAUGACAUAAAUAUUAUUAAUCUGAAAGGAAGUUAGUUAACAAAUUGCCCCAAGAACGUGGAUUACGUGUCACUGUGGUAAUAAUUUCCUAUUAGAAUUUUUAGAAAUUAACAUGCAGGUUAAUUAUAUCCUGGUACUAAGUGAACAGUAUAAUUUUCUGCAUCAACAAGUGAACACAUAUAAUUUAACAUACAUCUUUUUCAAAUGAUUCAACUAUUCUCGACCGACAAAAUCAAAUAAUAGCAGUAUAAUUAGUGAAAAGGAGUUUCAUGAAAAAGACUCGACUAAUCAACCAGAGAUAUCCUUUUCGAAGUUACAUAUUACCAUUACUAAUGCUUUUUUUUUUUUGAACAACACCAUUACUAAUGCUAAGUUCAUACACUUCUACAGAAUAUUACUCUUUUAUUUAUAUGAAAAUUUUCAUUUUAUUAAUUUCUGAUGGAUUAAUAAAUGAUUAUUUGUACUAAAAUGCGGUUAACAUAUGCGUCCCUAUAAAAUAUACUUUCAUACAUAUUGUAAUUACGUAAAAUUAAAAUUUAUUAGUCUUUAAAUUAAAAGAAAAUAAAUCUGACAUCGUUUGCAAAUAUCAUGACAAUUGUCAACAAACAAUUAGGUUUCAUUCUUACUUUUAUUGAUCAAGGAUCUUUGCUUGGUUCUUAGCUUUGUUUUUUGUUAAAAAUGUUAUCACCAUAUUUAUAUCACACAAAUAUUCAUCAAACACGCUUUUCUGCCAAGAAGAAAAAAAAAAUCAAAAUGAUACCGUUUACAGAAAAAAUCACUAACACUCCAAUUGAAAAAAAAAAACGUAAAUAUAUAAAGGGCAUAUAUAAACUGAAAAAAGAAGAAAGAGUAGGCAAAUUAAUUAGGUGUUAGUGGGCUGGAGUGUGAUUUAGUCAUUGAGACAAAAAAACGGCUCUUCAAGCCGAAACCCAUGAUCAGCUCCACAUAGCUGCCACGUGGACGAGUAAAAAGAAAACGCAUCGUUUCGUAUGAUCUCAUCGGUAACCAAAUCUGGUAAAUCAAACAGCUUCUCUUCCUCCUUGUCUUUAUCUGCAAACGAUGUCGUCGAAGCACAUGAAGUUUCCGACAAAUCUCGAGUGUUAAUGUCCGAAGAAAACACCACACUACCUGACAACGACUGAGCCAUCACUCCUCGACUCGGCUCGGUUUCAGCUAAUUCAGCUACAUCAGAAUUAUUCAUCCGGAGGCUAUUUGCGCCGGAAUCUUGCCAAUUCACGGCGGCGGCGGUUGCAGCCGCUUGAAUAUCUUUAGGAGAACUUGUGACCGGACGAGGAAGCUCGCCGGAUGAUUCAGGAAAAUUGAGAUGAGCCGUUGUACCUUUAAUAGCUAAAGAUGCUACAUCAUGAGCUCGAGCUGCCAUCUCAGCCGUUGGAUAAGUUCCGAGCCAGAUUCUUGAUUUCUUCCUCGGCUCUCUGAUCUCGGACACCCAUUUCCCCCAACUCCUCAUCCGUACUCCUCUAUAGUUCGGAUGCUUAUCUCCACCGCUGAUCUUCCGCCGUUUUACGACGUUAUCAUCAUCUUCUUGAUCUUCUGAUGAUCUUGGAGAUGCUUUUCUUUUAGAGUUAUAAGUUGUUGAUGAAGAAGAAGAAGAUGUUGUAGAUGAGGAAAACGAGGCGGCCGCGGAGGAGGAGGAAGACACGGUGAAGAUGGCGGAGGAGGUUAAGGUUACUUGAGAAACACUCUUCUCUAUGGUUCCCAUUGUCAGAGAGAAGCUUUAGAAAGAGGGUUGCACAAAAAUAGAUGUGAAGUGGGCAUGUAUUAAUAUUCCUCCACAAUCUUUUUUUUUUGGCUUUUCAUAUUAUAAGAAAAAUUAAUAGAAAAUAUGUAUAUUUUUUUCUUUGGCUUAUUCAUAAGGGAAAAUAAUAGAAAAAUAAAUAUAAUGAUUUUUUUUUAGAGCUCAGAUAUAAUGGUUUUUGGUUAUAAUAAAUGAAUGAGGGAGGAUGGAAUUGGGUCCAUGGAACAAAGUAGAUAUUAUUGAGAUUUCACCGUUUAAUGAGCUAGUUUUGCUUCAUGUGAAAAUAAAUAGAAACAUGGUUUCAUAUGUGUAUUCUUUUCAUACACAAAAACUGAAAAAGAAAGAAAAAAAUACAUAUUUUGAAAUAAAAGAAUAUAAUAUAGGUGCAUGGCACUCAUUGAUUUUUUUUAGCUUAUGAAUUUCCCAUCUUUCCACUUUUUUUAUUUCCUCCAAAUAAAAGAGGGGUUGGUGACGUCAUAAUAUAUAAUUUAGCAUAUAUUCUUUCUAUAAUUUAAGUGUUUCGUUUUUUCUUCUUUGGUGUACUUGAUUGGUGAAAUUAAGAAACAGAAACGAGUGAUAUCGACACUCGGAUUCAAUCCAUACACAAUGUUGUUUUGACAUAUGUUGUUGACAUAUCCAUAGACAGAAUUGUUUAAAUAUGUUUUCGUGUAAGAGAUAUUUUUAUUUCAUGGGCUAUUGGUUGUAGUUUCAUGCGAUAAUAUUUUCUAAUCGAGUUAAACUGGAAAUCAUAACUCUUUCUGUACAAAUUAAUUUAAAAUUCGGAGGGCACUUGGCAAAAAAUAACUCCUAAUUAAUUGAAAUGUAUAAGCUAUAUAUUACCAAGCGCAAAAAGACACAUGUAUUAUAUGGUAGUAGGUUUGUGGUAUAUUAUUAACUAAAAGACUUGUUAGUCUUCUGAGAAGACUCUUCUUUCUUUCUUUUUUGAUCAAGAGAAGACUCUUCUUCCUUUUCUCUUUUUAAUAAAAACAACGUUUGCUUUAUGAUUAGAAAAUUAUGAGGUCCGAUUGGUACAUAUAGUUUUACAAUGGUUAGAAAAUUUUCUAAUUAUUGUUAUGGAGCAACUGGUAAGAGAGAGUAUGGUUUUAAAAUGUUUAUGAUAGCUAAAAUAAUUAAUCUCAAUAAGACAACUAAUAUAAAAACUAUACCUAUUGCGUCGAGGUAUUUUAUUACACGUGCCGUAAAUAAUUUGAGUUCAAUGGGAGUAAUAAAAACAAACACGAGAUUCCCACUUCCUGGACAAAGGUUCACACUCGUAUUAAGCCAUCACUUUCAAUUAAUUUAAAUGACAGAUUAAGCUCUUUGUUUCCUUCUCGAGAUGGAAAAGGGCAUGAAGUCAUGACUAAGAUGGCUGUAAUGCCAUAUUGCCAUGUGAUAUAAUUUACUUUAAUACGAGUGGGUCAAGGUAUUAAAUUUUGAUUAAAACAUAGAACGUACAAGUACCUAAUCAAAUUUAUAUGAAGGAGUAUGUUAGAGCACCUCCAAUGAAGAUAUUUUAACAUAAGGUUUUUAACUCAAAUUAAAAUGUAUGUAUAGAUAAAUAUUAAUAUUUAAAUAUGAAAAUAAUAUAAUUUUAUAGUCUCAAAUUGAGUUUUUGGUUCAAUUAGUAUAUCGAUAAAUUAAUAUCUAUAUAAAUUAAUAAAAAAUAUAGUUUUGGUGUAGUCCCAACAUUAUUAAUUUAUAAAGGUUUCACUGUAUACAGCUAUUGGUCACCACAAUAAUUAAUAAAUACUGCUUCAGUUUAAGUAUUUUUCUCAGCUGCGACUAUUCAUUGAAUAAUGAACGCCAUUAUUUACAUAAUCACACGUAUGUAUAUACUCAAUAGUUAAUAAAUUGAACUACUGACCACUAUUAGCGGCGCAUAAAGAACUAAUUACUAUAUAUACAGACCGAUUGUUAAGAGGAGGAAGAAGACAACAUAAUGACGCAAGAGGACUCAUGGCAGAUGGACUAAAUCACAACCUAGCUGUGAUUGACCUUGAUCAAUUAUAAGAAAAUAUCGUGGCAUAAUUGUUUAUAUACAUAAUUUUAUGUCAAAAUCGUGCAGAUAGAUACGAAAUAAAAGUCAAGACAGGAGAGAUUGUUGGAAAAUCUGCGAGCGGUAUACGAUGAUUGAUGCGAGAUUUGGAAUUUUUAUAUACGUCAAUGGGCACACAUGGCUCACAUGCCAGUCAUUUUUGAGUUGUAUAAAAUGAAUUAUCAUUGACCAUAGGAAAUAUACUUGUUUUGUCAACACAAUAUAUUUCUCAAAACUGUGUAAAUUGUUAUAAUGUGUUUAUACAACGUCGGAUAUAAAAAAUAUACACAAUAGACAAUUUAAAUGCUUAAACACUUUGCUGCGAGUUGUUAAAAAAAAACUUUGAUGCGAAUAUCGUGGAAAAUUAUAGUAUAAAAAAAAAUCUAUGCAUAUAUAUAAUAUAUUGCAGCUUAUAUAUUAAAGUUACGUACACAUGUACUACACUACAAAUAUAUAGCAUAUAUACGUAUAAAAAAGGCAACGGGACUGGUUCAGAAACUUAAUUACGAUGUUCCCGUGAACCGUUUUGUUCAUUCAAUUCUCUGUUUCCUCAUAAAAGAGGUAACCAUUAUUAAAAUAAAUAAAAAUCAAAAACCGAUUUAUUUACUCUAUUAAUUCAGAUUCAGAGUCCUAUCUUUUAUUUACUUAAAAAAUUUCAUUUAAUUUUGGAGUUAUUCAUAUUUCAUUAAAAAAUAUAAUAUUCAUUAUUAUUAGAUUAACAAUACAAAAUAACUUCUCCCUCUGAUAAAAAAAAUCGUUGACUACCCAUACUAAAAUAAUUUUUUUUCCGUCAAGUUUUUGUUUAUUAAAUAAAGACGGACCCAACCCAAUAUCCUUACGAAAUAAAAAGGUCCACGGUCCGAUUAGCUAAACCAACAACAGACUAAAAAACGGGCUUAAAGCCCAAAGGCCCAUCACCGACACUGCCCAGAUCUAGCGGUACGUGUCGGCUUAUCCUCUUCUUGUCUCAUCCCGACGGUUCCGCCGAACGGCUCAACACCGUCGAAUUUGUCACGGAGAGCGUCAUCGGACUAACCGAGAGCUCAUCCCAAUCAUCACACGUCGCCUACUAGACAUUUUAAGCCCGAGACUCAAGACCUCAGCUUUCCUUCUCUUGUCGUCGUCACCGAUGAUGGAGAGCUUCACUUUAUACCGAGAUCUCAUCCAUUCUGACCCAAACAACCACCCUGACGACAAGAGCCACCACGCAGUUUCACCAAAGCCAAACUAGUACCCAAACCCCAAAAGACUACGGGUCCAAAACCGACAGCGUAGAGCUAUGUGAGCCUCUACCCCCCGGAAUCAAAACCGACAUCGUAGAGCUAUGUGAGCCUCUACCCUCCGGAGCUAAAACCGGCGAAGACGGAGCAGAGAAUACCUCCCCUUCCCGGGAACUUGAACCGGCGGCGGCGAAGCUGAGGAAGCCUCCACCUCCCGGAGAAAAGCCGGCGUCGCCGGAUCUGUGAUAGCCUCCAUUUUCCGGAAUCACCACUUGAACAUGCAAGCCUAUGUUCUCACGCCAUGGACCUCCACGCGAGCGCGUCUUCCCUCCAAGUGGGGAACCACCUUUGGAAGAUGGCUCCAAUCCAGAGCUCCGACAAAGCGUUCGGUGAUAGGCAACGGAGAAGAAGCAAAAAAAAACCUUUUUGACGGUAAGAGAAAGGUUCCGACGCAGGCACGUACGCUCACGCGCCGGCUGUACGCCGGAUCCGAUCUCAGAUCUCCUUUCUCUCUCUCUUUUUUUUUUGUCUACUUGGUUUAUAUUUGUUUACUAAAAUCGUUUACCACCCCUGUAAUUUACUCAAAUGUUCAAAAAUGAGUAAAUUAUAUUUUUAUAUUCCACAGUUCAUUGAUACAACUGUAUCGAAUGAUUCUUUACAACAUAUUAUAAUAAACAAAUAUUUACACAAUAAGUAUACACCCUUUUCAUUUGUUUCUUCUUCUGCUCAUUGUCUCUAUGUUUGAAUUGUGAAAGUUGUGAAAGUCCUCAUUAGAAAGAAUAUAUUACUCCAUAUGUAUACACAAUAUGAAUACAAACGAUCUGCGCAAUGGAAUAUGAUUUAUUAACUCAUAUAACAAUUUUUCAUACGAAAUAUAAUGUGACAAACGUUUCCAUAUGAAAUUAUCCAUUCCAUUACUUAAAAAUCGUUAAAUUAAUUUAAAUCGAACCAUUCUGUAGAGUAAACAUUUCCAUGAAAUUUAAAUCGUUAAUUUUUUAAAUUUAGAUAGAACAAACCAAAAAGUUCAUAACAUUUACAUUAAUAUUAAGGAUAAACCUAAAAAUUUGGUUAAGAAUUUUUCCUAUGAUUUUGGAAGCAAACAAAUCCUAGAAAUAUAUUCAAUAUAUAUAUAUAUAUAUAUAUAUAUAGAUUUUAAAAGGUUACAAAUUAUAUUGAUAAUAUAAAGUUAACGAUUUUGAAAAUUUUACCAUAACAAAAUUUAGAAGAUUUUUCUCCAAUAAAACUGAUCAAAAAGUUUCAAACGUCUCAGCAUCAUUUUUAUUAUAAAUCAUAUGUUUGAUUUUGCCAAAUAAUAUCAAAGAUAUUUUUUAGUUUUACGUUCAUUACAUAAGUAAUAAAUUGGAUAUGAUUGACCACUACAUUAAUAACACAAGUCCAAACAAAAAUAAAACAUAAUCCGUGUUUUAACGCAGAUCAUAAUCUAGUUUUAUAUUAAAAGGCUUCUCCAACGGUGGGAUAUUGAAAGUAUCUAAUAAUUUUAGAAAAAGAAAAAAAUUGCAAAAUUAGGAGAAAAAGGUAGUCAUAGAUUCUUAAAUUGCACUCUUUGUCAACAUUAAAAUUUAUAACUAUCAUUUAGUGUUGCUAUCAACACUUUGUGUUAAAAAAACUAUCAUUUAAAAGAUAAACUAUAGAUAAAUUUCUAUAUCAGAAUUCCAAAGUUCAACUAUUUUUUAUAUCUAAAAAUAUAAGCUAUUAAAGUAUUUUGAUAAUAUUUUUGCUAAUGGCAUUAUCCUUUAAUAAACCAUUCCGUUAUGUGUAAAAUUUUAUGAUAAGAAAGGAAUUGUCAGCAUUUUUUUUUUGGUUAAAGCCAUUAUCCUUUAAUAAACCCUUCCAAACACAUGUGUGUGUAUGGUUUUGUAGUCCAUUAAAAGCAUGCAUGUGUCAUGUAUAUCUAUAAAAAUAGAUAUGUAAUACUCCCUCUAUUUUAUAUAGGGGUGUUCAAUCCGGAUAUCGGUUCGGUUUCGGUUCGGUUUUUUUGGUUUUUCGGUAUUUCGUUAGUAAAAUACAACUACCAUUCUAAAUCCAUAUUUACUUCGGUUUGGUUCGGUUUAUAUACCGUCGGUUUUCAUUUUAUUCGGUUUUAUACCAAAAAACAUAAUUUUUUAUUUUGUGAUCAUAUUAUAUGAAUUUUAGGGUCAUGUUGUCAACACAUUCAUUUAUUAAAAAAAUAUUAUAAGUUUAAAUAAAAGAACAAAAAUAAAAAAUGUUUCUAUCAUCUAAUAAAAUAAUAAAAUCUAUAAUUAAAAUCAAAGCUCAAAAUUUUGAUAAUAAAAAUAAAAAAAUAAAACAUAAAACAAAAGCACGAAGCACAAAAGAAAAGUUUUUCUAUUCUUUCAUAUUUAGCGUUCAUCAAAGUCAUGUUUCUUCUAUUAAACACGAAAUUCUAUUCGUUUAUAGAUAUAAAAAAAAUUUUGUGAGGAAUUUCCACUAAUUGUUAUCAUCAAAUUUAUAAUCUUUAUUUCAAUUUACUCAAUGUUAAAUUAAAACAAAAAGAUCAAAAGAAGACUAAGAAAAUAAGAAGCAUGUUUGCGAUGAAUUGUUAUUUAAUUAUAGUUCAAGUGUUUUACAAAUCAUGACUUUUUUAUUACUGUAAAAAAUAUGCUAAUAGUUAUUAGCAAAAAUAUUAACUUAUGAUUUUCAUACGUCGUUAUAAAAUAUAUACAUAUUUACAUGUUUCUAUUUUUUGAUCGGUUUUAUUCCGUUUAUUCGGUUUUAUCGGUUAUAUACCGAACCAUAUCCAAAUCCUACGGUUUUUUAAAAAUCAUAUCCAUUCGGUUUGUAUGGUAUAUACCAAAUCCAAACCAUAUUAUCUAUUUCGGUUUGGUUAGGUUCGGUUCGGUUCGGUUCGGUUUUGCCAUAUUGAACAGCCCUAGUUUUAUAUUAAGUGUUGUUUUGGGUCUGUGCACACGGAUUAAGAAAACAAUUAAUUUUGUACAUUUUAUAUAUAAAAACACAAUUACCAAUACACCUAACCAUAUUUUAACCUAUAGAAAAAUAAAUUACAGAAUAAAACUAAUAAAUUUUGCACUGAAAAUCGAAAACGACAUUUAUUUUGUAACGAAAAAAAUCUAUCCUAUACUAAAAAGGAUAUAUGAGGAGUAGGGAGGCUGUCCACGCCCUCAAUUAAAAUCAGCCAAUAGGAUGAGUUUAUUUGUCCACGUCACAUUCGGUUUGGGCUUUGGUUUUUUUUUAUCCGUAAUGUGAGGUAUUUGCCCAUAAGCCUGAUCCAAUAGAAGCCCUAAAAUUUGUGGGCUCCACGUUCUGUCCAGUUUAUUUUGGUCGUAAAAGUUUUGUGUUUGAUCUGAUUUGGGUUUUCCACAUUUGGUUCCAUAAUUAAGUCAAAAUCUGCGUUUUAUGCUUGAAUGAAUUAGGGCUUCAUCAUAAAAAAAACAAAAUAGACACACCUGUCAAGUCCUUGGUUACUCGAAACAGGUAGGCACAUAGCUUAUGUUUUGUUACAGCUUCCCUUCUCUCAUUUUAUCAUGUAGGUACUAUUGAUGAGGUCCCCACGACUACUACUGUGACCAACCUCCAGAAAUUCAUGCUUCUGAAGUUCAACCAUCUUCAAGCUCUUGCAAACUUUCUUUGAACUCCUCGGUAUUGUUUUAAAUUUCCUUUUGCAUAUUAGAAUUCAACUACCAUUGACUUAUGUUACCUAUUGAUUCAUCCACUUUCAGAUAUAGUUGGCCAAAUCCGUUCAAGACUCUUAACAUAAACAACUCUGUUCAAGGCUCUGACAUAAACAACUCUGCUGCAACAACCCGAUUAUGCAUGAAAGUUGGUGUCUCAAUCAUGCUGCCGCGCAACCUAAACCAAGAAGAAGGCUUGAGAAAGAGUUAUCGAAGCAGAAGUGUGUGUGCUGAUACCAAGAAACAAACUAUCACCGACCUAAACCAAACAUCUAUUCAUUCUAAGAAGCCGCCAGUUUCCAGUACAUAUAUCCUGGGGAUUUUAACAUUACCAGGGUCACGUGACUAACGACAUUGCCAACAUCGUUUACAGAAAAGCCUUCAAUGGCCUCCCACAAUCACUGGUAUGUUAACUGCCUUCUUUAUUAAAAGUCAUAGCAUACACCAUCGCCAAUGUUCUUCUGUUGGACCUUAAAUACGACUGCAUACACCAUCACUGCCUCUCUUCUCUAUCAACCAAAUUAAAUACGAUAAAACGGUCUCCUUUACAAAACAUACUUUUUCAGGUUUAGAAGAAGACUAUGAGAGUUUCGCCAACAUGCUUUCCUCUGUUUCUUUCUCUGUUCUGUCUGUAUCUGUCCAAAGAAUCAUCAAAUGGGAUCCACUGAACUACAAGACACAGAUUUGUUUAGCUCUUUUUCUGAGAACUUACACUCAACGUUCUUCACUCCAACCACAAGCUCGCUCUGAUCUGACUCGGACACGGAUUCACCAAAGCCAUAAAACGAGGAUGAAAAUCGUAGAGUUGACUUGGCAGAUGAGUAACUAUAUGAGCAUCAGAAGGUACAAUUUGAUGAUUCUUUGGCAAGAUUCGAUUAUUUUCUCUUUUAUUCAAUCUCAUAUUCCUUAUUAAUUUUUCUUUUUUUUUUUCUUUUUGAUUCAGUCUUGUGGUGGAGACAACCUAUUAUGAUUCCUUUUCAAUCAAAAGAAGCUUUAAUCGAUGAGCAGAUCCGAUAUGUUCAGGCAAACGUGAGUUCACGUUUUUUUAGUUGAUAAUUAUUUAGAAUCUUUCUUUUUAUUUGUCGGUUAUAAUACGAUCGUUUAUAAAAUAAAAAGUUUGAUUGUUCAUUUUGUGUCUAUAGUUCCAAAACUAGAAGGAGAAAGACGAGCAGCGAAAUGAUGAUGCAUUUAAACAUAAAGCAAGGAGCUACCACAACCAACAGAGAGACCAAAGUCCGCUGUGAAGGUGGAGUUCGUAGACGGGACAUUCGAGAACCAUGGUACUGCUGGGGAGUCACGCAAGAAAGUAGUUUCAUAUUAAUUUAGCAUUGUUACUUCUUCUUUUUUAAGUCACGCAAGAACUCCAUUAUAAGUUUUUGUUUUGUUUUCUAUUAACGAGAUGUGGUUUUAAAGAAGGCUACAUAUUAUAUAUAAUGGACAACAGAUAAAAGAAAGAGAGAAAUGACGUCGUCUAUAUACUUUGAGUUUCGUACUUUGUUUUAUAGAGGUUGACAUAUAGGAAUCUUGCGUCAAUAUUAGACUUAGUAAUUUCAUAAAAUUGUAAGUAAACAACACAAAUUAUCUCCUUAGUGUAACAAAUAAACCACUGAAAACAUAAUUAAAAAAAAAACAUUACAGAUUUUUAGCUUAAAUGUUAUCUUUAAAUUUACAGUGCUUAAUUCUUUUUUCAUGUGGUUUACUAUCUCUUGCUUAGAUCUCAAUGAUUUAAGACCUAGAUAUAAUAAGAAUCUUUAUCUUACGUUGUUAUAUUGUUUGACUUAAUAGAUUCCAAAGAUUCCUUCCCACCAUUAAUCUCACUAUCACUGCCUCUCUCUCUAUCAACCAACCUAAUCUAUAUACGAUAAAUCCGAUCUCUACAAAACAUAUUUUUGCAGGUUUAGAAGAAGACCAUGAGAGAUUCGCCAACAAUUCAUAAUCUCCGUCAAUACCAACCACCAAAGUCAGUAAUUCAUUGCAAUAUAAUUAUCACUUUUCUCAAUUGAUAAAUUACUCAGUAGACAAAUCAAAUUCUACAAUAGAAAUGGUGAUGAAAUCUCAGCUGGACAACUCAAAACUCGAAGAAAAGAACAACUAUUCAAUUUCCCUCAUCAACGAACAACGAACAUGGCCUAAUUCCAUAACUCCAAUUCAAUUUCAAACUCUGCAUUUAACUUUAACUUAUGUUUACCGUAAAACCUGUUACCGCCAAACAAUAUGUGAAACUUUAAUUUAUCCAUUAAAACCACUACGACUAAACAAAAAAAAAACAUCUUAAUCCACUAUCUAUUACAUUUUUAAGUAUUACAACACCUUUAAUUAUCAAUAACCCCGCGCUUGGGUGUUUACGACUCAACGCAAACACACAUUAAAAUGAGACAUCAUAUUUUAAUAUAUUUAAAUAUAUAAUUUUAAAUAUAUUAUAUUUUUAAUAAUUUUAAAAUUACUUAAAAAGAAACUAAAUUAUUAAAAAAUUAAUAUACAACUAAAACUAAAGCAAUAUUUUGUAACAUCAAAAUAAUAAAUGAAUAAAAAAUAUAUUAUGUUAAUAAAAUAGAUUUUAGAUUUUAAAGACUUCUAAUUCAUGUAAUAUUACAAAAUUCAAAAUUUGUUUAUUACAAUUAAUAUUUUACCAUUAGAUAUAUUAAAAUAAUAUUCUAGAUCAAUAUUCAGUUGUCAAUUUUUAACUAUUACACAUAAAAAAAUAUUAUUAAGUAUGCUUUUUUUUUGAAAAGGAGAUUUUAUAUUUUAAGUAGGUUAUUGGAGUACUUUUUCUUUUCGUGAAUAUAUUCGAGAUGAGAUUCCGAUCUUUUAAACAAAGAUAAUUUAUGUUCUAUACAUAAUUUUUUUUACAUAACUCUAAAAUCUCGGAUUUGAUUGUUCAUAUUUUAUUAGUUAAUUGUGUUACAUGUAAUAGAAAUACUUACUUCAAACUAAAAAUAUUUUUAAAAAAUCAAAUUUAAAAUUAGUUAUAUAUAAUUUAAUAUACAAAAAUGUACAUACAAAUAAAAAUGAUAAAUGUAACAAAUUUAAAUAUAUUAUCCGCGCGUAGCGUGGAAAAAGGAUCUAGUUCUCUAUAACGACACUUAUUCAGAAACGGAGGGAGUAUUCUUUAUUAUGCGCGGAAUGAGUUUUUUAUAUUAAUGUUUGUUCAUUAAAUAAUUUUAACAUUUUACAACAUUUCAAUCUUUAUCGAUUGUAAAAUGACGAAUACAAAUGUUGCUCUCUUAAAUGUAGCACUGAAAAGUUAACGUAUUACAACUAAUUUUAAUUAUUUUAAAAAAUUUAUAUGCACAAAAAAAUUAAGUUUUGCUGCUGACACAAAUCACCAAAACGGCAAAACCACAAGAUAGGCAACAUCGAUUGUAAAAUGACGAAAGAGGAUUAUGUUUUCGGCUCUCGAUUUGUUUGCUAUUGAUUCUCCAUUAGUUAUCAUCUAAUAUUAAGAUAACAAUAAUUUUUCAAUGCAAAAUUUUGAAGUUAACAUAUUUUAUAUUUUAUAUAGUAUAUAAUUUAAUUUAAAUGAUAUUAAUAUUAAUAUACAUAUAUAUAUAUAAUAUGAAUGUUUAUUAAUGAGACUUUAUAUUCAUACGAUUUAUGAUCAUUUGUGAGACUUUUACAACUUUUAGUGUGAGACUUUUACAACUUUUAGUAAUUUAUAGUUAUUUCAAAAAUUCAAAAUAUAACAUAUAAAAAAAAUCUUAAGUUUUUUAUUAUAUGCUUCAUUUGAUUGUUUAUUUCUUUUAAUAAUAUAAAAUUAAACAAAAAAAGAGAGGAUACAAAAAUUGAAAUAUGUAUUAUUCAUAAUCAUUAAUUGUCAUAUAUAUGUUAAUCAUAUUAGGUAAUUCCAUAACUUUUAUUUAAGGAAAGCAUUGAGAAUAUUCUUUUGUAUGCUACUAAUCCAUUUGAUAGUUAAUUUAAUAAAAAUAUCAAUUUGAUAGUUAGUUUAAUAAAAAUUAUAAAAAGUAGAAUAUUCUUUUAUAUGAAUCAACUUAUUUUUCUAAGGAUUCUAUGAAUCAUAUGACACGUAGUUACGAAAACACGUUGUAAUGUUUCAUAAUUAAUAUACAGGGGAUGAAUUGCAUAAUUGCAUUAUUAUUUUAAUAUUCUUCCGACUAUCGUUUUAUACGUACUUGGAACAAAAAGUGGCUUACAUGUUAAACUUUAUUUGAUCUCGUGUUUCAUUUAGAGGACUAACUCUCUUGUAAAUUGUAAUCGUUUUGUGUGUCUCUAGUUCGGGUAAAUUUGAAAUUAAUGGCGUUCAUCCACGAUGAUGAAGAGGAAAACUUUGUUCCUCAAUUAGCCACCAAUUACUAUUUCGAAGAUGACGACAAGGAACCUGUGUCAUUCUCGUGUCUGCGAAUUUAAUGGAGUGACAAGAGAAAGUAGACUGAAGUGUAGCUGGUUUGUACUUGAGAGCAGUGGCGGAUAUAGGUAGGCCAAGGAGAUAGCACUUGCACCCAUGAAAAAUUUAAAAUCUGUUUGAUGUUACUUAUUUUUUUACUCAUUUCCCUUUACUAAAAUCAUAUUAUAUCUUCAAUUCUGUGUUUAUAUGUAAUUUGCCUCCAUCCAAAAAAUUGUCUACAUCCGCCACUGCUUGAGAGGAACCUCUGAUGAUGGUCUUUUGCCUCUGCAUAACAGCAUAAGUUGGUUAAUGCUUGGAGGUUCGCAGAGCCGUGCCUGAGAUUUAUUGGCCCUCAAGCAAAAAAUAUUUGUUGGUCCACUAUAUGUAAUUAUUAAACAAAAUUAAAAGAAUCCAUGCCAAAGGUUCGAACUCACAACCUCUAUUUACACAAAUGAACUCAUAACCACCUGUGCUACUGAAUAUUUCACGUCACAAAUUGGCCCUCUAAAUAUAUAAACUCCAUCUGAACUAAAAGCACAUGCUUGAUGUGCUUAGUGUCAGGCACGGCCCUGGAGGUUCGACCUUUCCAACUUCAUACCGGAGAUCUGUUCUCACAAAGGAUAAUGUCUGGAUUAAGCUUGAGAAGCAAGGAAAAUAUAUGCGGAGUUGCUAAGAUCAUCUCCAACUCACCUCUAUAAUAGAAAUUUCUAAAAUAGAAAAAAAAAGUAGAGACUUAGGCCAUCAUUAUCGGAGUCUCUCGGCACCGUCUUUUAGUUUAUUUAGGAAUAAAAGAAAAUGGAAAACAGAAAUUAAAAUAAGAGACGUACCUUAAUUAGGCAACAUAAGAGACGCCUCUUGUGAGCCACGCGUCACGGUGAGAGGAGAGAGAGAGAGAGGUGAUGGAGGAAGAGGAGCACGAGGUAUACGGUGGAGAAAUCUCAGACGUCGGAGUUGGAUGGAUUGAUUGAUUUGGUGUUGGUAACAAUAGGAGUUGGAUGAGAUGAAGAGGAGAAGAAGACAUCACCUCUUGAGAAUUGUCGUUAAGCUCAUCGAUCCUCCAGAGGAACUGCGAAUCAUCAGCAUCUGAUCUCGACAUGGCGGAGAAUCGCGGUGGUGGUGGUUGCUGUCCGCCGAUGGAUUUGAUGCGCUCGGAGCCGAUGCAGCUCGUUCAGGUCAUUGUUCCGAUGGAAUCUGCUCAUCUUACCGUCUCUUACCUUGGUGAUCUCGGCCUCGUCCAGUUCAAAAACGUACACAUACUCUCUCUCUUUCUCUCUCCAGUUCAAUUGCGAUCUUUGAUCAUCGCAGCUUAAUUUCAACGGACUUACGCUGCUCAGGUAAACUUCAUGGAGGCUCUCUCUGAAAGAAACUUCGAUGAAGCAAUUGAGCACCGUUGCGAGUUUCUCCCUUGCCAUAGAUUUUCAUAUGUAAAGUCUGAAGGUUUUAGCUUGUUUUUGCUUAAAGCGUAUAACUUUCUUCUCUCUGUUCUUUGUUAAUGUUUUGAUGAAGAGAAUGUUGGAAUGGAUCUGAAGGUAAGAGCAGGGAUGGAGAUGGCUAUGAUUGAUGCAGCUCCUAAGAGCGUUGGAGUGCCUUUGUGGAGAUUAUUUGUUGUUUUGAAGAGAGACCAGCACUGAGGAGAAGUUUGGUUAUUGCAGGAAGAGUUUCAAUGAGGAGAAGUUUCUUGACCAGCACUUCGCCACUAGACAUUAUAAUCUCUUGAAUACGGUAUGGAGAUACAAUAGAGUUGAUAUGAGAGUUUACUUUAGUCCACUUGAGCUGAUACUAGAAAACUUUUACUUAAAUGUUUUUUUUAGACUGGUACAAAGUGUUUAGCGGAUCUUUGUGGUGCAUUGCAUUGCGAUUUUGUGUUGAGUUCCAAGAAGGCUAAGAGCAAGUGUAACCCUGCAGCUGCUGCCAAAAACAGUCAUCUCUGCGAGGUUUCUUUCUUUGUCAUGUUUAUUCUUCUACUUCGUUCUCCAAGAAAGCUUACUUUGAGUGCCUCUUGUUCAUUUCUUAGAAUGUUCUCUGUGUUUCUUUGCUCCCCUCCUCAUUGGUUUGUUAGUAAGAAAAUUAUUUCUUUUGAGUUUUACAUGAACUAUCGAAAUAAGAAGUGGUGAUUUUAUUUAACUCUGAAUCAGGUGAAUGAGCUGCUGAGACAUUCAUCCAUGCCAUUAGUUUUUCUUCCUUCACAAGUUCAACUUCUAAAGUUUUUUUUUUUUUAAGAACUCAUACUUAAGAAACUUGCAAUGUAGGAUAAAAAAUUAAGUAUCUCUUAAGUAAAGUUCUUAACACAUUUAUUACUAAAUAAUUGAUUAAGAGACCCUAAUGGUUUCUAGGGAUAAUGGUGCUCUUAGAUUUUGCUCUCUCUGUAAUAGAUGAAUGAUCCAUUUACUUUUACCUCUAUAAAUAGAUGAAUGUUUUUUCCUCUAUUGUAGUGGAAAACAUUGGAGCAAAAUUUCAUAAAAACAGAGGCAGGUUGGAGAUGUCCUAGGAAUUGUUCUGGUGACAUAGAUACACUCAAUGUUUUUUUCAUACAGAUGCUCUUAAUUAGGGAUGUUAUAUUGGGUUAUCCAGCCCAACCCAGCACUAAAAAAUAUAAACCCAACCCUAUUCUAGCCCUACUCAUACUUUAGCCCUAAUAUGCAUGAAGGGCUGGGUCAGGAUUGGAUCAGGGUUAGCCCAUUCUGUAAUGUCUUUCAAAACAUAGGCAAAUAAUAUUAACAUGUGAUUUAGAUAAUUAUAGUAAUAUCAUCAAAUAAUAUAUAAUAUAAUCAAACAAUGUUUUGCGGUUUUGGCGGGAAAACUCGAUUUUCCGGUUUUGACGGGAAAACUCGAUUUCCCUGUUUUGGCAGAAAAAACUCGAUUUCCCUGUUUUGGCGGGAAAACUCGAUUUCCCUGUUUUGGCGGGAAAACUCGAUUUUUCAGUUUUGGCGGGAAAACUAGAUUUCUCGGUUUUGGCGGAAAACACGAUUUCUCGGUUUUGGCGGGAAAACACGAUUUCUCAGUUUUGGCGGGAAAACUCGAUUUCUCAUUUUUGGCGGGAAAACUCGAUUUCCCGGUUUCGGCGGGAAAACUCGAUCGGUUUCGGCGGGAAAUCUAGAUUUCUCGGUUUUGGCGGGAAACCACGAUUUCUCGGUUUUGGCGGGAAAACACGAUUUCUCGGUUUCAGCGGGAAAACUCGAUUUCCCUGUUUUGGCGGAAAAAACUCGAUUUCCCGAUUUUGGCGGGAAAACUCGAUUUCCUCGGUUUGGCGGGAAAACUAGAUUUUUCGGUUUUGGCGGAAAAACACGAUUUCUCGGUUUUGGCGGAAAACACGAUUUCUCGGUUUUGGCGGAAAAACAUGAAUUCUCAGUUUUGGGGGAAAACACGAUUUCUCGGUUUUGGGGGGGAAAACACGAUUUCUCGGUUUUGGCGGGAAAACACGAUUUCUCGGUUUUGGCGGGAAAACUCGAUUUUCCGGUUUUGGCGAAAAAACUUGAUUUCCCGAUUUUGGCGGGAAAACUUAAUUUCUCGAUUUUGGCAGAAAAACUUAUUUUUUCUGUUUUGGUGGGAAAACACGAUUUCUCGGUUUUGGCGGAAAAACUCUAUUUCUCCGGUUUGGCGGGAAAAUUUGAUUUCUCGGUUUUGGCCGGAAAACUCGAUUUCCAGGUUUUGGUGGAAAAUACUUUUUUUUUUUGCAAUUUUAAUGAAAUAUCAAAUUUUUAUGAAUUCAGGUGGAAUUUUUUUUUGAACUUUUAAGCCCAGUACUAAAACAUUGUUGUUUAACAAAAAAAAAGUUAUCUAGUACUGUGUAAUAGGUCAACCCUAUCAAAACCCUUUAUUUCUUUAACCGAGCCCUAAAUCGGCCCUAAACACCUUAAGAGUAAACACCUUAUUGGACGGGCUGGGCCAACCCUAAGUCAAACAGCCCUAUAUAACAUUCCUACUCUUAAUAUAUUAGAAGAAUUCAUGGGCGUUAUAUUAGAUUAGUCCAAAGCAGGGAAAAGACAGGACGAGUUAGUUUUUGGAUAUCCAUGAAAGUAGAACACAAUGGAUGAAAGCCAAAAGCAAUACUUUAUUGUUUUCAUUAAUGUGUAGAACACGGUUCCUGUAGACAGAAAAGGUGACUUAAAAAUAACUUCAAAAUUUGUUGAUUUUAUUUGAAUCGAACACCAUAAGAAAUUAUAACUUCGAGACCUAAUAUUCAGAUGGUGGCAAAGUACGCAGCAGGCCGGCUUGUGUCCACUCCACCUCAGUUCUUCAAUCUGCGUGUUAGAGAAGAACAAUUGAAAAAACGUAAGACUUUCUCUCUUUUACUCAACCAGUUUCUAGUAUUGUUAAUGGUACUUUGAUCUUUACCGACCAUGGCAAGCAUGAUGGAUUGUUAACGCCACAAUUGGCAAAAAGAGCCUUGAGUUUUGAUGGGUCAAUCCCGGACCUGGAGAGGAACGGGCAGAGACAUUCAAGAUUCGCGGUUUUGGCCACUGUGCAGCAGGCGGAAGUCGGAGGUGGCGGGUGGUUUCCAGUGACAGCUGGACGACAUUUCUGCAAGUCAUUUGUGUCGACGUUACAUAGGGGAAUGCUCUUAGCUUCUUGGAUCAUCAUCACUGCGGUUAACACC
rnacentral:lncRNA from 1 species